rnacentral:lncRNA from 1 species
GGGGGGGGGGCUGGGCCCGGGGCAUGAUGAUUUUUUUUAUUGACUCUACCUUUUUACACUGUUUCACCCUGUUGAAUGCGGUACCUAUGAAGCAGGCUCAGGGCUCACUACUAGAGGAAAACCUAGUAGUAGCACUGAAAAUAUGUGCGUUACAGCUAAACACUAGUAGUAGUGCUGGUAUGGGCAGCGCUACUGGUAACUAUAGUAGUAGCGCUUGUCCAUGUUGGAAUUAUGCCCUAGAGGCAAUGAUAAAUAAGUUAUUAUUAUAAUUUCUGUAUCAAGAUAAUCGUUUAUUAUCCAUGAUAUAAUUGUAUUGAAUGNNNNNNNNNNNNNNNNNNNNNNNNNNNNNNNNNNNNNNNNNNNNNNNNNNNNNNNNNNNNNNNNNNNNNNNNNNNNNNNNNNNNNNNNNNNNNNNNNNNNNNNNNNNNNNNNNNNNNNNNNNNNNNNNNNNNNNNNNNNNNNNNNNNNNNNNNNNNNNNNNNNNNNNNNNNNNNNNNNNNNNNNNNNNNNNNNNNNNNNNNNNNNNNNNNNNNNNNNNNNNNNNNNNNNNNNNNNNNNNNNNNNNNNNNNNNNNNNNNNNNNNNNNNNNNNNNNNNNNNNNNNNNNNNNNNNNNNNNNNNNNNNNNNNNNNNNNNNNNNNNNNNNNNNNNNNNNNNNNNNNNNNNNNNNNNNNNNNNNNNNNNNNNNNNNNNNNNNNNNNNNNNNNNNNNNNNNNNNNNNNNNNNNNNNNNNNNNNNNNNGUCAUUUUAUUGCUACUAUUUUCUGCGUGUCAAGUAUUUAUUCCUAUGACCAUGAGAUCAUAUAACUCACUGGCACCGGAGGAAUGCCUUGUGUGUAUCAAACGUCACAACGUAACUGGGUGACUAUAAAGAUGCUCUACAGGUAUCUCCGAAGGUGUCCGUUGAGUUAGUAUGGAUCAAGACUGGGAUUUGUCACUCCAUGUGACGGAGAGGUAUCUCGGGGCCCACUCGGUAAUACAACAUCACACACAAGCCUUGCAAGCAAAGUGACUUAGUGUAAGUCACGGGAUCUUGUAUUACGGAACGAGUAAAGAGACUUGCCGGUAAACGAGAUUGAAAUAGGUAUGCGGAUACUGACGAUCGAAUCUCGGGCAAGUAACAUACCGGAGGACAAAAGGAAUGACAUACGAGAUUAUAUGAAUCCUUGGCACUGAGGUUCAAUCGAUAAGAUCUUCGUAGAAUAUGUAGGAUCCAAUAUGGGCAUCUAGGUCCCGCUAUUGGAUAUUGACCGAGGAGUCCCUCGGGUCAUGUCUACAUAGUUCUCGAACCUGCAGGGUCUGCACACUUAAGGUUCGGCGAUGUUUUAUGCGUAUUUGAGUUACAUGGUUGGUUAUCGAAUGUUGUUCGGAGUCCCGGAUGAGAUCACGGACGUCACGAGGGUUUUCGGAAUGGUCCGUAGACGAAGAUUGAUAUANAAGCCAUCUAGCUACUACCUACGGACCCGUAGGUCUGAAGUGAACUACUCACGAGUCAUUGGAGGGGCGAUGAUGAUGAUGAAUAAGCCCUCCAACUCCAAAGUCCCCUCCGGCAGGGCACCGGGAAGGGUCUCCAGAUGAGAUCUCGCGGAAACGGAAGCUUGCGGCGGCGAAAAAGUAUUUUCGUGGAUCCCGUGAUUUUUUGUUGUAUUUUAGGGAAUAUAUAGGCCAAAGAUCUAGGCCAGGGGGGCGCGAGGGAGGCCACAAGCCUGCCCACCACCGCUUCCCCCCUCGUGGAGGAGUGGGGGCUUGUGGGCUCCCUGUAGCCCUCCUGGCUUGGCCCACAGGCCCCCUGAUCUUCUUUCGUUCGGGAAAAAAAUCAUUUCGGGGAUUUUAUUCCGUUUGGACUCCAUUCCAAAAUCAGAUCUGAAAAGGGCCAAAAACACAGAAAAAACUGGAACUGGCACUUGGCACUGAAUUAAUAAGUUAGUCCCAAAAAAGAUAUAAAAGGUACAUAAAACAUUCAAAGAUGACAAGAUAACAACAUAAAACCAUCAAAAAUUAUAGAUACGUUUGAGACGUAUCAAGCAUCCCCAAGCUUAACUCCUGCUCGUCCUCGAGUAGGGAAGUGGUAAAGAAUGAAUUUUUGAUGCUUUCAUGCUACCUAGCAUAGAUGUCCUUUGUAACUACUCUUAUGUGACGUGAAUGUUGAGAUCCAUUAGUGAUGAUGGAAGGUGAAAGUGCAUCUAAACCAUGGACUCAACAUUAGUCAUGAAGAACUCAUAUACUUUUUGCAAAAGUUUUAUUAGUAAUUGAAACAAAGCAUUCAACGCAUACUCCUAGGGGAAGGGUUGGUAGGUAUAAACCAUCGCGCGUUCCCGACCGCCACGCAAAGGAUGGCAAUCAAUAGACUAAUCAUGCUCAGACUUCAUCACAUAGCGGUUCACCAUACGUGCAUGCUACGGGAAUCAAUAACUUCAACACAAGUAUUUAUAGAUCCACAACACCUUACUAGCAUAACUUCAAUUUACCAUAACCACAACUCAAAACUAAUUGAGAUGAAUCAAACUUCUCUAACUAUUCAAUGCACAUGAAGGUGGAAGUUUUCGUAUCCCUUUGGAUAACUACCCCUUUUGAGACUACUUUCAAAGCAUAGAUCAACUACCAAGCCACGCACCGCUGCGCUCUAAAAGAUAUAAGUGAAGCACACAGAGCAAAAGUAUCUAGCUCAAAAGAUAUAAGUGAAGCACAUGUGAGCUGAAUUGUCUACCAAAAGAUAUAAGUGAAGCCCGACAAAAUCACGGUGGGUGCAUGUCUCUCUCUCUAGGUGUGCAGCAAGGAUGAUUGUGACACAACAAAAAUAAAAGACUCCUACAACACAAGACGCUCCAAGCAAAAACACAUAACAUGUGGUGAAUAAAAAUAUAGCCCCAAGUAACGUUACCGAUGGAUUGAAGACGAGAGAGGGGAUGCCUUCCCGGGGCAUCCCCAAGCUUAGGCUUUUAUGACAUCCUUGAAUCUCUUGGGGUGCCUUGGGCAUCCCCAAGGUUGAUCUCUUGCCACUCUUUAUCUCUUUGUCCAUAAGAACUUCACCCAAAACUUGAAAACUUCACAACACGAAACUUAAACAGAAACUCGUGAUAUCAUUAGUAUGAGAAAGCAAACCACCACUUCCUUAGGUACUGUAGCAAACUUAAAAUUCUACUUAUGAUGAUGUUGGGUUACUGUAUUUUCAAUCUUCCAUGGCUAAUACCCCCCGAUACUAUCCAUAGUUUCAUCAAAAUAAGAAACCAACACAACAAAAACAGAAUCUGUUAACAGCAGAACAGUCUGUAGCAAUCUGUAUAUUUCGUAUACUUCUGGUACUUCAAAAAUUCUGAAAAUUACGACAGUCUGAAGAAUUUGCGUAGCAAUCAGCAGAAAAAAUAAUAAACUCAAAAGCUCUUACAAAAAAAAGUGAAAAUUCUUUUCGUGAGCAGAAAGUUUCUGUCUUUUCCAGCAUGACCAAACGAUCAUCCCCAAGACUAAUCAUAACGGUUUUGCUUGGCACAAACGCAAAAAGAAACAAAAAAACACAAUCACAAUAGAAUUAUGAAAGUGUGGAAAACACAAAACAGAAAGAAAUGAUAGAUUCAUUGGGUUGCCUCCCAACAAGCGCUUUUGUUUAACGCCCUUAGCUAGGCGAAAGUGAUGGAAUCACGUAUAGUCAUCUUUGGUGCUCAAACCAUAAGUAGCCCUCAUCAUGGAUUCAUAAGGCAAUCUUAUUUUCUUUCUAGGAAAGUGCUCCAUGUGCUUCUUCAAAGGAAAUUGAAAUCUAAUAUUCCCUUCCUUCAUAUCGACGAUAGCACCAAUAGUCCUUAGGAAAGGUCUACCAAGAAUAAUGGGACAUGAAGGAUUGCAAUCUAUGUCAAGUACCAUGAAAUCCACGGGUACAUAGUUCUUAUUUGCAACAAUAAGAACAUCAUCGAUCCUUCCCAUGGGUUUCUUGACAGUAGAAUCCGCAAGAUGCAAAUUAAGAGAACACUCUUCAAUCUCAUGAAAACCAAGAAUAUCACAUAAAGACUUUGGAAUCGCGGAAACACUAGCACCCAAAUCACAUAAAGCAUUGCACUCAUAGUUUUUGAUCUUGAUUUUGAUAGUAGGUUCCCACUCAUCAUGAAGUUUUCUAGGUAUAGAGACUUCUAAUUCGAGCUUCGCUUCAAGAGAUUUCAUCAUAGCAUCUACGAUAUGCGCGGUAAAGGCUUUGCUUUGGCUAUAAGCAUGUGGAGAGUUUGCAAUGGAUUGCAUCAAAGAAAUGCAUUCAAACAAGGAGCAAUUAUCAUAAUUGAAUUCCUUGAAAUCCAAAGUGGGAGUUUCAUUACUACCCAAAAUUUUGAUUUCUUCUACUCCACUCUCCACACCUUUAUCAUCAAGAUAGGUGGACUCCAAAUCAUUGGGGUGUUUUUCAACCAAAGUGGAUUCAUAUCCAGCCCCUCCAUAAAUAGGUUUGACACGCGAAAACAAAGAUUCAAGAGGUGACACACCAAGCACUUUAAGAUCUUCAUGAUUUGCAUCAGUAGAACGCACCCUUUUAAACCAUGCAUGCCUAGCGCGAAUUUUGGCGGUUCUUUCUUUGCUCUCAUUCAUGGAGAUACACAUAGCUUUCAAAGUUUCAUCCAAGUUGACCUUGGGAGGAGCACAUCUAACUUUCAAAGCAUCAAUAUCACAAGACAUCCUAUCAACGCUCUUAGCCAAAUCGUCUAUUUUGAGUAGUUUUUCCUCUAUGGACGCAUUGAAAAUAUUUUGAGAGUUGAUGAACUCUUUGAUAUUACUCUCUAAAUCAGAGGGUAAUUUGUUGUGAUUUCCAUAAGUGUUGUUGUAGGAAUUUCCAUAGUUGUUAGAGGAGUUACUAGGAAAAGGCCUAGGAACAUAGUUUCCUCUAAAAGCAUUGUUGUUGCCAAAAUUGUUCCUACCAACAAAAUUCACGUCCAAACUAGCGUUGCUACUCUCAAUCAAAGAAGAUAGUGGCAUGUCAUUAGGAUCUACAGUAGCAUUUGUACUAGCAACCAAAUUCAUCAACUCGUCCAUCUUAGCACUAAGCGAGUUAAUCUCUUCUAUAGCGUGUACCUUUUUGCUAGCAGGUGACCUUUCAGUGUGCCACUGAGAGUAGUUGGUCAUGAUAUUGUCUAGGAGUUUUGUAGCGUAUCCUAACGUGAUUUCCAUGAACGUUCCACCUGAGGCGGAGUCCAAGAUAUUGCGAGAAGCGAAAUUCAAGCCAGCGUAAAAGAUUUGUAUAACCAUCCACAAACUCAAGCUAUGAGCGGGACAAUUUCUAAUCAUAAGCUUCAUCCUCUCCCAAGAUUGUGCAACGUGUUCAUGAUCAAGUUGCUUGAAAUUCAUGAUAUCGUUACGUAAGGAGAUGAUCUUAGCCGACGGAAAAUACUUGGAUAUGUAAGCAUCUUUGCACUUAUCCCAAGAAUCGAUACUAUUUUUAGGCAAAGAAGAAAACCAAGUUUUUGCGCGAUCUCGCAACGAGAAAGGAAAAAAGUUUCAACUUAAUCACAUCAUUAUCCACAUCUCUUUUAUUUUGCAUAUCGCAAAGCUCAAUGAAGGUAUUGAGAUGGGAUGCGGCAUCUUCACUAGGAAGGCCAGAGAAUUGCUCUUUCAUAACAAGAUUCAGCAAAGCUGCGUUGAUUUCAUACGAUUCCGCACUAGUGGCGGGAGCAAUCAGAGUACUAAUAAAAUCAUUAUUGUUAGUGCUCGAGAAGUCGCAAAGUUUGGUGUGUUCAACCAUGAUGACUUCAACAAACAAACAAGCACACAAGCAAGCAAGAAAACCGGCAAAAGCAAGAGAAAACGGCAAAGGAGAAAGGCAAAUGAAAACGACAAAUGUGAAGUGGGGGAGAGGAAAAUGAGAGGCAACUGGCAAAAAAGUAAAUGUAGGAGAUGAGUUUGUGAGACCUACUUGGAUAGAUCUCUCCUUCCCCUGCAACGGCGGCAGAAAUACUUCUGCUACUGCAACAAAAGACCUUCCAACGGCCCCAGAAAUAGGUGUGUCGACGGCACCAGGAAUCCUUCUGCUACGGCUACGCCUUAAGGGACUUCCUAGGCAAAUAUGCAAAGGAUUUCCCCCAUGGCCUUGGAGCCUUGCGUUGGUGUUCUCUCGAAGCGGAAAGGGUGAUGUAGCGCAGCGGUGGUAAGUAUUUCCCUCAGUUUGAGAACCAAGGUAUCGAUCCAGUGAAGGAGUAUCACAAGUGCCUGCACAAACACAAAGAACCUGCUCCCAACGCUAUGAAGGGGUUGUCAAUCCCUUAUAGAUUGUUCGCCAAGUGAGAACUGAAAGCAACAAAGUAACAAAGCAAAGUAAAACCGAAAGUGGAAACGAUAGAUGUGAAUAGACCCGGGGCUUCUCUCAUGAAAGCAAGUAGACGGCGGGUGAACAAAUUAUUGUCGAGCAAUUGAUAGAACCGCGCAAAGUCGUGACGUCAUCUAUGGCAAUGAUUAUAUCUAUAGGCAUCACGUCCAAAACAAGCAGACCCAUACUUUCUGCAUCUACUACUAUUACUCCACACGUCGACCGCUAUCCAGCAUGCAUCUAGUCUAUUAAGUGUUGGAAUUAUGCCCUAGAGGCAAUAAUAAAUAUAGUUAUUAUUAUAAUUCCUGUAUCAAGAUAAUCGUUUAUUAUCCAUGCUAUAAUUGUAUUGAAUGANNNNNNNNNNNNNNNNNNNNNNNNNNNNNNNNNNNNNNNNNNNNNNNNNNNNNNNNNNNNNNNNNNNNNNNNNNNNNNNNNNNNNNNNNNNNNNNNNNNNUCCGGACCAUUCCGGAAACCCUCGUGACGUCCGUGAUCUCAUCCGGGACUCCGAACAACAUUCGGUAACCAACAAUAUAACUCAAAUACGCAUAAAACAACGUCGAACCUUAAGUGUGCAAACCCUGCGGGUUCGAGAACUAUGUAUACAUGACCCGAGAGACUCCUCGGUCAAUAUCCAAUAGCGGUACCUGGAUGCCCAUAUUGGAUCCUCUAUAUUCUACGAAGAUCUUAUCGUUUGAACCUCAGUGUCAAGGAUUCAUAUAAUCCCGUAUGUCAUUCCCUUUGUCCUUCGGUAUGUUACUUGCCCGAGAUUCGAUCGUCAGUAUCCGCAUACCUAUUUCAAUCUCGUUUACCGGCAAGUCACUUUACUCGUUCCGUAAUACAAGAUCCCGCAACUUACACUAAGUCACAUUGCUUGCAAGGCUUGUGUGUGAUGUUGUAUUACCGAGUGGGCCCCGAGAUACCUCUCCGUCACACGGAGUGACAAAUCCCNNNNNNNNNNNNNNNNNNNNNNNNNNNNNNNNNNNNNNNNNNNNNNNNNNNNNNNNNNNNNNNNNNNNNNNNNNNNNNNNNNNNNNNNNNNNNNNNNNNNNNNNNNNNNNNNNNNNNNNNNNNNNNNNNNNNNNNNNNNNNNNNNNNNNNNNNNNNNNNNNNNNNNNNNNNNNNNNNNNNNNNNNNNNNNNNNNNNNNNNNNNNNNNNNNNNNNNNNNNNNNNNNNNNNNNNNNNNNNNNNNNNNNNNNNNNNNNNNNNNNNNNNNNNNNNNNNNNNNNNNNNNNNNNNNNNNNNNNNNNNNNNNNNNNNNNNNNNNNNNNNNNNNNNNNNNNNNNNNNNNNNNNNNNNNNNNNNNNNNNNNNNNNNNNNNNNNNNNNNNNNNNNNNNNNNNNNNNNNNNNNNNNNNNNNNNNNNNNNNNNNNNNNNNNNNNNNNNNNNUGAUUCUCCUAAUGACGUGAUCCAGUUAUCAAGCAACAACACCUUGUUCAUAAUCAGAAGACACUGACUAUCUUUGAUCAACUGGCUAGCCAACUAGAGGCUUGCUAGGGACAGUGUUUUGUCUAUGUAUCCACACAUGUAAAUGAGUCNNNNNNNNNNNNNNNNNNNNNNNNNNNNNNNNNNNNNNNNNNNNNNNNNNNNNNNNNNNNNNNNNNNNNNNNNNNNNNNNNNNNNNNNNNNNNNNNNNNNCGUUUCCGGACCAUUCCAGAAACCCUCGUGACGUCUGUGAUCUCAUCCGGGACUCCGAACAACAUUCGGUAACCAACCAUAUAACUCAAAUACGCAUAAAACAACGUCGAACCUUAAGUGUGCAGACCCUGCGGGUUCGAGAACUAUGUAGACAUGACCCGAGAGACUCCUCGGUCAAUAUCCAAUAGUGGGACCUGGAUGCCCAUAUUGGAUCCUACAUAUUCUACGAAGAUCUUAUCGUUUGAACCUCAGUGUCAAGGAUUCAUAUAAUCUCGUAUGUCAUUCCCUUUGUCCUUCGGUAUGUUACUUGCCCGAGAUUCGAUCGUCAGUAUCCGCAUACCUAUUUCAAUCUCAUUUACCGGCAAGUCACUNNNNNNNNNNNNNNNNNNNNNNNNNNNNNNNNNNNNNNNNNNNNNNNNNNNNNNNNNNNNNNNNNNNNNNNNNNNNNNNNNNNNNNNNNNNNNNNNNNNNNNNNNNNNNNNNNNNNNNNNNNNNNNNNNNNNNNNNNNNNNNNNNNNNNNNNNNNNNNNNNNNNNNNNNNNNNNNNNNNNNNNNNNNNNNNNNNNNNNNNNNNNNNNNNNNNNNNNNNNNNNNNNNNNNNNNNNNNNNNNNNNNNNNNNNNNNNNNNNNNNNNNNNNNNNNNNNNNNNNNNNNNNNNNNNNNNNNNNNNNNNNNNNNNNNNNNNNNNNNNNNNNNNNNNNNNNNNNNNNNNNNNNNNNNNNNNNNNNNNNNNNNNNNNNNNNNNNNNNNNNNNNNNNNNNNNNNNNNNNNNNNNNNNNNNNNNNNNNNNNNNNNACGGAGUGACAAAUCCCGGUCUUGAUCCAUACUAACUCAACUAACACCUUAGGAGAUACCUGUAGAGCAUCUUUAUAGUCACCCAGUUACGUUGCGAUGUUUGAUACACACAAAGUAUUCCUCCGGUGUCAGUGAGUUAUAUGAUCUCAUGGUCAUAGGAACAAAUACUUGACACGCAGAAAACAGUAGCAACAAAAUGACACGAUCAACAUGCUACGUCUAUUAGUUUGGGUCUAGUCCAUCACAUGAUUCUCCUAAUGACGNNNNNNNNNNNNNNNNNNNNNNNNNNNNNNNNNNNNNNNNNNNNNNNNNNNNNNNNNNNNNNNNNNNNNNNNNNNNNNNNNNNNNNNNNNNNNNNNNNNNCUUAAGCAUAUACAAUAGCAAAAUUAAGCAAUAAUCUAAGAAACACUAUUAACACCUAAGCAUAUACACUAUACAAUAGCAAAAUUAAAUGACAAAAAAAUAUAUUUCUUCUUCUUGUAACCCUAAACUAAUUUUUCCUCUUCUUCUAUUUCUCCUCUUCUUCUACUUCUACUUCUCCUCUUCUUGAGUACUUCUCCUCUUCUCUUCUUCUACUUCUCCUCUCCUCCUCUGCUAAUUUUUUCUCUUCUUCUACUUCUCCUCUUCUUCUAUUUUUCCUCUUAUUCUCCUCUCCUCCUCUUCUUAUUCUCCUUUUUCUUCUUUUCUUCUCCUCCUCUUCUUAUUUUCAUUUUUCCUAAUCUUAUUUUCUUAUUUUUGUUCAUAUUUCUUCUUCUUGUAACCCUAACCUAAUUCUAAAUAUUACUAACCCUAAUAAUCUAGCACAAACCUAAUAACAAUAGGAAUUAAAUGACAAAAAAAAUCUUUUUCUUCUUUUCUUCNNNNNNNNNNNNNNNNNNNNNNNNNNNNNNNNNNNNNNNNNNNNNNNNNNNNNNNNNNNNNNNNNNNNNNNNNNNNNNNNNNNNNNNNNNNNNNNNNNNNNNNNNNNNNNNNNNNNNNNNNNNNNNNNNNNNNNNNNNNNNNNNNNNNNNNNNNNNNNNNNNNNNNNNNNNNNNNNNNNNNNNNNNNNNNNNNNNNNNNNNNNNNNNNNNNNNNNNNNNNNNNNNNNNNNNNNNNNNNNNNNNNNNNNNNNNNNNNNNNNNNNNNNNNNNNNNNNNNNNNNNNNNNNNNNNNNNNNNNNNNNNNNNNNNNNNNNNNNNNNNNNNNNNNNNNNNNNNNNNNNNNNNNNNNUUCUUCUCCUUUUUCUUCCUUUCUUCUCCUUUUUCUUAUUCUCUUCUCCUUUUUCUUCUUUUCUUCUACUGGCCGGAGUGUUGGGGAGGAGGGGCAGGGGGCUUACCGGCCGAAGGUGUCGACGGCGCGCGGCGAGGAGGACGGAGCGGCGCGUGGCGAGGAGGACGGCGGCGCCCGGCGAGGAGGACGGCGGCGCGCGGCGAGGAGGGCGGCGCACGGCGAGGAGGACGGGGCGGCGAGCAGGACGACGGCGACGGCGAGGAGGACGGCAGGCGGCGGCGAGCAGGACAUCGGGCAGCCUGACAGCGUCGUCGAGUUCGUCGUUGUGCCGCGCCGGGCAGGAGAACGAGAGGAAGAAGAAGAGAAAUGGACGAUUUGGGUUGGAAUUUUUCGAAGUCCCGCUUAUAUAGGUGGAUCUUUAGUCCCGGUGCAUGGCUUGAUCCGGGACUAAAGNNNNNNNNNNNNNNNNNNNNNNNNNNNNNNNNNNNNNNNNNNNNNNNNNNNNNNNNNNNNNNNNNNNNNNNNNNNNNNNNNNNNNNNNNNNNNNNNNNNNGUCGAUAUAACGCACUUUCUAUUGGUAUCAGAGCAAGGUACUCCCUUUUUCUGUGUGAUUUUGGUUUAACCACCUGGAGUUUUAGUUAUGUCGACUGCAGGCAUGUUUGAGGUGACUGCAGCAUGUCCUACCUAUGAAGGAAAUAACUUUCCCUUCUGGAAGAACAAAAUGCAAAUGCAUUUACAAGCUAUUGAUAAUGAUCUCUGGUAUAUUGUGGAAAAUGGUGUCCCCAUUAUCUCUGCCAGUGUCACUGCGGCUGAUGUGAAGAAAUUCAAGCAACUCGAUUCUCAAGCGAAGAACAUCAUCUGUGGCCAUCUGAGCCCAGGCCAGUUUGGAAGAGUAAGUGCUUUGGGCUCUGCAACACUGAUCUGGGAGAGAGUGUGCAAGGUAAAUGAAGGAGUAUCAACCCAGCGUGACUCUCGUGUUGAUAUUCUUCGCAAUCUCUUCAAUCGCUUCAAGAGACAUGACAAUGAAAGCUGCUAAGACACCUUUGAUCGCCUCACUGACAUAUCAAAUGAACUGCAAGCACUGGGAGCUCGAGACAUCACUGAUCACGAAGUUGUGAAGAAACUGCUGAGAUCUUUGGAUUCUUCAUUUGAUACUUUAGUUCUGAUGAUUCAAGAAAGACCAGAUUGCAAGAUGCUUGAUCCAGCUGAUAUACUAGAAAGGCUAAAUACUCAUGAAUUCCAGCUAGAAGAAAAGAGAGAUCUAUAUGGACCAAGCUUUUCCAGACCACGUGCACUGAAGGCUAGAGCAAUUUCCUCAUCUGAAGACGAAGACACAGAUGACAACAUUUGUGACCCUGAAGAAUUUGGACAGGAGCUUGCAAUGCUCGUGAGGAAAUUCCAGAGAUUUACACGAUGUGGCCAGUUCGGUAAAUCUUCAAGAAGAGAUAUGAGGAAAUCAGAAUCUUCAUCUGAGGACUACAAGAAACGAACCUGUCACAAGUGCAAGAAAUCAGGUCAUUAUAUUGCUGAUUGUCCCCGAUGGGGAAAGGAAUCAAAGAAGAACAAAUACAAGGAUGACAGUUCUGAUGACUCAAAGAAGAAGAAGAAAUCUUCAAAAUCCUCAUCUUCAAAGCCCUCAUCACACAAGAAGACUAGUUUCAGAAAGGCUCGAGCACUUAUUGGCAAGGAAAUGGACUCCGAGGCAGAAUCAGAGGAAGGUGAUGAAGAAAAUGGGUCUGAAGAAGACUCCGAAUCUGGACAGGCUAGUCUUGCACUGGCAACCACUUCCGUCAGCAAGUCAAUCUUCAAUCUUGAAGAAAAUGAUUGCACCAUCCAUACUGAUGACUAUGCUGAUGACUUCGCUCCAACCUAUUGCUUCAUGGCAAAGGGUUCGAAGGUACCAAAUAAUUCCUCCUCCUCUGAUUCAAGUGACUGUGAACCUAAUGAUUAUAAGAAACCCAGUUACAGUAAACUUGCAAUCAUUGCCACUAAACAACAAACUGCACUGGAAAAGCUUCAGAAACUGCUAGAUAAAAGUGAUGAUCUGUUGAAUGACGAAAUGAACCUUACCCAAAUCCUCACUGAUGACAUGAAAAGUCUUCAGUCUAGAUUUGAUAAUCUUCAGGAUCGUUAUGAUACACUCCUCACUGACCAUGAGAAGCUUUCCUAUGAAUUUCUUCAAAGAAAGCUUGAUCUUGAGAAGCUGAGGAUGUCUCAUGAUGAUCUUCGUAUGGAAAAUGAUUCAUUACUAGCUCAACAGAUCAGCGCUAGUCAAGUUGAAUUUAUUCCUCCAUGUCUUAAAUGCAUUGAAUGCAAAACUGCUAAUUCCUCACCAGAAUCAUCAAAUGCUACCAUUGCUACAAAUUCUUCAACUGCACCUGUUGUGUCUAUUUCCUCACUUGAGGAAAACACAAAUGUUACUGAUGAAAAUGCAGGGUUGAAGGAAUUGUAUGUGACAGGCAUGUACAAAAGCCUCAAAGGACAUCAAACCCUUUGUGAUGUGCUCAAAAAGCAGAUCUUGAACAGGAACCCAAGGAAAGAAGGAAUUGCCUUUGAGAGGAAAUUAAAUGCUGAUGGAUCUUAUUGGAAACCUGAGCAGUAUCCCAAAACCUCAUGGGUUGCUGCUACUGGGCCUCCUUUUGAUCCAUCUAAUCUAACUGGAUUUUCAUGUGAAUUAUCCUAUUCCUCGGAUGAGUCAAUUGAUUCCAACUAUAAACUAUUCAAAAAUCAAUCUGGUAAAGUAUUUGCUCGAUAUGUUGGAACUAACUGCAGGAAUGGCCCUCCUCUGAGGAAAAUCUGGGUUCCCAAAAGUUGUCUUGAAAAUCUUCAGGUGAAUGUCCUCAUGACACCACCACUGAAGAAUCUGAACCCCAGAUCAAAUUCCUCAGGAGGACCAAAGUCUUCAAGAGGAUCAAAAUCCUCAACUGGUCAAAACUAUGCUCGUACCCGUGCUUAUGCGUCUAACAUGCAGGGAAACUACAAGGAAUAUGAAUAUGAGCGUUACUCCUCAAAUCACUAUGUUCAUAAAUCCUCAAACCAAUUCUCUACAUAUUCAUAUGAGUACUUUAAUCCCCCUACUGUUAAGAGAAGUGCAUUGGCUUCAAUGCCACCUUUCUCAUAUGGUGCUCGCAGGAUGAUGAAUGAUUUGCCACCCCUUCAUAUGUGGGUGGUGAAGAAAUCGAACUAAUCACUUCUGCAGGUCAGGUCUCCAGAUGAAAAUCAUCAUCUGAAGAAUUUGCUGGAGACAUGAGGAAAUGCUUGAUAGGACGCAAGCUAAUGAUUGAUGAAAUAGAAAUAUUUCACACGUCCAUACAUUUCUGUUAUGAUGAAAUUACUAUUCAGAUGAAAUUAGUAUCAUAUUCUUCAAAACUGAAGCAUAUGAGAUGGUAAGCUGUACUAAUUCAUCUGCAGGAUGACAAACCCAAGAAUACUGAGUGGGUUCUUGAUAGUGGCUGCACACAUCACAUGACUGGUGAUAAAAGCUUACUGAUGAAUAUGCCACUAACUCCAUCACCUCUGAAGCAAAUCACAUAUGCUGACAAAGGUAAAAGCAAGGUAUUGGGACUUGGCAAAGUGGCUAUUUCCAAGGAUAGGCAUAUGGGCAAAGUGAUGCUUGUUGAAUCCCUUGGUUUUAACCUUAUGUCAGUCUCGAUGCUUUGUGAUCUUGAUAUGAUUGUUAUCUUUGGUAGAUAUAGAUGUGUAGUCAUCAUGGAAUCUGACAGAUCCAAAGUCUUCGAAGGUGUAAGAAGAGGGGAUUUGUACAUUGUUGAUUUCUCUACAGGUCCACAACCAGCCACUUGCUUACUAGCAAAAACCUCAGAAGGAUGGCUGUGGCUCCGAAGACUACGUCAUGCAGGCAUGAGGAAUUUGCACACGCUCGCGAAGAAGAAGCAUGUCAUCGGCAUCGAAUCAGUCAAAUUCCUCAAGGAUCAUCUGUGCGAUGCUUGUGAAUCUGGGAAAAUGACCAGAUCCAAGCAUCCCUCUAAAACCAUCAUGACCACUACACGUCCAUUCGAAUUACUUCAUAUGGAUUUAUUUGGACCUACUCACUAUGCCACACUAACCAAUGCAGCAUCUUUAUAUGGCUUCGUCAUAGUUGAUGAUUAUUCCAGAUACACUUGGGUGCAUAUCAUAGUGUAUAAAACUGAAGUGCAGGAAAUAUUCAAACGAUUUUCUUCAAGGGCCUCGACGAACUUUGGCAUCAAGAUCAAACAUAUCAGGAGUGAUAAUGGAACCGAGUUCAAAAACAGUGGUCUUGAUGAUUAUCUUGAUGAACUUGGUAUUACUCACGAAUUGUCUGCUCCUUAUACUCCUCAGCAGAAUGGUGUCGUCGAAAGGAAGAACAAGACUCUAGUUGAAAUGGCGAGAACUAUGCUUGAAGAAUAUCAGACUCCUCAUCGCUUUUGGCCUGAAGCAAUCAACACUGCAUGCCAUAUCAUCAACAGGGUAUAUCUUCACAAAUUCCUCAAGAAAACCUCAUAUGAACUCCUCACUGACAAGAAACCCAAUGUAAGUUAUUUCAAACUCUUCGGUGCAAAAUGCUGGAUUAGAGAUCCUCGCCAUAGCUCAAAAUUUGCACCUAAGGCACAUGAAAGUUUUAUGCUCGGUUGUGGAAAGGACUCGCACACUUACAGAGUCUUCAACAACUAUCACAACAAAGUUGUUGAGACUGUAGAUGUGCGGUUCGAUGAAACUAAUGGCUCGCAAAGAGAGCAAUUGCCUUCUGAUCCAGAUAAGUUGUCUCCUGAGGAAGCAAUAAAGCUCAAGCCUACUGAAGACAUUGUCCCAACUGAGGAAAUUGAUGAAGAAACGAUCACCAUCGCUGAUAAAAACCAAGAAGAUGCUCCUGAGGAAAUUGCAUCAGCACCACUUCCUCAGCCUAGACAAAAUCCUCAACCAGCUCAUCCGAGGCUUGCAAACAAAGUAGAACUUGACAAAAUCCUCAACGACGUCAACGCGCCAGGUCCCCUCACUCGCUCAAAAGCUUCACACUUAGUUAACUUUUGUGGGCACUUUUCCUUUGUAUCCAUCACAGAACCCUCAAAAGUUGCUGAGGCUUUUCUGGAACCGGAGUGGAUCCAAGCUAUGCAAGAAGAACUUCUUCAAUUCAAGCUGAAUGACGUAUGGGAGCUCGUCAAACGACCAGACCACGCAAGCACAACAUCAUCGGCACCAAGUGGAUUUUCCGAAACAAGCAAGAUGAGGAUGGUCAAGUGGUGAGGAACAAGGCACGACUUGUAGCCCAAGGCUACACCCAGGUUGAAGGAAUAGAUUUCGAUGAAACUUUUGCACCUGUUGCUAGACUUGAGGCUAUUCGAAUAUUACUUGCUUAUGUUAAUCAUCAUAACAUCACCUUAUAUCAAAUGGAUGUGAAAAGUGCAUUCCUCAAUGGUAAGCUUGAGGAAGAAGUAUAUGUAGCUCAGCCUCCAGGUUUUGAGGAUCCAAAGAAUCCAGACAAAGUCUUCAAACUCAAAAAGGCUCUGUAUGGCCUCAAGCAAGCCCCUCGGGCAUGGUAUGAUACAUUGAAGGAAUUCCUCAUGAAGAAAGGCUUCAAACCUGGUUCACUCGAUCCAACUCUUUUCACAAAAUCCUAUGAUAAUGAGCUAUUUGUGUGUCAAAUAUAUGUUGAUGACAUCAUAUUUGGCUGUACUGACAAAAGAUACAAUGAUGAAUUUGCCUACAUGAUGAGUGAAGAAUAUCAGAUGUCCAUGAUGGGGGAGCUGAAAUUCUUCUUAGGUCUUCAAAUUCGUCAACAAAGCAAUGGAAUCUUCAUAUCACAGGAGAAAUACCUCAAGGAUGUUCUGAGGAAAUUCGACAUGCACGAAUGCAAAGGUGCCAAGACUCCGAUGCCUACCAACGGCCACCUCGGCACUGAUGAAAAUGGUAAAGAUUUCGAUCAGCAGGUAUACCGUUCUAUGAUUGGCUCCUUAUUGUAUUUAUGUGCAUCUAGGCCAGAUAUAAUGCUUAGUGUUUGCAUGUGUGCGCGUUUUCAAGCAAAACCGAAGGAAUCACACCAUAAGGCUGUGAAACAUAUUCUUCAAUACUUAGCUCACACACCAACACUAGGAUUAUGGUAUCCCAAGGGCUCCAAUCUUCAUCUGGUAGGGUAUUUUGAUUCAGACUAUGCUGGUGACCGUGUGGAUCGCAAGUCAACUUCUGGCACAUGCCAUUUCCUCGGAAGAUCACUAGCUUGCUGGUCCUCAAAGAAGCAGAACUACGUAUCACUCUCCACUGCUGAAGCUGAGUACAUUGCUGCUGGUUCUUGCUGUGCUCAAUUGCUAUGGAUGAAGCAAACCCUCAAGGACUACGGCAUCAACAUGAAGAAUGUACCUCUCUACUGUGACAAUGACAGUGCUAUCAAGAUUGCAUACAACCCAGUACAGCACUCGAAGACCAAGCACAUCCAGAUUCGUCAUCAUUUUCUUCGGGACCAUGUCCUCAAGGGCAAUAUCCUCAUCGACCAUGUGAAGACUGAUGAUCAACUGGCAGAUAUCUUCACUAAGCCCUUGGAUGAGAAAAGGUUUUGCAAGUUGCGGUGUGAGCUAAAUAUCUUAGAAUCUUCAAAUGUUUUGUAAAAAACAUGCACACAUCCUAACACUUAUGCAAAGUUGAUGACUUGGUUGUGCAACACAUGAUGAAUCGAUUUUCUUCAACUGAUGAAGAAUGUCACUCUGAAUGUGAAGAAAUUAACGAAGAAAUUGAUUCUCAGGGCCCUACGACAAUUGUACACGGCGUCUGUAAUCAACAUUCUUUUAUGGUGGGUAACGCCACCGCCCUAUGUGAAAUUCCUCAAGUUGAUUUUCUUCAAAUGAUCAAUUUCCUCACAAUGCGUUUUUCUUCAAAACAGCUGUUCUUCAUUGUGAUGAUUUAUUACAAAAUCUUCAAAAACACUUGAUGACUUUCAUUUGACUAGAUAGACUGUGAUUUCUAGUCCUCAACAGCAUUCACUUAUUGCUAUUUCUUCAAGUUGAUGUUUCUGCUAAGUGAAUGUGAUCGGACCCUACUUUCCCUCUAUGCUAUACUUAUCCAGUCUAUUCAAUUCUUCAUAUGUGUUCUAUUUGAAACUUUGAUCAAAAUCCUCACUGCGUCCUUGUCAGCUGAUGAUUUUGUAACGAUAAUCCUCAAAUCUUCAAAAAUUGUUUCUUUAAAUACACAGUAACUGAACCCCCACUUCCCACGAUCGGAUAACCACGAUCUCCACUAUCUCCACCGCAUCGUACGGGAGCUACACGUGUCCUGCGGAGACGUAGAGGCAGGGGCUAUUUGGUCCGACAUUUUCACGCCAAACAGUAACUUUUGGCUAUAAAUAUGUCCUUAUCCCCCUCGGCAUCCUCUUCUUCGCCUCAUCGCUCUCCUGCCACAGCACACUCCACCGAACCCUAGCGCCACCGCUCGUAGUCUCGUCGCCGGUGAGGAAGAGCUUCACUGCCUCGACUUCUUCGUCGCGAGAACCACGUCGGAGUUGGACCAUCUUCGUCCGCCGCCGCCGUAGACGUCCUCUAUCGCCAAGUUAGGGUGCAUUGGACACUCGAACGAAGAGCCUCUCCACACACAACUUUCUGUGUUCUUCGUGCGCACCUUCCAGGGUAAAUAUAUCCCAUUUUUACAGCAAGUUAGAUAUAAAAUUUUACAUCCUCUAUGUGAAAUCUGUUUCUCCUCAAGAUACGAUGCGCACUUGAUUCCUCAAACACUACCUAUCACCACAAUCAUUGAUGAACUAUGCUAAGCAUCUAAGAUUAUCACGAGAUUCCUCAAUUGUGCGAAUUUUCGGAUCUGUACAACUCUGGAACCCAAGAACAGUAUGCUUAGGCAAAUUCCCCAACCACUGGUUAUAUUCCUCAAACUGUCAAACUUUUUCAUUUUCCUCAAAUCUGAGAACGCAUAUGACCUCUCCAAAUUACUCGCAACCAUACUCUGUUCACAGGUACACACAUGUCAGCUGAUGAAUCUCUCGGUUCUCAUCACAUUAACUCAUUUGCAGCGUUUCUGGAAGAAACUCUUCAAGGCUCAUCAGAAUCCUCAAGAGUUCAAAAUCAUCAGCAAAAUCCUCAACUGAAGAAAAUGGAGGAAGACAGAAAACAGAAGGGAAGAAAGAAACUUGAGCAAAACACAGCUGCUGAUAUCCCUGAGGACAUUUACUUGGACUAUUGCACGCCUGAUGAACAUGAGACAAUGGCCAAGAGAAAGAUAUGGCUGCAGAAGAUUGAACGCCGAUGGGCGAAGGAAUGGAAGGAGUACAGGUUUGUGACUCCCAAAUAUGCGAAGAAAUUCGCUUUGAAGCCUCCUGGCAGAAGGGUCCCACUUGAGGAUCAUCAAGUAGCACAUCCCUCAAGCCUCAAGACCAUUGAUGACUAUCCAGAUGAAAAGGAAAAGCAUCUGGCUAAGCUCAAGAAGCAGGCAGAAGCUGCAGUGAGGAAAUUUAGUGAAUCCUCAGCUGCUGCCUCCGAUGCUGCUAAUUCCUCAGCUGCAGAAACCUCAGGCUCAGAAAUUCGUCAAAUGCAGUCUGUGCCAUCAAAGCCAAGGGCUCCAAAGCCUCAAGAGAAGUCUGCUCACGCUUCUGUCACAAAACCCUCAGCACCAAAACCCUCAUUACCAAAACCUUCAACACCAAAACCAUCAGCGCCAAAACCCUCAAUACCAAUCUCCUCAGCAUCAAAAUCCUCAGAUCCAACCCCAAAGCCUCAAGAGAAACCAGUACAGAAGCAUGUCGUGAAGCCUACGACCGCCAGCUCCAGCUCCUCACUCCCAGCUGCAACCAGCUCGGAGACAAAGUCUUCAACACCUCUUGCAAAGACUUUGGCAACUGCUGAACGUGCACCUCUGCCCAGCCCCAGCAAAAUCAUCGCAGUCCCUUCUGCAUCAGAGGGAAGUGAUGAAUAUGAUGAUGAAACCCUGCAAGCCAUCAUCACAAACAAGAAAGAGUAGCUCAAGCAUCAGGCAGUGCUAUUCCUCUGGCCAUGGACCCCAAGGUCCUUCUUGACUACAUCAAUAUCUGGUAUGAGGACCCAAACACUCCUACUGAUGAUUUGAAACUUCCCCCUGGCAUCAGCCACAUGGUGGCCACUUUCAUAAAUGAAGCCAAGUGGAAAGAACAGCAGGCCAGACAGGCAAAGGUUACAAAGAUCAAAAAGGAGAAAUUCCUCAGGCAGAAUCUCCUCAAACUGACUCCUGAUGCACUGGUGACUACUCAGGCAGAGCUGCAAAAAUUGACUGACAAGUACGCCAAGCUGUCAGAUCGCAAAAACCUCAAGAGCAAUUUCAUCAAGCUGGCCACUAGUGUUGUUGAUGACUACAACAAGAGUACCGCACCCCCAGCACCAACUCCUCAGCCCUUGAUCGAGGAGCGAGCAGAUGAAUCUCCUCAUGAGGAGGAAACCCCUCAAGUUGAGGAAGAACACCAAGAGUGCCGUGUUGAUGAACCGGCCAUUGAAGAAAUCAUCAUGGAAACUCCAACUGAUGAACUUGCUGCCACUGAUGAUACUGCUCCUGUUCCAGCUGCUUCAUCAAAGCAGGCUGAUGACUCUGUUCCAGCUGGUUCCUCAUUACCAGCUGAAGAAACUGUAAAGAGAACACCUUCACCAAAAGCUUCAAAGGUGAAGAAGAUAAUUCCGUCUGUAUCAGACGUGAAGAAAACAAAGGCUGCUGAAAAGGAAGCCAAGAAGAGAAAAGCCUCCUCAGCAGUAGAAGAAACCGAGGCAAAGCGCCUCAAAGAAAUUGAAGAAACUGCUCCUCUAGAUCCGGUACCUCUCAAUGCUGCCCCUUCCUAUGAGAUGGUCGUCAUUGAUGACCCAGCUACAAAGGCAGAUGAGGAAAUGAAGGAUGUCGCUCCUGAGGAACACACUGAUGAGGAAAUUCAGAUUGACGACAGUCCUCAACCUCUUAUUCCUCAGACAGAAACUGCUCAAGCAUCAGCUGCACCAGCUGAUGAAACUGCUUCUGCCACAGAACCAGUUGAGGAAAAACAAGCUGAAAAUCCUCAAGCUGACGAAAUCCAACACUCUGAGCAAAAUCCUCAAGAUGAGGAACAGGUUGAUCCAACUCCUCCAACUGAGAAAGAAGCAGAAAUUCCUCAGCCUAAAGCUCAGCCAGAGAAAGCACCAUCUCCUCAGCAUGAAGUACCAGCUGAUGAAAUUCCUCACCCUGAGGAAAAUGCUGAAGAAAAUGCACCCGCCCAAGACAAUGCAUUCGUUGUGCUCAACCCAGAGACUACUAUUGUUGUUUCCCCCCCCCCCNNNNNNNNNNNNNNNNNNNNNNNNNNNNNNNNNNNNNNNNNNNNNNNNNNNNNNNNNNNNNNNNNNNNNNNNNNNNNNNNNNNNNNNNNNNNNNNNNNNNNNNNNNNNNNNNNNNNNNNNNNNNNNNNNNNNNNNNNNNNNNNNNNNNNNNNNNNNNNNNNNNNNNNNNNNNNNNNNNNNNNNNNNNNNNNNNNNNNNNNNNNNNNNNNNNNNNNNNNNNNNNNNNNNNNNNNNNNNNNNNNNNNNNNNNNNNNNNNNNNNNNNNNNNNNNNNNNNNNNNNNNNNNNNNNNNUGUUGUUUCCCCCCCCCCCCAUUCCUCAACAAAAUCUUCAGCCAGUUCAGCGUCAGCCAUUCUCCAAGCGUCCAAAGUUUCAGAAAGAAAAUUUCUUUGAGGAACGCAUGUACUUCAUCGGAGAGAACCCUUAUGACAAGCCUCAAAUGAGGCAUCUGAAGUUUUGGACAACGACUCAGAUGAACUACUAUGCCUCUGUGCUCUGUGGACGAAACAAGAUAUUCCAGCACAGGCAUAUUCCUCAUGUUGAGCUUGAACAAUACCUUGCCUGGAGCCAGUCCUCAGUGUACUCCAUGAUGCAGGUUUGCUCCCAAUGUGCUCAGACAUAUCAGACUGGAACAGCGAGCUUAUUCUUCAGUUCUAUGCCACUCUUCACAUAUCUGGCAACCCUGAAGACAUCAACACUUGGGUGUUUGACUGGAUGUCACAAAACACUCACUACAAGGCUCCUGCUUCUGAACUCCUCAGAGAACUGCCCGUACCAAUUCCCUCAGAUGGGGCUGUGAAGCUUUAUGGUGAGCGUGAGCUGCCAAAUGGAAUGAUGGAAGUCCUCAUGAAGCCUUUGGCUGCAAGCAAAUCUUCAAGAACAACCUUCCUCGUCCACGAGCUCAAGUACACACCCCGGUCUGUUUACAGAAUCCUCUGCAGUGUGCUAGCACCGAUCAAAGGCCAUGACGAUGAAGAAGAUGUUGUAGGCCUCAUGAAGAAUAUCCUCUUCAACAUCAUUCAUGGUAUUCCUAUCAAUAUCCAUGAUUUCUUCUUGAGGACUUUGGCCGACAAUGCCAUGUGCCCCUUCGAUCACAAGAUAUAUGCCCCGUGGAUCAUGAGAUUCAUCAGGACAAGGACAGGCAUCAACUUUCACACUGAUUGUCAAAACCAUGUUGGUUAUAUGCCUCCUAUUCGGGUAAACAAGAAGACUUUCGAGCCCAUUGAAGGAAAAGGAAAAUCUGUGAUUGAAGAAGGCAGCAGGCCCCUUGAUGGCCAGUUCAGAGAGCCAGAAUCAUAUUCUUCAUGGGACGAUACUGAGACUCGUCCAGCAAGCCCCGUUCCUCCUCGCGUGCUAAAUACCAGAGAGCUCCUCCUCAGUCUUCACCAGAAGGUGGAUCGCAACCACAAAUGGGUCAAACGCCAGUUUGGUGCCAUUCUGAAAACCCUCACUGAAACACAGAACUCUGUGAAGAUUAACCAUCACUAUCUGCAUGAGGUUUUUGAUCGCACCUGGGCUACACUUGCACAUCUGAAGACUCAGACUGAGCUUGAAGAAAUGGACUUUGAGCGAGACUUUGACUGGUCGUGGCCUCCGAAGAAGAAGUUCAGGCCCAUUCCAGUGCCAGACCUUGAAGACAGCUCCUUUUCUUCAUUCCGCACUACUGAAUCUGAUGAAGAACAGCUUGACACUGCAACCGGCCCAAGGAAGAAGACUACUCCCAAGAAGCAUCACGACUCUUCCUCGACCGCCAAGAAAUGAAGUCUUCACGGGCGUUAGUCCUCAGUUUGUCCCUUUUUGUCACUUGCUGACAAAGGGGGAGAAACUCGAGAGUUAGUCUUCAAGCGGGAUAUUUUUGGGGCUUACAAACUAUAUUUAAGUUACAAACUCUUGGCUCUUCUGAAGUUUUUAUGUAAUGAGUUGUAACUUAAGCCCGAUGGUACUCUGAUGCUUUUGAACGUUUUUCUUCGCAUGCUUAUUCCUCAAGUUUUAAUGCACGCAUGCUGCAAUUCGUCAGAUAGCAUUUGCCAUCAUGCAUCUUCAUUUUCUUCAUAUGAUAUGUUAUAUGUAUGCAUGAUUUACAAGACUCAAGGGGAGAUCUCUAUGAUAUAAAUCAUCAAUGUGCAUUUGCUGUGAAAAGCAAAAUCCUCAAGAUAUGCACAUCUUUAGGGGGAGUCUUUCUGAAUCUUGUUUUCAAAUUCCUCAAAUGAGUAUUUACACUUCAUAUUUUUAAUCCCUGUUGAAGACUUCACCUAAUUGUCAUCAACCACCAAAAAGGGGGAGAUUGUAAGUGCAUCUAGUGCACCUUAGUGAUUUUGGUGGUUUGAAGACUUAUAGGUUAAGUAUCUAAUGUGUUUGUGAGUGUACACAGGAUCUAUAAGUCAUUGAGGAGUUUCAGAUAUUUGAAGAAUAUCGACCCGUAAAAAUAUAUGUCUUCAGUUGAAGAAAUUGGUCUGAAGCUGAAGAAAUGAAUCGCGAGGAAUCUGCGAUGAAAUUGAUAUUCCUCAUGAAGAUACUGAUAUUGAGAAGUCCGGUGGUUCCUGAAGAAAAUCAUUCUGAAGAAUUUGAAGCAUGAAGAUUUAUACUUUCUAUUUUACUUUCUUCGCAUUUGAGUAAUAGGAACACUGUACUGUUAAAGGGGGUCGAAGUUACACUAUGGAAUGAAUUUCCUCAUGAUGCUCAACCCAAGCCUAAUCCUAUCAAAAGCCUCAAGUGAGGAAUAUGAGUGACAUGAGGACUCUCACAGUUGAGGGUUCCGACCGUUUCGAUAACCACGCCAAGUCACUGGUCUUAUCCACUCCAACAGACAUAUUAUUUAAGGGCAUUAGUGUCAAAUCAUGUCAGGAUGACACUUGUCAUAAGAGCAACCCAAAUUCCUUAGAGCUUUUGAGAGUAAAUCAUCAGUGAGGAAAUACACCACCCACCGAAACCACAAACCAAACCUAGUAAUUGAGCAUCACUGAAGAAGUUGUUCCUGUGUGGGACUGAAGCCUUUUACCUUUGAGGACUGUGCAUCCUCCAGACGGUUAGGCGUCAUGGUCUAGAGCUUUCCAGCAGUCAACUGUGGAUCGCCGGGUGACCAAGUUUGUGAGGGUUUGGAAGUCUGCCCUGAAGACUUACCACGAGUGUUGGGCGAGUACUGUGUGUCCUUAGCUCAAGGAGAAUACGGUAGGGACUGUGUGUCCCGGGACUGGGUGUCCUUUGGUUUCAAUACCAAGCCGCUCCAAACCAGAUGUACGACUGUCACAGCAGUUGGAACUGGGUCAUCAACGAGUGUCUUCACUGAGAAACGGGUUCUAAUUCCUCAACUCUUUACUUUCCCGUAUUAUGUGUUGACGACUUUCACUGUGACUGUUUGAAGAAUUUGCUGAAGACUUUCUCCGAAUUUCCUCAACCCCAAAUUUUUCACGUUAGUCAUUUCUCAUCUGUAUUCUGNGUCGAUAUAACGCACUUUCAGGACUACUUUCAUAGCACAAGCCAACUACCAAGUCACGCACCACCGUGCUCUAAAAAAUCUAAGUGAAGCACAUAGAGCAAAAUUAUCUAGCUCAAAAGAUAUAAGUGAAGCACGAUGAGCAUUCUAGAAAAAUCACGAUGAGUGCAUGUCUAUAUCAAAAGGUGUGCAGCAAGGAUGAUUGUGACACAACAAAAAGAAAAGACUCAUACGAUACAAGACUCUCCAAGCAAAACACAUAUCAUGUGGUGAAUACAAAUAUAGCUCCAAGUAAUGUUACCGAUGGAUUGAAGACGAAAGAGGGAAUGCCUUCCUGGGGCAUCCCCAAGCUUAGGCUUUUUGGUGUCCUUGAAUGGCUUGGGGUGCCUUGGGCAUCCCCCAAGCUUGAGCUCUUUCCACUCUUUAUCCUUUUGUCCAUGAGAACAUCACCCAAAACUUGAAAACUUCACAACACAAAACUUAAACAGAAACUCGUGAUAUCAUUAGCACAAAAAACAAACUACCACCUCUUUAGGUAUUGUAGAAAUCUUGAAUUCUAUUUAUAUUGAUGUUAGAUUACUGUAUUCUCACUUUUCCAUGGCUAGUACCCCCCCUAUACUAUCCAUAGUUUCAUCAAAACAAGCAACCAACUCAACAAAAACAGAAUAUGUCCAAAACAGACCAGUCUGUAGCAAUCUGUAUACUUCGUACACUUCUGAUACCUCAAAAAUUCUUAAAAAUUACGACUGCCUGGGAAAAUGGCAUAUCAACCAGCAGCAAAAAGAAUGAACUCAAAAUCUCUUUCUGAAUAAAAAUGAAAAAUAAUCUCGUGAGCGGAAAGUUUCUGUGUUUUUCCAGCAGGGUCAAACAACCAUCACCAAGACUAGUCAUAAAGGUUUUGCUUGGCUCAAACACAAAAAGAAACACAAAAGAGACAAUCAUAACAGAAUUAUUAUGGUGUGGACGCAAAAAAAGAGAAAUAAAAAGAUAAAUUCAUUGGGUUGCCUCCCAACAAGCGCUAUUGUUUAACGCCCUUAGCUAGGCAUAAAGCGAUAGAAUCACGUAUCGUCGUCUUUGGUGCUCAAACCAUAAGUAGCAUGAUCACUCAUCAUGUUAAGGCCUUCAUCUUUCUUACUAGAUGAUUCACCACUAUUUUUAGGAACAAAAAUAGACUUGAUGGCCUUAUUGUGGGAAAAGUUUGGAGUAUUCUGCACGGCGGCAAAAGCGGAACCCAAGUUGGUUAUAACAUCCUCUAGUUUGCCAAUCCUAGCAGAAUCAUGACCUAGUUUUUCGUUAACUAUGGGUUCCUUCUCCUUUAAAUUUUUCAAAACCAUUCCCACCUUAGAUCUGUAUUGAGUGAUUUGAUUGUGGAUACUUUUAUCCAAAUUCUCAAUGAGUUCGAUCAUAGCAACUUUAUUUUCAAUGACGUCCAGCCUACGCAUCACAUGUUCCAGGGUUAAGGUAGUUCCAUUAACCAUGAGUGGGGGUGAGCCUACCAAAUUUAUUACAGCUCCGUAAGAAUCAACGGUAUGGCUACCCAAGAAAUUUCCGCCUACAAUGGUGUCAAGAGGACAGGUAGACUAUCUCACACAAGCGAACAGGAAGCAAGCGAGAGAAGAGGGUGAACAAAAAGGCAAACGAAAAAGGGAAAAUAUUUUUGUAAUUUUUUUUCACAAGUGGGGGAGAGGAAAGCGAGAGGCAAAAAAAAGUAAAUGCAAGAGAUGAGUUUGUGACACUUACUUGGAUGAGUUCUUGACUUGAUCCUCCCUGGCAACGGCGCCAGAAAUUCUUCUGCUACGGCAACAGACAACAGCGCGAGGAAUUGACACGUUGACGGAGACUAGGCUUGUGUUGGUUUUUCCCUUGAAGAGGAAAGGGUGAUGCAGCACGGGAGCAGUAAGUAUUUCCCUCAGUUUGAGAACCAAGGUAUCAAUCUAGUAGGAGAAUCGCGUCAAGUCCAGAGUACCUGCGCAAACACAAAAGAGCUUGCACCCAACGCUAUGAAGGGGUUGUCAAUCCCUUCAAGAUUGAUUGCAAAGUGAGAUCUCAAGGUGGAAAGUGCAACAAAGUAAAAGUGUAAGGCUGAAAAUAUGAUGUGAAGUAGACCCGGGGGCCAUAGUGUUCACUAGAAGCUUUUCUCUCAAAAUAGCAAUUAUUACGGUGGGUGAACGAAUUACUGCCGAGCAAUUGAUAGAACCGCGCAAAGUUACGACAAUAUCUAAGGCAAUGAUCAUACAUAUAGGCAUCACGUCCGAGACAAGUAGAUCGAUAAUUUCUGCAUCUACUACUAUUACUCCACACAUCGACCGCUAUCCAGCAUGCAUCUAGUGUAUUGAGUUCAUGACGAACAGAGUAACGCCUUAAGCAAGAUGUACAUGAUGUAGAGGGAUAAACUCAAAACAAUGAUGAAAACACCAUCUUUUUAACCUUGAUGGCAACAACAUGAUGCGUGCCUCGCCACCCCUUCUGUCACUGGGUGAGGUCACCGCAUGGUAUGAACCCAAAACCAAGCACUUCUCCCAUUUCAAGAAUCAUAGAUCAAGUUGGCCAAACAAAACCCACAACUCAAAGAUAAUUACAAGGAUAUGAAAUCAUGCAUAUAAGAGAUCAGAAGAAACUCAAAUAAGAUUCAUAGAUAAUCUGAUCAUAAAUCCAUAAUUCAUCGGAUCUCGACAAACACACCGCAAAAGAAGAUUACAUCUGAUAGAUCUCCAUGAAGAUCAUGGAGAACUUUGUAUUGAAGAUCCAAGAGAGAGAAGAAGCCAUCUAGCUACUAGCUAUGGACCCGAAGGUCUAUGGUGAACUACUCACGCAUCACGGAGAGGUCAUGGUGUUGAUGAAGAAGCCCUCCGUAUCCGAAUCCCCCCUCCGGCAGGGAACCAGAACGUGCCCCAGAUGGGAUCUUGNGCAAGAUCCCAUCUGGGGCUUGUUCUGGUGCCCUGUCGGAGGGGGGAUUCAGAUAAGGAGGGCUUCUUCAUCAACACCAUGGCCUCUCCGAUGAUGCGUGAGUAGUUCACCAUAGACCUUCGGGUCCGUAGCUAGUAGCUAGAUGGCUUCUUCUCUCUCUUGGAUCUUCAAUACAAAGUUCUCCAUGAUCUUCAUGGAUAUCUAUCCGAUGUAAUCUUCUUUUGUAGUGUGUUUGUAGAGAUCUGAUAAAUUGUGGAUUUAUCAUCAGAUUAUCUGUGAAUCUUAUUUGAGUUUUUUCUGAUCUCUUAUAUGCAUGAUUUCAUAUCCUUGUAAUUCUCUUCGAGUUGUGGGUUUUGUUUGGCCAACUUGAUCUAUGAUUCUUGCAAUGGGAGAAGUGCUUGGUUUUGGAUUCAUACCGUGUGAUGACCUCACCCAGUGAUAGAAUGGGUAGCGAGGCAUGCAUCAUGUUGUUGCCAUCAAGGGUAAAAAGAUGGGGUUUACAUCAUUGUUUUGAGUUUAUCCCUCUACAUCAUGUCAUCUUGCUUAAGGUGUUACUCUGUUCGUCAUGAACUCAAUACACUAGAUGCAUGCUGGAUAGCGGUCGAUGUGUGGAGUAAUAGUAGUAGAUGCACACAGUAUCGGUCUACUUGUCUCGGACGUGAUGCCUAUAUGUAUGAUCAAUGCCUUAGAUAUCGUCAUGACUUUGCGCGGUUUUAUCAAUUGCUCGACAGUAAUUUGUUCACCCACCAUAAUAUUUUAUAUUUUGAGAGAAGCCUCUAGUGAACACUAUGGCCCCCGGGUCUACUUUACACCAUAUUUUCAGCCUUACACUUUUACUUCGUUGCACUUUCCGCCUUUAGAUCUCACUUUGCAAUCAAUCUUGAAGGGAUUGACAACCCCUUUAUAGUGUUGGGUGCAAGCUUGUUUGUGUUUGCGCACGUACUCUGGACACUUGGCUUGAUUCUCCUACUGGAUUGAUACCUUGGUUCUCAAAACUGAGGGAAAUACUUACUGCUACUGUGUUGCAUCACCCUUUCCUCUUCAAGGGAAAAACCAACGCAAGCUUAAGAGGUAGCAAGGAGUCCUAGUCCAAUCCUACUAGGAGUAGGAUUCCUCCUCUCCACUUGGAAACCCUUUCCACCUUUUCCACCUUUGGGUUUAUUUCCUUCCCACCUCCAAUCCACCUUGGGAUUUAGUGGAGGCUUCGUCCAGCCCAGUAAGGGUCCUCCCACAGCCCAUGAGACCCACAUGGUGGACCCCCGGAACCCAUUCGUCACUCUUGGUACACUGCCGGAAAUGCCCGAAACUUUUCUGGAGUUCAAAACCCACUUUCCUAUAUAUCAAUCUUUACCUCCGGACCAUUCCGAAGCUCCUCGUGAUGUCCGGGAUCUCAUCCGAGACUCCAAACAACUUUUAGUUACCAAACACACAUAACUCAAUAAUACCGAAACGUCACCGAACCUUAAGUGUGCAGACCCUGCGGGUUCGAGGACUAUGCACACAUGACCUGAGACACUCCCCAGUCAAUAACCAAUAGCGGACCUGGAUAUCCAUAUCGGCUCCUACAUAUUCUACGAAGAUCUCUAUUAGUUGAACCUCUAUGUCAAGGAUUCAGUUAAUCACGUAUGUUGUUCCCUUUGUCCUUCGGUAUGUUACUUGCCCGAGAUUCGAUCGUCGGUAUCUCCAUACCUAGUUCAAUCUUGUUAUCGGAAAGUCUCUUUACUCAUUCUGUAAUACAAGAUCCCAUGACUAACUCCUUAGUACAUUGCUUGCAAGGCUUAUUGUGAUGUUGUAUUACCGAGUGGGCCCCGAGAUACCUCUCCGUCACACGGAGUGACAAAUCCCAGUCUUCAUCCAUGCCAACCCAACAGACACCUUCGGAGAUACCUAUACAGCACUUUUAUAGUCACCCAGUUACGCUGCAACGUUUGAUACAAACAAGGUAUUCCUCCGGUGUCCGGGAGUUGCAUGAUCUCAUGGUCAUAGGAACAGAUACAUUGACAUGCAGAAAACAGUAGCAAUAAACUGACACGAUCAUAUGCUACAUUUAUAGUUUGGGUCUUGUCCAUCACAUCAUUCUCCUAAUGAUGUGAUCCCGUUAUCAAGUGACAACACUUGUCUAUGGCCAGGAAACCUUGACCAUCUUUGAUCAACGAGCUAGUUAACUAGAGGCUCACUAGGGACAGUGUGUUGUAUAUGUAUCCACACAUGUAUUUGAGUUUGCAAUCAAUACAAUUCUAGCAUGUAAAAUAAACGAUUAUCAUGAACAAGGAAAUAUAAUAAUAAUCAAUUUAUUAUUGCCUCUAGGGCAUAUUUCCAACAAUCGAUAGAUGAGAACUAGGAAAUCUGAGGUGUGCUUUUGUAGCCCUACAUAAUUCUUGUCCUCUCUUGAUCACAAAGGAAUGACCUCCGAGUACAUCACCAUUGCUUGUUUUAGUGGAAAUAUCAUGUGAUUAGACUACGUUAAUGUUGUUGGGAGUUGCCACUAGUGAAAGUAUAAAUCCUAGGCCUUGUUUCUCACCAUUGUUACACCGUUUAUGCUCACUUUUAUCACUUGCUACCUUGCUGUAAUUUUUAUUACAGAUUUAUAUUACCUUGCUUUGCCACACCUAACACCCAUAUUUUACCAUCUCUUCGCUGAACUAGUGCACCUAUACAAUUUACCAUUGUAUUAGGUGUGUUGGGGACACAAGAGAGUUCUUGUUUCUUAAUUGCAGAGUUGCUUGAGAGAGACCAUCUUCAACCUCUACUUCCCUGAGUUCGAUAAAUCUUAGGUCAUCCACUUGAGUGAAAUUGCUACUGUCCUACAAACCUCUGUGCUUUGAGGCCCAACAUAGUCUACAAGAAUAGAAGCAUGCGUAGACAUCAGCUACUCCUCAAUCCUUUGUCCAUCGGGACAAUACCCAAAACUUGAAAGCUUCAAUCACAUAAAAAUCAACAAAACUUUGUGAGAUCCGUUAGUAUAAGCAACAUAUCAAAUACUUUUAGGUGCUAUUACAAAUAUAUUCUUAUUUUAUUUUAGCAUAGGGUACUACUCCCUCCGUUCCGAAUUAUAAGUCAUUUAAGGUUUCUUAGUACAAAUUCUGGCACGUUACGCAAUUUUUCUGUUUUCCAAAACUGCCCCCGCUCACUCUCUCCGUCCACUCCAGUUCUCCCCACCGCUCUGUCUCCCUCUCUGCCUCUCCUCGUGCUUGUCGUCGGCCCGUCCGCCCCGUCGGCCGUCGCCUCCCUCUCCCUCUCCCCGUCCCCUCCCUCUACAUGCUCACGGUCCACUCGCAUCUCGCCGCUUGCAUCGCCGCGGCAUCUCGCCGCCUGCGUCGCCACGGUAUCUGCAUCUCGUUGCCGAUGUCCUCUUCCUCCCGCGGCAUCGAUGCCUCUCCAUUAACCGCAUCCAUGUUGCCUCUCCCUUAACCACACCCACGUUGCCCUCUUUUGCUCUCGUCGUCACUCGUCACUCCCUCUUCGUCGUCCCAAGAUUUGAUUUUUACUGCGGGAGGAGCUACAGGAGGAGGAGCUAGGGGGAGGUGAGUUGCUGGAUCUGUGCGGCGGCGAGGAGCAGNNNNNNNNNNNNNNNNNNNNNNNNNNNNNNNNNNNNNNNNNNNNNNNNNNNNNNNNNNNNNNNNNNNNNNNNNNNNNNNNNNNNNNNNNNNNNNNNNNNNNNNNNNNNNNNNNNNNNNNNNNNNNNNNNNNNNNNNNNNNNNNNNNNNNNNNNNNNNNNNNNNNNNNNNNNNNNNNNNNNNNNNNNNNNNNNNNNNNNNNNNNNNNNNNNNNNNNNNNNNNNNNNNNNNNNNNNNNNNNNNNNNNNNNNNNNNNNNNNNNNNNNNNNNNNNNNNNNNNNNNNNNNNNNNNNNNNNNNNNNNNNNNNNNNNNNNNNNNNNNNNNNNNNNNNNNNNNNNNNNNNNNNNNNNNNNNNNNNNNNNNNNNNNNNNNNNNNNNNNNNNNNNNNNAGCCGGAGCACCGCUGGGACGAUAAGAUGACCAGCACACGGCGACAGCACCGAAGCUCCUCCCGGACGACGGCACUUUGAGUACUCCAGCUUUGUUUUUCUUGCUUCUUCCUCGCAUAUUUCCAGUAAGACAUGCUUAGUUCAGAUCAUGCUAGUGGGUUUCUAAACAUGAUUAUGGAGUAUAGGAAUAAAGGAGUAAAAGUGGUAAAUUCGGUAGAGGGGUAAAGGAGUAAGAGUGGCCUGAAUGUGAUUCUGAACAUACUCCAGAUUUUGCAUUUGUGUUAGGUGUGGGAGUACCUUGGGAUCAAUUUGAUCGGGAGUACAAGUAUUCUGGGAGUACACUUAGGAGUAGGAGUACCUUGCUUGCAAUGCUUCUUGAUCCAGUUUUACGACACUACUGAUCAAGGGAAGCUUAAUUGCCUGUUGCCAAUGUCUGGUGCUUUUCUCCCAAGUGGGGCGCCCGAAUCAACAUGAGUGACUAACGGAGGGUUUCUGCAGAGAUAAUGGUACUCUUGCAAUCAAUAGUAAUCCAAUUAUUAAAUCAUUUUUCAAUGGUUAUAUAUUGUGAAGCAUCUAAAAUUAAAAUCUGAACCCAUAGACCAAGCAUGUGUGUGAAACCAAUGGCACAUCAAAAAUCAUACUAGAGGAUAAUUAUAAGCAUUUGCAUUCUCCUAAAGAGUCACCAUGCUCCCCUAGUUAAAAAGGCUAAAUUGAUCGAUUUCAGUGGGGUUUUCGAGUUAUAGUUAGCUUCAAAACUAGUACUGUACCUGCAGCAAAACUCUCCUGCCAAUGGUGCUAGUAACAACGCACUCAUCCUGUCAAACAGGCUCAUCCUAUACAACCCUACUGAUUUGAUUAUUUCACUGGAGUAUAAUCACAAUGAUGGUUGCUCGAAGUAUUUUUUCAACUAUCAAUAAAUCAGUUUGGACUUGCAAGAAGAGGAGAACUACUCUAGUCUACUCCUCUUGUGCCCUCCAUAUUCUUGUUCUCUUCUUCCCUCUUCUCUUUUUCUUCUCUUCUCUUUCUUCUGUCUUCUCCCCUCUUACUGCAACUGAAUUUAAGUGAAACUUCUCCUUAACUGGACAUUAUUUUCUCUUCUUUCUUCUUUUCUCUUCUCUUGUCAAGCAUCUCAAGCAUCUUCCAUCAAUGAAAUAUUUUGUGUUAAUCUAAAUGAAAACUUUUGAGUUAAUCUAAAUGAAAUUUUUUCAAAAAAACAGAAAAUUCAAAAAACUUUGCAGCAACUUAAAUUCAAAUCCUAGAAACAUUUUCACGAAGAUAUGCAUAUCAUUUACUCCCCACAAGCAUAUCAACAUAUCAACAAGCCUCAUCUCUAGGGUUUACACAUACUCCACACAAACAUACUCCACACAAACAAGGAGUUACACAUACUCCACACAAGCCUCAUAUCAACAACAAGCAUCUCUAGCAUCUCUAGCAUCUCGAAGACAAACCUCAUCGCAACAACAAGCCUCAUCUCAUUUCCGAACUGCUCCACCUGCAAACCUCAUCUCUAGGUGUCAUCAAGGUUGUCCCUUUUCCGAACUGCUUUCUCAACACGUGCACGAAGGAAUACAACAAAGGAAAAAUAGUCAGAAAUGCUACAGUUAACUGAAAGUAGUCUGAAAUGCUACUGUAAUUGUACCUCCAUCUUCAUCCAUUUGAAGUACUGCAUCUUCAUCCAUUUCAACUACUGGAUCUUCAUCCAUUUCAUCUGCAGGUGGAGUGCAGUUGAGGUCCGGCACAACCAUGUUCUCCAUCUUACUCGUGCUUCUUACUCCUGCUGCAAAUUAACCUUAGGACAUAAGAUAUCUUGAGAAGAAUAAAAGAAGAUUGAAGAAAUAGAAAAAAAAUAUGUGCAGAGAACAAACACUCUCAUUGAACAAAUCAACAACAUUGUCUGGGUACAACACUCCCAUUGAGCAAAUGGAUUAGUACUGUUAAAAUGGAGUAACUAAUCGGUGUACUGUUAUUCAUAGAAGAUGUCCUAUUAAUUACAGUAUUCAGAGCACUAUUAAUUUUGGAUUAGCUUGUUCCUGCUAAUGGAGUAGUUAUUCAGAGAAGGUGAUCUGGUGCGGUAAUUUUUUAGUUAAUUAAUUGCUAGUACUUGAAAACCCAAAUCACUUCGGUCUGCCUAGUUCAGCUUCACAGAAAAAUAACUGUUCCGAGCAGCGUGUCGACAAAAUUCAACUUGUUUUGAGGUUUUGCACAUUAGCGUUCUUUGUUAUCUUGUUAUUUCAACUUGUUGUAGUACCUGUGACACAUGAUACCUAUUUCAGGAAAGCCCAGCAGUUGUUGUGUUUCUGUUGGCUAAACUUUGUAAAACUUCAUUAUGUUGUGUACCUGUGAUUUAUACCACAUAUUAUGUUGUGUAUCUAUGACACUGUGAUUUACACCACACAUUAUGUUGUAUAGCUAUGACACAUGAUACCUGUUUCACUGAGACCGAAGUUCCUGCAUUUGAAAUAUGGUUUCACUGAGACCAAAUUUUGUGCUCUUGGCUGGCCCUUAGGCGCCUCUUAAAUCUGGUUUUGCUCUUUUCUGUUAAGUUUGGGUGUGAUUGUGUGAACUUGUUCGUUAGUCUCCGGUAGGCCGCAAGGGGCCUGCUCGCGGAUACAUGGAAGAUCUUCCUAACCGUGAGCCGGUCCAGUUAAGCUGAAUUAUCCUGACUGAAGUGAUUCUGGAAGAGUUAAAAUUUCAGUUAAUUCUCUCUUAUCUCUUCUUCUCUCUUAGUGUACUCGUAGUGUACUGUUGCUGUUAAAUUUCAGUUAAUUAAUUGAAUCUCCUUUUCUUUGGUUCUUGUUUAUGCAGUUCUUGUUUAUGCGGAGAGGCACCGAGCCAGCUGCUAGUGUCAUGUGCUGUUGGCAGUUGUGAGCACCUUCUUAUCUUUCUUUCUGCUUGUUUAGAAUUGUUGGCUAGAAACAGAACAUUCAUUUUGGAGUACUCCAGUAGCAGUAGUAAAUAUCACCAUUUCACUUCAAAUUCAGUUGACAAUCACUUGUUCACAUUACUGCCAAAUAUUGAUAGAGUUGUUGCCAAAUUCAGGUUGAUGAGAUGAAUGUGGGCAUCAACCGACCUCAGUAGCAGCUCCAGAAAUAGCCUCCACCUGGGUGUGUCGUGUGCAGCACCACCACCACCAGUAGUAGCAGCAGCUCUAGGAUAAGGCCUAGAGGUGGAGUGGAGGAGUGCGUUGUGCAGCACCACCACCACCACCAGUAGUAGCAGCAGCUCAGGAGAGGAGGAUCGCCUGAGCCUGGAAGUGGAGGCUCUCGGACCUGGGUGCAGUCUUGGAGGUGGAGGCGCCAGGAUCUGGGUGGAGGUGAACGUGGACGUGGAGGUUGAGGGCGGGGCCGGAGGUGGAGGUCAAGGGCGAGGGCGGACCGCCGGAGGUGGGAGGUGGAGGUCGGGGCCGGAGGCGGAGGUGGAGGGCGAGGCCGGACCGUCGGAGGUGGGAGGUGGAGGUGGAGGUCGAGGGCGGGGCUGGAGAUGGAGGUCGAGGGCGAGGUCGGACCGCUGGAGGUGGGAGGUGGAGGUGGAGGUGGAGGUGGAGGUGGAGGUGGAGGGCAGGGGCGGAGGCAGAGGUGGAGGGCGGGUGUGGAGGUGGAGGGCGAGGACGGGAGGGGAGGCGGAGGUGGAACACGUUGAGGAAGAAGACAGGCAGAUUUAGAAUUUGAACUGGGGGCAUAAAUGUCUAUUUACCCUUUUUCACCUGGUCGGAACAUAGUCCCCAUCGACUUAUAAUUCGGAAUCGAGGGAGUAUAUCUUAACUCCUCCAUGGCUUAUACCCGUGAUAUAAUCCAUAGCAUCAACAAAACAAGCAAACUACACAUAAAAAACAGAAUCUGACUGAAACAGAAUAGUCUAUAGUAAUAUGUCAUGAACCUAUACUUAUGUAACUUCAAAAAUUCUGAACCAUUAGGACAUACCUAGGAAUUUGUAUAGCAAUACUAUGUAAAAGUUUCAGCUUAAAAAGACGUUCUAGUAAAAUCACAUAAAUUCUGCACUCGAUGUCAAAGUUUUUGUUUUUGCAUCGUAUCAAUUCUACUCAUCAUGCAAAUCAUCCCAAAGGCUUUACUUGGCACAAACACUAAAUAAAACAUAAAAACACAAUCAUUAUAGAGGCAAUAAUCAUGUUAUAACAUACUAACAUAAAAUAAAUGAUAACUAUUGGGUUGUCUCCCAACAACUCUUUCUUUAUAGCCAUUAAGAUAGGCUUAAAAUUUCAAUGAUGCUCACAUAAAAGACAAGAAUUGAAUCACAAAGAGAGCAUCAUAAAACAUGUGACAAGAACAUUUAAGUCUAACAUACUUCCUAUGCAUAUGCAUUUUAUAAGCAAACAAUUUAUCAAGACAAGAAGUGUGUACCAUAAGGAAGUAGGAAGAACGAAGCAUUAACAAUUUGAAUAUCAAUAAAGGUGAGUGAGUAGCAUGGAAAUUUCUAUGACCAUAUUUUCCUCUCUCAUAAUGAUUUCAUGUAGGAUCAUAUUAAAAUUCAACAAUAUGGCAAUCAUUAUUUUCAUUCAAGGAGCUAUAAUGAAUCACUUUAUAAAUUUCACAAUUUUUGGAUUCAUUAUUUUCAAGCGAGACCUCAUAAAGAUAAUCUAGUGCACUUUCACUAGCAAUUGUUUCAACACAAUUUUGUUUAAAGAUUACCUAGUGAAUGAGGAUCCAUUUAUCUUUAUUUUUUCAUUUUACUUUCUGUUUUGGUGUAACAAAUAUAAAGAUAGCAUAGCUGGGCAAGUAAACUAGAGAGCAAAGAUGCAAAGUAGUGACAAGCUAAACAAGCAAAGCUAAAUAUUUUUGUAUUUUUAUUUUUUUAUGAGACAAACUAAAUAUACCAGCAAAUAAAAAGAGGAACAAGUGAAUGAAAUUUUGUGCGGAUUUACUUGGUAGUUGGUGAUGAUAUUCCUCGACAACGGCACGACAAAUCCUUCCUCAUACUCGUGAUGUGUGUUGCGUUUUUCAUGAAGAGGAACGGAUUAUCGCAACACAAAGUGGGUAAGUAUUUCCCUCAGUUAUGAACCCAAGGUUUAUCGAACCAAUAGGAAUAUCAACCACAGCCAUCUUCAGUGGCUUCAGACAAAAUAACAACCAACUUGCACCCAAUGCCGGCAAGAGGGUUGUCAAUCCUCUUAUCUUGUUAUUUGCAAGCAAGUGAGGUGUGUAUAUAAUUGUAGAUAGCAAGAUAAAAUAAAAAUAAGUAAAUAACAACAAGGUAUUGAAGGUUUUAUCAUUAUGUUGUGAAUAGACACGGGGGGUCAUAGCUUUCCCUAAUGGCAUCUCUCAUGAAAAAUAGCAUGCGGUGGGUAAACAAAUUACUCUUGGGCAAUUGACAGAAAAGAAGAUAGUUAUGCCAUAUUCACGGCAAUGAUCAUGUGUAUAUAUGCACCAUGUCCAUAAAUAGAUAGGUCGACUCCUGCGAGCACCUAUUACUAUUACUCCACUGAUCGACCGCUAUCCAACAUGCAUCUAGAGUAUUAAGUAAAACAGAGUAAUGCAUGGAGAACAAUGACAUGAUGUAGACAAAGUAAACUCAAGCAAUAUGAAUUAGCCCCAUUGUUUUAUCCUUAGUAGAAGCAACACAAAGAUGCAUCUUGUCCCCUUCUGUCACUGGGAUAUAGAAAUUCGCCAGUUUGAACCUACCACAACGCACCUCUCUCACCGAAGAAAUAUCGAUCUAGUUCGCCAAACUAUUUCAAUAGACCGGAUAGAAUCAUGAAACUAUCAUAAUCAUGCACAUAACAAUCAUAUAGGUAUUCAGAGGUGACUCAAAUAUUUAUCAUGAAUAAUGUGAACAUAAACACACAAUUCAUUGGAUCCCAACAAAUGCACCGCACAAAGGGAUUACAUCAUAUGGAUCAAAGUGAAGAUGCGAUGAUCAUUGUAUUGAAGAUCAAAGAUAGAGAGAUUGCCAUCUAGCUACUGACUAUGGACCCGUAGGUCUGUGAUGAACUACUCACACAUCAUCGUGAUGGUAGCAAUGUUGAUGAAGAGGCCCUCCGUGAUCGAUACCCCUCUAGAAGGGUGCCGGAACGGAGCUCCAAAUGGCCUCCCAUCGGAAUAGAGACUUGUGGCGGUGUAAAAAGUGUUUCAGGACUCCCUGUGGUGUUUUUAGGGUAGAUGAGAAUUUAAAAGCCAAAGGACGGAGUAGGGAGGGCCACAAGGGAGGCACAAGCCAUCAAGGCACCCCCAGGCCGCGCCCUGUUGGUUGUGGGUCCUUCGUGAGGCCUCCAGCCUUGUUUCGAUGCUCGUUGGUCUUCUUUUGGUCCAGAAAAAAUCACCAAAAAGUUUCAGGGUAAUUGGACCCUGUUUGGUAUGGAAAACCUUCAAAGUGAAAAACACGCACGAAACAACAACUCGCAUUAGGCAGUGUGGGUCAGUAGGUUAGUGCUAAAAAAUAAUAUAAAAUGGUGAAUAAAUACUCCAAAAGUAUUCUAUAAUGAUAAUAUAUCAGCAUGGAACAAUAAAAAAUUAUAGAUACGUUGGAGACGAUCAUGUAUCAUAAGGAUGAGGUGUUCAGCUGUUUUCAGGAUUUCCAUGCAUUGGUAAAGAACCAGUUUAAGGUGCAGGUGCACAUGAUCAGGACUGACAAUGGCACAUAGUAUGUGAAUAACACCUUUGGUGCCUUCUCCUCUGACCAAGGGAUUCUUCAUCAAACUUCUUGUCUGGACAGCCCCCUCCGAAUGGAGUGGCAGAAAUGAAGAAUUGACAUAUUCUUGAGGUUGCUUUGUCGUUGAUGUUUACCAUGAAUAUGCCCAAGUUUUUGUGGAGGCAAGCAGUUACGACAACCGCAUACCCGAUCAACCGGACACCUUCAAGGAUACCCAACAUGAAUUCGCCAUGUGAAUUGCUAUUUGGAGAAAAUAAUUUUGUUAUUCCCCAAAGUUGUUUGGCAGUACCUGCUUUGUUCAUGACCACCGACCUACUGUUGGGAAGCUAGACCCGCGGGCAGUGAAGUACAUUUUUCUGGGCUAUGCUUCGAGUCAGCAGGGGUAAAAAUGUUGGUGUCCCUUUGAGAAACGUCGAUUUGUAAGUAUGGAUGUCACUUUCAGGGAGUUUGACCCAUUCUAUGGUGGGCCAACAGACCUAAGUCUGUUGUUUGCAGAGCUUGACCACUUACACUCUGUGCGGGAUGGUCAAGACGAGGAGAAGGUUGUAUCUCAUUCUUAGGAUGAUUCUCUGGGCACUAACACUGAUGACGAUGUACAUGUUCAAGUCCAGCCAAUUAUGGGCACAAUUCCAAUUGGUACUCUCACUAAUGGUGUUGUGCAGGUCUAGGUUUAGCCAAUAGUGGGUGAUGAACCUCAAGUAUAGGGGAUCAAUCGUAGUCCUUUCAAUAAGUAAGAGUGUUGAACCCAACGAGGAGCAGAAGGAAAUUAUAAGCAGUUUUCAGCAAGGUAUUAUGUGCAAGUGUUGUAAGUAACAAUGAUAGAUAGUUUUGUAGGAAGGUAACUCGUAACAAGUGACAAGUAACAAUAAUAGCAAAGGUGAAGCAAUGUAGGACAAUCCUUUUUUAGCAAAGGACAGGCUUGAAAGUACUCUUAUAUAAAGCAAGUGCUCCCGGGGACACAUGUGAGUAUCUGUCUAGUCAUGUUCAUCAUAUAGAGUUGAUUCACGUUCGCUACUUUGACAAUUUGAUAUGUGGGUGGACUGGAGCUAAGGUGUUGUUCUUACUUGAACUAACAACCUACUUAUGAUUAACCCCUCUCGCAAGCAUUCACAACUACGAAAGAAAAAUUAAGAUAAAUCUAACCAUAGCAUGAAACACGUGGAUCCAAAUGAGCCCCUUAUGAAGCAACACACAAACUGGGGUUUAAGCUUCUGUCACUAUCACACCCCAUCAUCUACUUGUUACUCCGCGAUGACUUCCCUUAGGCCCAUAACAUGGUCAAGUGUCGUGUAGUCUAUGUUCACAUGACACCACUAAAGGAAGUAACAACAUACAUAUCAUCAAAAUAUCGAACGAAUGCCAACUUUAUAUGAUUACUUAUAACCAGACUUCUCCCAUGUCCUUAGGAACAAUAGUAACUACUCACACCUCAUCAACAUGUUCAACAUCAGAGGUGUCACAAAUAUGAUUAAGGAUCUAAACAUUAUGUCUUCCACCAAGUAAUCCAACUAGCAUCAACUACAAGAUGUAGUUAACACAGCUAGCAACCCACAGGUAUCAACCUGAGGUUUUGAGACAAAGAUUUAAUACACGAGAUGAACUAGGAUUGGAGAUGAGAUGGUGUUGGUGAAGAUGUUGAUGAAUAUUGGUCCUCCCAUGAAGGAGGAAGCAUUGAUGAUGACGAUGGCUUUGUUUUCCCCCCUCCCGGAGAGGAAUUCCUCCGAUGGAAUCGCUCUGCUAGAGAGAAAAAGGGCCUCUAUCCACAUUUCCGCCUCGAGAUGGCAGGGCUUCACCCCGAAAUUAUGUCUUGAUUUUUCUAGGGUAAAACACAUCAUAUAGGAGAAGAGAGGCGGGGGAGGACCACCAGGGGGCCAACAAGUCGUUAGGGCGCGGCACGGGGGUUGUUGGCUUGUGCCGAGGUGGCUGCCCCUCUGCGGUGUAUUUUUGGCCCAAUAAUUCUUAUAUAUUCCAGAAAAAUUCUACAUGAAGUUAAAGGUCAUUUCGAGAAACUUGAUUUUUCUACCUUUUUUCUCGGUUUCUCGGUUCAGAAUUCCAGUUUCCAGAUACUUCCCUCUUUGUAAUGUACCUUGCAUAUUCAGAGAGAAAAGACAUAAGAAUUACUCCCUCCAUCCCAAAAUAAGUGUCUCAACUUUGUAUUAGCUCUAAUACAAAGUUGUACUAAGCUUGAGACAGUUAUUUUGGGACGGAGGGAGUACAUAAUAACAGGGAAUAUGGAUAAUAAUAAUACAAAUAUAAAUAAAGAUUCAUGAUGCAAAAUGGACGUAUCAACUCCCUCAGGCUUAGACCUCGCUUGUCCUCAAGCGAAAGCCAAGCUCGAGAAUAACGGCCACAUGAUUUGAGAGGGAGAAGUCGAUAAAAAUAAAAUACGGACAUGAGAGCAUCAGGAAUAUUAGCAUAGCAAUAACUAUAUUAUCAUGCAAAUUUUCAUAAAAAAGUAAUGAUCUAUUCACAAAUAUUGGAGUAUGAAGCAUAAAAUUUGUUGACAAACAACAAACUAUGUUCUCAGUUAUUGUGACAAUCAUAAUUAAACAUAUUUCAAAGGAGAGUCUAUGUAAGAGCUUUCUUAUUGGGAAGUUCACAUACUCAACUAUCAUUUAUUCUUCUAUGAUUGCUCAUACUCAAGUGAUAUUUUUGGAUCUCAUGUUUUCGUAGGACACAUUGGAAGGUAGGGGCUUAAAUGAUUCGCCACCCAAAUAAUUUACCUCAGGGAUAAUGUCAACAAUAAUAAAUUAUGAUAAUCUACAUUCACUUGGAUAUAUAAAUCUGAAUCUUUCCUCAACACAUGAUGUUUGGCACUAUAGAAUUAACAGGUAGAGAGAAGAAUGAAUUUAGUGACUCACACACAAGAGUGAACUUCAAAGAUAAAAGAUAGGCCCUUCGCAGAGGGAAGCAAAGGUUGCAUGCGCUUUUAGGUUUUUGAAUGUGCAAGCUCUUAAUGCAAAGGAACGUCACUUUGUAUUGCCCCUUAUGAUAGCAAACUUUACUAUGCAGUCUAUCGCUUUUAUUUCUUUGCCAUCACAAGAUUGUACAAAGUUUAUUUUCCCUUGCAAUAAAAGAUCAUACAUAUUUAGGAGAAACUUUAUAUUGCUUGGUGCACCGGUGACAACUUACUUGAAGGAUCUUACUCAAUCCAUGGGUAGGUAUUGUGGACUCUCAUGGCAAGAAACUAGGUUUCGGGUUUAUGAAUGCACAAGUAGUAUCUCUACUUAGUGCGAAGUUUUGGGCUAGCAAAAGUUCUAAAGCAAGCAUCACAUGUUAAAGGAUCUAGGACCAUAUAAGUUCUAUAUGAAUGUGAAAUACCAUCACCAUUAUGUUGUCUUCCAUGUCCUACGUCAACACUUGAUCAUUAUAUAAUAUUUGAUGAGGGCUCACAAUCACAAAAGAUGUCCAAGAUAGUAUAUUUAUAUGAGAAUAUCCUCUCCUCCUUCAUAGUCUUGCUUAGAUUGUAACCAUGACUAAUACUAUGUUUGUUUAUUUUCAACAAUCUUCAUCACUUAUACUCUUUACUAUGUGAAGUCAUUACUCCUCAUGGGAUAAGCAUAUGAUCUAUAUCUUUCUUUUUAUGGACAUGCUAUGAUGACGAGUGCCCACGGGUAAACCACAAAAACUCAAUUAAUCUUUAUUAUAUACCUCGCAUACUCGAUUGCAAGGGUAGAUGGGACUUGAAGCAAAAAUACUAAGCAAAGCAAACCUUAAAUUUAUUUCUCUAAAUCACGAAACAACUAAGGAUCGAACUAAAAUAGAUAGUAAGGAUGACGGGGGUGAUGGUGAUACGAUACCGGGGCACCUCCCCCAAGUUUGGAACAAGCCAAGGGUGGUGCCCAUACCCAAGUACUCAAGCGUACUUCUCACGAGAUGAUGGUGGUGUGGUCGCAUUCUUCUGUUCUAACUUACGUCGGAGGAUAAAAUUCUCCUCCCUCAAUUCAUCGUUCUCUUUCUCGAUCUUCAAUAUGUUUUUGCAUAAUGCCUUCUUGCUUCCCUGCAGAAAACAUGAAGGGAUAAAUUGAACCUUAGAUUUCUUUACCCUUUUUGGUAGACUGGACUUCUUGAAUUCGACAUGCAUAUCUUCGGGUUGAGGUAGUGGAACUUUGUCUUCAUCUGAGUCGGCUUCCUUUAUUUCCUCUAAUUCAUUGUCGUACUCAUCCUUAAUGGACCAAAGAUAAGGGUAGGUAUCCCCGAAGAUCCUUGGUUGUGAAAUAUAAUGGGAGACGUAGCUCUCUCCAUCCGAAUCUUGAGACGACAUAUUCUCACGCCUGCCAGAAAACAGCUCGAAAUGAGAACAAAGGAAAUCUCGCGAUGCGAUAGUCAAAACAACCGGGAGUAUAUAUAAUGAUUUUUUAUGGACUAGAAUACGUGCUCAGGAAGAAGAGGAGUCCGGGAGGCACACGAGGGCCCCACAAGCCAUCAGGGCGCGGCCUGGGGGCGCCUUGUUGGCUUGUGCCUCUCUCGUGGGACCCGUGGACUCCUUUUUAUUUUUGCAUUUUUUCUAAAAUACCAAAACCUACAGAUUUUUUUGAAUUUUUGGAGUUGGUUUACUUACCGUACCGCGUACCUACCCUUUUUCAGGUUUCCGAAAUGUUCCGGAAGGUUUCCUUUACGUGCUCCUUCGAUGUUAGGACUUGGAUGAUAUUAGUCUCCUCAUUAACGGGUGCACCUAAAAUAUAAUGUUUGAUUCUUUUUCCAUUUACCACUCUCGGGUUUUUACCUUCAAAGUUAUUAAUUUUUAUGGCACCAGAGCGAUAAAUCUCCUCGCCAACAUAGGGUCCUUCCCAUUUGGAGAGGAGUUUACCUGCAAAAAAUCUAAAAUGGGAAUUGUACAAAAGCACUAGGUCUCGUACAUUCAAUUCUCUUGUCAUGCCAUCUUUUAAAUUUCUCCUUAAAUAACUUAGCAUUUUCAUAAUCUUGUGUCCUGCAUUCAUCUAAUGGUCUAAUAUCAAACAACCUCUUUUCACCGGCAAGUUUGAAAUCAUAAUUAAGUUCUUUAAUUGCCUAAUAGGUUUUAUUUUCUAGCUCAAGAGGUAGAUGACAAGCUUUUCCAUAGACCAUUUUGUACGGAGACAUCCCCAUAGGAUUUUUAUAAACAACCAUGUAGGCCCAAAGAGCAUCAUCUAGCUUCUUAGACCAAUUCUGCCUGGAUCUAUUGACAGUCAUUUGCAAGAUCAAUUUUAUUUUGCGAUUGCUCAGAUCAACUUGUCCACUAGAUUGAGGAUGAUAAGGUGAUGCAAUCCUAUGAUUAACAUCCUAUUUAGCUAGAAAUUUACGAAAAUCACCAUGAAUAAAAUGUGAACCACCAUCAGUCAUUAAGUAUCUGGGGACACCAAACCUCGGGAAGAUAAUGUCUUUAGCAUUUUAAUAUAACUAUUAUGAUGAGUACUACUAGUUGGAAUAGCUUCCACCCAUUUAGUAACGUAAUCAACAACAACUAGAAUAUGAGUAUAUCCAUUCAAAGAAGGAAAAGGUCCCAUAAAGUCAAAACCCCAUACAUCAAAUGGUUCAAUAGCUAGUGAAUAAUUCAUAGGAAUUUCCUCACGUUCACUAAAAUUACCAACUCUUUGGCAUUCAUCACAAGAAAGGACAAACUUACGAGCAUCUUUAAAAAGAGCAGGCCAAUAAAAACCGGAUUGUAAUACCUUGUGUGUCGUCCUAUCACUAGCGUGAUAUCCUCCAUAAGUUUCAGAAUGGCAUUUCCUUAGGAUCUGCUCCUGUUCAUGCUCAAGUAUACAACAUCUAAUAACAUCAUCUACUCCUUCUUUAUAAAGAUGUGGAUCAUACCGAAAGUAAUGUCGUAAAUCAUAGAACAAUUUUUUUUGUUUUGUUGAUAGGUGAAACUAGGCGGAAUCUAUUUAGCAACAAGGUAAUCAGCAUAAUCCGCAUACCAAGGAGUACUAAAUGAAGUGUUUAUAACGACAAGUUGCUCAUUAGGGAAAUUAUCAUCAGUCGGUAGUGGGUCAUCAAGAAUAUUUCCAUCCUAGACAAGUUAUCUCCUACAAGGUUAUCAACUCACUUUCUAUCAAUGAUAUGCAAAUCAAAUUCUUGGGGUAGUAACACCAAUCUAAUGAGUCUAGGUUUAGCAUAUUUCUUUUCCAUAAGGUACUUAAUAGCAGCAUGAUCAGUGUGAAUAGUUACUUUAGAAUCAAUAAUGUAAGGUCUAAACUUAUCACAUGCAAACACAACUCCUAAAAAUUCAUUUCCAAUUUUAGCAUAAUUCCUUUGAGCGGUGUCUAGGGUCUUACUAGCAUAAAUAGUAUUCAGUUUCUUGUCUACUCGUUGCCCUAGAACGGCACCAACAACAUAAUCACUAGCAGCACACAUAAUUUAAAAGGGUAGGUUCCGAUCUGGUGGUUGUACAAUAGGUGCAGAAAUUAAGGCUUUCUUAAGUAUUUCAAAGGCUUCUACACAAUCAUCACCAAAAAAAGGAACAUCUUUUUGGAAAAGAUUAGUUAAUGGCCUAGAAAUCUUUGAGAAAUCUUUAAGGAAGCGCCUAUAGAAACCAACAUGACCAUGGAAACUUCUUAUACCUUUGAUAUCUUUUGGGCAAGGCAUUUUCUUUAUUGCAUAAACUUUGGUUUUAUCCACCUCAAUACCUCGUUCAGAGAUUUUAUACCCAAGCACUAUACCCUAAUUCACCAUAAAUUGGCACUUCUCUUAAUUAAGGACAAGAUUAGUUUCUUCAUAUCUCUGUAAGACUCGAUCAAGGUUGUUCAAGCAAUCAUCAAAGGAAGUCCCAUAAAUGGAAAAAUCAUCUAUGAGGACCUCAACAAUCUUUUUACAAAAGUCAGAGAAUAUACCAGUCAUACAUCUUUGAAAAGUAGCACGUGCAUUACAUAGACCAAAAGUGUUAUGACCACAGGCCCAGUUAGCCAAACUGGCCUGGUUAUCUUAAUAAUAUUAGGGGCUUAGCCAAGUUUAUUAUAGCCUAGGGAACUUAUAUAUAGUCAUGUAGUCAGCACUUUUAAGAUUAAGCAAAGAUCAAUCUAUUUUGAUCGGCUCCAACUAGGAGUCGGUGCCCUAACCCUAACCGCCCCUCCCAUCGCAGCCGCCUCCCCCUCCGUGCGAGACGGCGCCCACGCGCCGGCGACCACGCCAGCUUCCCUCCUUCCCCUACAACCUCCGGCCAAGACCCGGUAGAGCCAUAGUUUCUACCAAAAAGGCAUACACCUAUAAGCAUAAGUUCCAAAAAGGCAUGUAAAGGUAGUUUUCUCUUGGUCCUCCUUUGACACAGGUAUUUGAGAAAAUCCAGAGUAGCCAUCAAGAAAGAAAAAGUGUGUGUUCUUAGAUAAUCUUUAUAAAAUUUUGUUAAUAAAAGGCAAAGGGUGCCGAUCUUUCCUAGUAGCUUUAUUCAAUUUCCUAAAAUCAAUCACCAUCCUAUAACCACUUACUAUCCUUUUUGCAAUGAGUUCAUUUUUAUCGUUGGGAACAACAGUUAUACUACCUUUUCGAGGAACACAAUGAACAUGAUUUACCCAUCUACCAUUAGCAAUAGGGUAAAUUAUACCUGCUUCCAAAUGUUUUAGUAUUUCAGUUCUUACCACCUCUUUCAUUUUAGUAUUGAGGUGGCAUUGAUGAUCAACGACUGGUUUGGCAUCUUGUUCCAUAUUGAUCUUGUGCUCACAAAGAGUAGGGCUUAUGCCUUUAAGAUCAUCAAGAGUAUAGCCAAUAGCAGACCUGUGCUUCUUUAAGGUUUUGAGUAGUCUCUUUUCUUCAUGCUCUGAGAGGUUAGCACUAAUAAUAAGAGGAUAUAUCUUCUUGUCAUCAAGACAAGCAUAUUUCAAAGUAUCACGUAAAGCUCUGAGCUCAAACACAGUGUCUCCUUUGGGUGAAGGAGGACCACCUAAAAUUUCAAUUGGUAAGUUGUGCUUAAGAAUAUGUUGUUGAUCAAGAAGUAUCCUAUCUAAUUCAUUUCUUUCAUUUAAGUGCAUAUCAUUCUCAUGGUCUACCAGAUACUGUUCUAAUGGGUCUGUAGGAGGCACAACAAUAGAGGAAAGACCAAUUAUUUCAUCUUUAUUAGGCAAGUUCUUUUCAUGCGUUUGUUUACCAAACUUAAAAAAAAUGAACUCAUGUGACAUAUCACCGAAGGUAACUUUAACCUUCUCGGUAGCACAAUUAAUUUCAGCAUUAACAGUAUUCAAGAAAGGUCUACUAAAUAUUAUGGGGGGAAAGUUAUCUUGUUCGGAACCAAGCACUAAGAAAUCAGCGGGAUAUUUGACUUUUCCACACAAUACUUCAACAUCUCUAACAAUCCCAAGUGGCGAUAUAUUAUCCCGGUUUGCAAGUUUAAUAGUAACAUCUAUGUGUUCAAUCGAAACGGAUGAUAUAUCAUGCAUAAUUUCUUUAUAUAAUGUAAAAGGUAUAACAUUAAUGCUAGCACCAAGAUCACAGAGGCCAUGGUAACAGUGUUCUAAAAUCUUAACCGAGAUAACAGGUGUGCCUACCACUGCUUUAUUUAUCAAGUUCGUCCUAUUUAUUUCUAACACGCUUUGCAAUUCUAGCAGCUUCAUCAUAGAGGUAAAUAACUUGGACAUCAAUGUUAUCAGCUCACUCCCCGUUGAUUGUGUUGGUUUCCCUCCAAGCUUAAAGGGUGAUGUAGCACAACGAUGACAAGUAUUUUACUCAGUUAUGAAACCAAGGUAUCAACCCAGUAGGAAGAUCCACAAGACUAUGUAAGCGGUACCUGCACACAACUAGAAAAUCCUCGCAACCCAAUGGGUGUAGGGGUUGUCAAUCCCUCGUGGGUAAAGUAAAAAGAUAGAUUGAUAGAUGCAAAUAAAGUGAUGGAAAAUAAAAAGCAUCAAGGUAUUUUUGGGGUUUUUUCGAUAAUAUAGAUCUGAAAAUAAAAGAGCAAACAAAAUGGAAACACGAAUAGCAAAAUAGAGAUUGCAAAUAGAUGGUGUAAAAUAGACCCGGGGGCCAUAGGUUUCACCGGUGUCUUCUCUCGAGAAAAUAGCAAACGGUGGGUAGACAAAUUAUUGUUGGACAAUUAAUAGAAGAGAAAAUAAUUAUGGUGAUAUCCAAUACAAUAUCAUGAUAUAGGCAUGAUAACCCACAAGUAUAGGGGAUCGGAACAGUUUUUGAGGGUAGAGUAUUCAACCCAAAUUUAUUGAUUCGACGCAAGGGGAGCCAAAGAAUACUCUCGAGUAUUAGCAGUUGAGUUGUCAAUUCAACCACACCUAAAAGACUUAGUAUCUGCAGCAAAGUAGUAUGAUAGUAACGGUAGCGGCGGUAACAGUAGCAGUAGUAAUUUGUAUAGCAAGUGUGACAGUAGUAUCGGUAAAGUAACUUAGCAAGGACCAGUAUAGGAAAAGCUCGUAGGUAUUGGAUCGGUGAUGGAUAAUUAUGUCGGAUGGAAUUCAUCAUGCAACAGUUAUAACAUAGGGUGAUAUGUAACUAGCUCCAGUUCGUCAAUGUAAUGUAGGCAUGUAUUCGAUAUUUAGUCAUACGUGCUUAUGGAAAAGAACUUGCAUGACAUCUUUUGUCCUACCCUCCCGUGGCAGCGGGGUCCUAAUGGAAACUAAGGGAUAUUAAGGUCUCCUUUUAGUAGAGAACCGGAACAAAGCAUUAGCACAUGGUGAAUACAUGGGAUCCUCAUACUAUGGUCAUCUCCGGGAGUGGUUCCGGCUAUUGUCACUCCGGGGUUGCCGGGUCAUAACACAUAGUAGGUGACUACAACUUGAAGAUAGGAUCAAGAACACACAUAUAUUGAUGAAAACAUAAUAGGUUCUGAUCUGAAAUCAUGGCACUNNNNNNNNNNNNNNNNNNNNNNNNNNNNNNNNNNNNNNNNNNNNNNNNNNNNNNNNNNNNNNNNNNNNNNNNNNNNNNNNNNNNNNNNNNNNNNNNNNNNNNNNNNNNNNNNNNNNNNNNNNNNNNNNNNNNNNNNNNNNNNNNNNNNNNNNNNNNNNNNNNNNNNNNNNNNNNNNNNNNNNNNNNNNNNNNNNNNNNNNNNNNNNNNNNNNNNNNNNNNNNNNNNNNNNNNNNNNNNNNNNNNNNNNNNNNNNNNNNNNNNNNNNNNNNNNNNNNNNNNNNNNNNNNNNNNNNNNNNNNNNNNNNNNNNNNNNNNNNNNNNNNNNNNNNNNNNNNNNNNNNNNNNNNNNNNNNNNNNNNNNNNNNNNNNNNNNNNNNNNNNNCCAUCAAAACUAACUCGAUGACAUGAUAGAUCUCAUCCAACCCAUCACCCUCCAGCAAGCCUAUGAUAGGAUUACUCAUGAGCGAUGGAGAGCAUCAUGGAAUUGGCGAUGGAGGAUGGUUGAUGAGGACGACAGUGUUGAUUUCCCCUCUCUGGAGCCGAGAACGGACUCCAGAUCUCCCCUCCCGAGGAAGAACACGCGGUGGCGGCGACUCCGUAUCGUGAAACGCGAUGAACUCUUCUCUCCUAUUUUUUCUGGGCAAGAGAGGUUAUAUAGAGUUGGAGAUGAAGUCGGAGGAGCCACGUGGGCCCCACGAGCCUGCUAGGCGCGCCCUAGGGGGCGCGCCUGCAGGGCUCGUGGCCCACUGCAGUGUAUCUUCAGUUGAUUCUUUCUUUGACAUUUUUUAUAUAUUCCGUAAAAAAUCCUCGUAAGUUUCUAGGUCAUUCCGAGAACUUUUAUUUCUGCACAAAAACAACACCAUGGCAGUUCUGCUGAAAACAGCGUCAGUCCGGGUUAGUUUCAUUCAAAUCAUGCAAAUUAGAGUCCAAAACCAGGGCAAAAGAGUUUGGAAAAGUAGAUACGUUGGAGACGUAUCAGCUCCUCCAAGCUUAAAGCCUUGCUUGUCCUCAAGCAAUUCAGCUGAUAAACUGAAAGAGACAAAAGAAAAACUUUUACAAACUCUGUUUGAUCUUGUUGUUGUAAUUAUGUCUAACUCAUAUUCAGAUUUUCAGCAAGAUCAUAAGCUAACCACAUAAGCAAUGACAUUUAGGUCUCAUAGUAUACUCAUAUCAAUGGCGUAAUUAACUAGCGAGCAAUAAUAAUAAGUUUCAAACGUCAACACUUCAAUCAAAAUAAUCAUGAUACAAUAUGAAUAAAUGGUAUCUCGCUAGCCCUUUCUGAGACCGCAAAACAUAAAUGCAGAGCAUCUUCAAAGACCAAAGGCCGACUGGAAAUUGUAAUUCAUGGCAAAGAAGAUCCAGUCAUAGUCAUACUCAAUAUCAAUUAAUAGCAAAGCAUAUAAAUGACGGAGGUGCUCUCUAACUUGUGUUUUUUGAUAAGAAGAGGAUGACUCAACAGAAACGUAAAUAGAUAGGCCCUUCGCAGAGGGAAGCAUUGUUUUGCAGAAGUGCCAGAGCUCAAGCGUUUUAAAACAGAGAUAAAUAAUUUUGGGUGGCAUGCUUUCAUUGUCAACUCAUGACCAAGAGUUUUCACCAUCUUCCAUGCUACACAUAUUAAGGCGGUUCCCAAACAGAAUAGUAAAGUUUUGACUCCCCCACCAUCGAUCAAUCACUCUCCACGACUAGCCGAAUCCUCGGGUGCCGUCCAUACCAACAACAAUCUAGGGGGCGUUUUGUUUGCAAUUAUAUUUUUCCUUUGAUUUGAGCAUGGAACUGGGCAUUCCGAUUACCGGCCCUUUCUCGUGAGUGAUAGUGAAUAAACACGUAUCGAGGAUAACACGCCUAGCAUGGAAGAUACUUACCGCCCCUUGUCACCACAUGAGCAAUUCGGGCAUACAAAACAGAUUAUUAUUUGAAGAUUUAGAGAGUGGCACAUGCAAAUUUACUUGUAACGAGAGGUAGAUACCGCAUAUAGGUAGGUAUGGUCGACUCAUAUGGAAUAACUUUAGGUUUAUGGAAGUGGAUGCACAAGGAGUAUUCUCGCUCAGUACAAGUGAAGGCUGGCAAAAGACUGGGAAGCGACCAACUAGAGAGCGACAACAGUCAUCAAUAUGCAUUGAAAUUAACCAAUGUUGAGUGCAAGCAUGAGUAGGAUAUAAAUCACCAUAAACAUGAAUAUCGUAGAGGCUAUGUUGAUUUUGUUUCAACUACACAUGUGCCAAGUCAAGCCACUUGAAUCAUUCAAAGGAGGAUACCAUCCUAUCCUACUACACCAUAAUCAUCUUGAAAUUCAUGUUGGCAUCCAAGACAAACCAUUAUAAGCUCCUAGCUAAUUAAGCAUGGCAUCAGAAACUAUGAUCUCUAAGUUGUCAUUGCAAACAUGUUUCUCUCAUAACAAUGUUGAAUUAGGAACGAUGAGCUAGUCAUAUUUACAAAAACAAAAUAGGUCGAGUUCAUACCAGCUUUUCCAGGCUCAGUCACUUCAUCAUAUAUCGUCAUUAUUGCCUUUCACUUGCACGACCGAAUGAUGUGAAUAAUAAUAAGAGUGUUCGUGCAUUGGACUAAGCUGGAAUCUGCAAGCAAGUUCAGAGGAGAAGACAAAGUAAUAUGGCUCUUCGACGGAUAAACAAUAAUGCAUAUGAGAGCCACUAAUCAUUUUAAUCAUGGUCUUCUACCUCGACCCAAAGGAAAAGAAAACUAUUUACACGGGAAAGCUCCCAACAAGCAAAAGAAGAACGGGAAAUCUUUUUGGGUUUUCUUUUUAAUUACCACUAAGCAUGCUGGAUAAACUUACAACUAAUUUUUUUCUCAUUUUUAAACAAACACACGAGAAGAAUGCAAGAAAAAGAAAUAAACUAGCAUGUAUGAUACAAUGGAAGAGUGUGAACACCGACUAUCAAAGUGAAUGUGUGAGCAUGAAUAUAACGUCGGUGAGAAACGCGUACUCCCCCAAGCUUAGGCUUUUGGCCUAAGUUGGUCUACUCCCAAGGAGGGAAGUAACCGUCUCCGGGGUACUCCGGAGUGUACUGAGGGUGCCACUCUUGGGUGAGCUCCUCUGGCGCCCACUGAUAAAAUGGCGUCUGGCACUCGACUGGUGGCUCGGGCAUGGGCGCCUGUGGUGGCGCCAUGCCCCAGUAUAAAUACCAAGUUAUAGUCUCACGAACCCUGGCUAAAUACCAAGUUAUAAAUCAUCCUCUUAUCAUUAUCUUUAUCAAGAAAAUCAUGGCAAACCAUGCUAUCAUAAUCUAAAUAUCUCUCAGGAAGAAGCAUCUCUUCUUCCUCGUACAAUCUAAUUAAUAGGUAUCUCAAAAUGUUUAGCAUGACGGGUAGCAUAGAUAGCUCCAUAAACAGCGCCCUUGGUACGGUUCGUGUUCAACCGUUGAGCCACUAUAGCGCCCAAGCUAUAAGUUCUAUCAUUAUAAAGAGCUUCGCGCAAAACCGCAAGAUUUGGGGAGCUAAGAGCCCCAGCUUUCCCAUGGCCAAUCAAACAAUUUCCCACAAAUAAUGAGAAAUACCGAAGCACGGGAAAAUGUACACUAGCAACUCUAGCGCCAGACACCCCUCUCUCCUCUCCUACAACAAUAGUAUCAAUGAAGGCCACCAAGUCCCGUGGACGAGGUUCAUGAAUAUCCCUAACAUAAGGUAACUUGCAAACAUUGUAGAAAUCCUGAAGUGACAUGCACUGGAGGAUAUCAUAUAACUUGAACUCAACCAUGGGAGGACUCUUCCUUGUUUAAAAAUUAAAGCUUUGCACGAAAGUAUUAGUGAGGAGGAGGUAUUGUGGACACUUAUCUUCGACUAAUGCAGUAAGGCCUGCGUUCUCCACCAAGUAAUAAAAAUUCUCAUAAAGAUCGGCGGCGUGUAAGAACACAUCGCUUGGCCACUCGCAUGCUCGAACUUCUGCAACUCGGGGGACCGGAUACUUGGGUUUCUUCUUCUCAUUUUCAUCUUCUUUGGGGUCACGGCUCGAAGAGCCUCUUAGAAACCUCCUCAUCUUUUCCUUUUUCUUUCUCAAGGAACAAUUCCUCAAAACAGUUUGGUGAAUGGGGCUUUGCACAAGGAGAUCGAAAAAUGCAACAAAAUGAGCAAGAACACGGGUUUGAGCUAUGAAAUGAUUUUUUCUGGAGGUAGACGAAGGAGAUGGGUGCUGGAAUAAGUGGAGGGGGCCACGUGGAACCCACGAGCCUGCGAGGCGCGCCCAGGGGGGUGGGCGUGCCUCCUGGGCUCGUGGCCCACUGGUGCAUCCCCGUGACUAGUUAUCUAUCUCAGAAAUUCUUAAAUAUUCCAGAAAAAUCAUACUUGAAUUUCAGGGCAUUUGGAAAAGUUUUAUUUUUAGGUCAUUUUUUAUUGAACGAAUAAUGCAGAAAACAGGAAAAUAAUGCUAUAUUUGUUAUUUUCUACUAAAUAACAGAAAGUAAAAGUUGGGAACAGAAGGUUGUGACUUCUAGAUUCAUCCAUAUCAUGGUCAUCAAAAGAAAUCCGUCAAUGCGGUUCAUCAAGUCUCCUUGACAAACUUUUUUUCGAAUCAAGUAAAUCCGGAGAAUUUUCGAAUAAUCCUAGGUUACCUCAACGGGGAUGUUCAUAUCCCCAAUAAAAAGUAUAUCAUAUUUCAUCUUGACGGUAGGUAUAGGGAAUUCAAAGCUUCCAAUAAUAAUUGAUGAAGAUUUUUCAAUAGCAUUAAUGCAAUGAACUCGAUAUUGCUUCUUCGGAAAGUGCACCGUGUGCUCAUUACCAUUAACAUGGAAAGUGACAUUGCCUUUGUUGCAAUCAAUAACAGCUCCUGCAGUGUUUAAAAAGGGUCUUCCAAGUAUGACCGCCAUGGCAUCAUCCUCGGGAAUAUCAAGAAUAAUGAAGUUCGUUAAGAUAGUAACAUUCGCAACCACAACAGGCACAUCCUCGCAAAUGUCGAUAGGUAAAGCAGUUGAUUUGUUGGCCAUUUGCAAAGAAAUUUCAGUAGGUGUCAACUUAUCCAAUUCAAGUCUAUGAUAUAAAGAGAGAGGCAUAACACUAACACCGGCUCCAAGAUCACAUAAAGCAGUUCUAACAUAAUUUCCUUUAAUGGAGCAAGGUAUAGUGGGUACUCCGGGAUCACCUAGUUUCUUAGGAGUCCCACCCUUAAAAGUGUAAUUAGCAAGCAUGGUGGAAAUCUCAACAUCAGGUAUCUUUCUUUUAUUAGUCAUAAUAUCUUUCAUGUACUUAGCAUAAGGAGACAUUUUAAGCAUAUCAGUCAAACGCAUUUGCAAAAAGAUAGGUCUAAUCAUUUCAACAAAGCGCUCAAAAUCCUCAUCAUCCUUUUUCUAGGAUGGUUUGGGAGGAAAGGGCAUGGGUUUCUGAACCCAUGGUUCUCUUUUUUUACCAUGCUUCCUAGCAAUAAAAUCAUUCUUAUCAUAUCUCUUGUUCUUAGGUUGUGGGUUAUCAAGAUCAACAGCAGGUUCAAUCUCCACAUCAUUAUCAUUACUAGGUUGAGCAUAAACAUGAACACCAUUAUCAAUAUUAUCACUAGGCUCAUGUUCAUCACCAGAUUGUGUUUCGGCAUCAGAAAUAGAAACAUCAUUUGGAUUCUCAGGUGUAACAGCAACAGGUUUACUAGCAUGCAAGUUCCUAUCAUCUUUCUUUUUCUUCCUAUUACCACGAUGACUAGGUGCAUUAGUAUUAACUCCUUGAGAAUCUUGUUCAAUUCUCUUAGGAUGGCCCUCAGGAUACAAAGGUUCCUGAGUCAUUCUACCACCUCUAGUAACAACUCGAACAAAAUUAUCAUUCAAUUCAUUAAGCAAGUCAUUUUGAGCCUUAUGUACUUGUUCUACUUGAGUAGUGACCAUAGAAGCAUGUUUACCAAUAAGCUUAAGAUCAUUAACAUUUCUAUCCACACAAGCACUUAUAUGAUUAAUCAUACGAGCAUUUUGUUCCACUUGUCUGCUAGCAUAAUCAUUAAAACUUUGUUGUUUGGCAACAAAGUUAUCAAAUUCAUCAAAGCAUAAGCUAGCAGGUUUAUCAUAAGGAAUAUCACUAUCAUUGAAUCUACGAAGAUAAUUUACCUCUACUACCUCUGUCGGGUUAUCAAGACCAUGUAUUUCUUCAAUAGGUGGUAGAUUCUUAACAUCUUCAUAUUUAAUACCUUUCUCUUGCAUGAUUUCUUGGCUUCUUGCAUAUCUUCAGGACUAAGGAAUAGAAUACCUCUUUUCUUGCUUCGGAGGUGGUUCAGGAAUAGUCCAAGCAUUAUCAUUGCUCAAGAUAUUAUUCAAUAGAAUUUCAGCUUCUUCCACAGUUUGUUCCGUGAAAACACAGCCAACACAACUAUGUAGGUGGUCCCUAGAAGCAUCCGUUAGUCCAUUAUAAAAGAUAUCAAGUAUUUCAUUUUUCUUAAGAGGGUGAUCAGGCAAAGCUAUUUUUUUCCUCAUUAGUGAAUAGGGUGGCUAUAUCAUUCAGUUUAGUAAGAUGUGCUACAACAAUUUUAGAUUCAUAACCAUGAAAAGGAUUAGAUUCAACCAAAGUGAUUAACUCCGAGUCAACAGAGAAUUUAUAAUCCUUAUCAGUAACAAAGAUGGGUGAGGUAGCAAACUUAGGAUCAAUUUCAUUCUAGCAUUCAGAGAUUUUUCUUUCCACUUGCGUAAUAAAUUCGCAAGAUCAUAGCUAUCCUUACAAGCAAGAAAGUCUUCAGCUACCUCUCCCUCCAUAACAUAACCCUUAGGUAUAUUAGGCAAUUCAUAUCUAGGAGAGCUAGGUCUAACAGGUGUCACAGUAGGUUCAACUUCAAUAAUUUCAUCAGUUUCAGAAGUAUCAUCAGAUUCAGCAGUAACUCUAGCAAUUUGUGCAUCAAGAAAUUCACCCAGUGGCAUAUCAUUAUCAAGAAAAGCAUCAUCAUAAGCAUCAUGGAUAGUAGAAGUAGCAUCAUCAAGCACAUGCGACAUAUCAGAAUUACUAGUAGGUGGUGGUGUUGCAAAUUUACUCAUAACAGAAGGUGAAUCAAGUGCAGAGCUAGAUGGCAGUUCCUUACCUGUCCUCGUAGUUGAGGGCAAGACUUUAGUUUUUGGAUCCCUCGGAUUCCUCAUAGUGAUCAACAGAUAUAAAUCCGAAGUGACUCAGAGAAUAGAGCUACGCUCCCCGGCAACGGCGCCAGAAAAAGGUCUUCAUAACCCACAAGUAUAGGGGAUCGCAACAGUUUUCGAGGGUAGAGUAUUCAACCCAAAUUUAUUGAUUCAACACAAGGGGAGCCAAAGAAUACUCUCGAUUAUUAGCAGUUGAGUUGUCAAUUCAACCACACCUGAAAGACUUAGUAUCUGCAACAAAGUUUUAGUAGCAAAGUAGUAUGAUAGUAACGGUAGCGGUGGUAACAGUAGCAGUAGUAAUUUGUAUAGCAAGUGUGACAGUAGUAGCGGUAAAGUAACUUAGCAAGGACCAGUAUAUGAAAAGCUCGUAGGCAUUGGAUCAGUGAUGGAUAAUUAUGUCGGAUGGCAUUCAUCAUGUAACAGUUAUAACAUAGGGUGAUAUGUAACUAGCUAAAGUUCGUCAAUGUAAUGUAGGCAUGUAUUCUGUAUUUAGUCAUACGUGCUUAUGGAAAAGAACUUGCAUGACAUCUUUUGUCCUACCCUCCCGUGGCAGCGGGGUCCUAGUGGAAACUAAGGGAUAUUAAGGUCUCCUUUUAAUAGAGAACCGGAACAAAGCAUUAGCACAUAGUGAAUACAUGGGAUCCUCAUACUAUGGUCAUCUCCAGGAGUGGUUUUGGCUAUUGUCACUCCGGGGUUGCCGGGUCAUAACACAUAGUAGGUGACUACAACUUGCAAGAUAGGAUCAAGAACACACAUUUAUUGAUGAAAACAUAAUAGGUUCAGAUCUGAAAUCAUGGCACUCGGGCCCUAGUGACAAGCAUUAAGCAUAGCAAAGUAGUAGCAACAUCAAUCUUAGAACAUAGUGGAUACUAGGGAUCAAACCCCAUCAAAACUAACUCGAUUACAUGAUAGAUCUCAUCCAACCCAUCACCGUCCAACAAGCCUACGAUAAGAUUACUCACGAACGAUGAAGAGCAUCAUGGAAUGGGCGAUGGAGGAUGGUUGAUGAUGAUGAUGGCGUCGAUUUCCCCUCUCCGGAGCCCAAAACGGACUCCAGAUCUGCCCUCCCAAGGAAGAUCAGGCGGUGGCAGCGGCUCCGUAUCGUGAAACGCGAUGAACUCUUCUCUCCUAUUUUUUUCUGGGCGAGAGAGGUUAUAUAGAUUUGGAGAUGAAGUCGGAGGAGCCACAUGGGCCCCACGAGCCUGCUAGGCGCGCCCUAGGGGGCACGCCUGCAGGGCUCAUGGCCCACUGGCAGCGUAUCUUCAAUUUAUUCUUUCUGUGAUAUUUUUUAUACAUUCCCUAAAAAAUCCUCGUAAGUUUCCAGGUCAUUUCGAGAACUUUUAUUUCUGCACAAAAACAACACCAUGGCAGUUCUGCUGAAAACAACGUUAGUCCGGGUUAGUUUCAUUGAAAACAUGCAAAUUAGAGUCCAAAACAAGGGCAAAAGAGUUUGGAAAAGUAGAUACGUUGGAGACGUAUCAAGGCAUCACAUCGAAGGCAAGUAGACGGAAUUCUGCCUCCAUCUACUUCUAUUACUCCACACAUCGACUGCCAUCCAACAUGCAUCUAGUGUAUUGAGUUCAUGGAGAAAUGUACUAAUGCUUUAAGAAUGAUGACAUGUUGUAGACAAGAUAUAUUCAUGUAGGAAUAGACCCCAUCGUUUUAUCCUUAAGAGCAAUGAUACAUGUGUGUCUUGUCUCCUUCUGUCACUGAGAUUGAGCACCGCAAGAUCUAACCCAUCACAAAGCACCUCUUCCCAUUGCAAGAUGAAAGAUCAAGUUGUCCAGAAAAAAAAACAAAUAUCGGAGAAGAAAUACGAGGCUAUACUAACCAAUAAUGGAUAUAAUUUCAUAGAUCCGAUCAUAAACUCACAAUUCAUUGGAUCCCAACAAACACACCGCAAAAGAUUGAGUUACAUCAAAUGGAUAUCCAAGAGACCAUUGUAUUGAGAAGCAAAACGAGAGAGAAAGCCAACUAGCUACUGCAUAUGGACCCGUAGGUCUGAUAUGAACUACUCACGCAUCAUCGGAGGAGCACCAAUGAGGAUGAUGAACUCCUUCGUGAUCGUGUUCCUCUCCAGAACGGGAUCUACAUUGGAUAUCAUGGAUUUUGGAACUUAUAUCAACUGAGACGAUUUUGCGUCGACUCCUCUAGGGUUUCUGUAAUAUUAGGGUAUUUAUAGAACUUACGGGCGGUGGAGGAGGUGCCUGAUAACCCACAUGUAUAGGGGAUCGCAACAAUAUUCGAGGGUAGAGUAUACAACCCAAAUUUGUUGAUUCGACACAAGGGGAAGGCAAAUAAUAUUCUCGAGUAUUAGCAGUUGAGUUGUCAAUUCAACCACACCUGAAAGACUUAGUAUCUGCAGCAAAGUUUCAGUAGCGAAGUAGUGUGAUAGUAACGGUAGCAGCAGUAACAGUAGCAGUAGUGACAACAGUAGUGGUAAAGUAACUUAGCAAGGACCAGUACGAUAAGACUCAUAGGCAUUGGAUCGGUGAUGGAUAAUUAUGUUGAUGACAUUUAUCAUGUAACAGUUAUAACAUAGAGUGAUAUGUAACUAGGUCUAGUUCGUCAGUGUAAUGUAGGCAUGUAUUCCAUAUUUAGUCAUACGUGCUUAUGGAAAAGAACUUGCAUGACAUCUAUUGUCCAUCCCUCCCGUGGCAGCGGGGUCCUAAUAGAAACUAAGGGAUAUUAAGGUCUCCUUUUAAUAGAGAACUAGAACAAAGCAUUAGCACAUAGUGAAUACAUGAACUCCUCAUACUAUGGUCAUCUCCGGGACUGGUUCCGGCUAUUGUCGCUCCGGGGUUGCCGGGUCAUAACACAUAGUAGGUGACUACAACUUGCAAGAUAGGAUCAAGAACACACAUAUAUUGAUGAAAACAUAAUAGCUUCAGAUCUGAAAUCAUGGCACUCGGGCCCUAGUGACAAGCAUUAAGCAUAGCAAAGUAGUAGCAACAUCAAUCUUAGAACAUAGUGGAUACUAGGGAUUAAACCCCAUCAAAACUAACUCGAUUACAUGAUAGAUCUCAUCCAACCCAUCACCGUCCAGCAAGCCUACGAUGAGAUUACUCACGAACGAUGAAGAGCAUCAUGGAAUUGGCGAUGAAGGAUGGUUGGUGAUGACGACAACGUCGAUUUCCCCUCUCCGGAGCCCACAACGGACUCCAGAUCUGCCCUCCAGAGGAAGAACAGGUGGUGGCGGCGGCUCUGUGUCGUGAAACGCGAUGAACUCUUCUCUCUUCAUUUUUUGUGGGCGAGAGAGAAUAUAUAGAGCUGGAGUUGGAGGCUGCGGAGCCACGAGGGCCUCACAAGCCUGCUAGGCGUGGCCAGGGAGGCGCGCCUCCUGGGCUCGUGGGCUCCUGGCUCCGCGUCUCCAGGUAAUUCUUGUGCCAGUAUUUUUUAUAUAUUCCACAAAAAAUCCUCGUAAAUUUCCAGGUCAUUCCGAGAACUUUUAUUUCUGCGCAAAAACAACACCAUGGAAAUUCUGCUGAAAACAGUGUUAGUCCGGGUUAGUUCCAUUCAAAUCAUGCAAAUUAGAGUCCAAAACAAGGGCAAAAGAGUUUGGCAAAGUAGAUACGAUGGAGAUGUAUCAACCCCCCCAAGCUUAAAGCCUUGCUUGUCCUCAAGCAAUUCAGUUGACAAACUGAAAGAGACAAAAGAAAAACUUUUACGAACUCUGUUUGAUCUUGUUGUUGUAAUUAUGUCUAACUCAUAUUCAGAUUUUCAGCAAGAUCAUAAGCUGACCACAUAAGCAAUAACAUUUAGGUCUCAUGGUGUACUCAUAUCAAUGGCAUAAUAAACUAGCGAGCAAUAAUAAUAAGUUUCAAACGUCAACACUUCAAUCAAAACAAACAUGAAAACAAUAUGAACAGAUGGUAUCUCGCUGGCCCAUUGUGAGACCGCAAAACAUAAAUGCAGAGCACCUUCAAAGACCAAGGGCUGACUGAACAUUGUAAUUUAUGGCAAAGAAGAUCUAGUCACAGUCAUACUCAAUACCAAUUAGUAAGCAUAAAAAUGACGGAGGUGCUCUCUAACUGCUGCCUUUUAUAAGAAGAGGAUGACUCAACAGAAACAUAAAUAGAUAGGCCCUUCGCGGAGGGAAGCAUUGAUUUGCAGAGGUGCCAGAGCUCAAGCUUUUAAAACGGAGAUAAAUAAUUUUGGGUGGUAUGCUUUCAUUGUCAACGCGAUGACCAAGAGUUUAUACCAUCUUCCAUGCUACACAAAUUAUAGGUGGUUCCCACACAGAAAAGUAAAGUUUUGACUCCCCCACCACCGAUCAAUCAGAUUCCACGACUAGCGAAAUCCUCGGGUGCCGUCCAUACCAACAACAAUCCAGGGGGAGUUUUGUUUGCAAUUAUAUUUUCGAUUUGAGCAUGGAACUGGGCAUUCCGAUUACCGACCCCUUUCUCGUGAGUGAUAGUGAAUAAACACACAUCGAGGAUAACACGCCUAGCAUGGAAGAUACUGAUCGCUCCUUGUCACCACAUGAGCGGUUCGGGCAUAUAAAACGGAUUAUUUCUUGAAGAUUUAGAGAGUGCCACAUGCAAAUUUACUUGGAACGGCAGGUAGAUACCGCAUAUAGGUAGGUAUGGUGGACGCAUAUGGAACAACUUUGGGUUUAUGGAAGUGGAUGCACAAGCAAUAUUCCCGCGUAGUACAAGUGAAGGAUAGCAAAAGACUAGGAGGCGACCAACUAGAGAGCGACAACAAUCAUCAGUAUGCAUUGAAAUUAACCAACAUUGAGUGCAAGCAUGAGUACGAUAUAAAUUGCCAUAAACAUGAAUAUCAUAGAGGCUAUGUUGAUUUUAUUUCAACUACAUGCGUGAACAUGUGCCAAGUCAAGCCACUUGAAUCAUUCAAAGGGAUAUACCAUCCUAUCAUACUACAUCAUAAUCAUCUUGAAAUUCAUGUUAGCAUCCAAGACAAACCAUUAUAAGCUCCUAACUAAUUAAGCAUGGCAUCAGAAACUAUGAUCUCUAAGUUGUCAUUGCAAACAUGUUUCUCUCAUAACAAUGCUGAAUUAGGAACGAUGAGCUAGUCAUAUUUACAAAAACAAAAUAGGUUGAGUUCAUACCAGCUUUUACAGGCUCAGUCACUUCAUCAUAAAUCGUCAUUAUUGCCUUUCACUUGCACGACCGAAUGAUGUGAAUAAUAAUGAGAGUGUUCGUCCAUUGGACUAAGCUGGAAUCUGCAAGCAAACUCAAAGGAGAAGACAAAGUAAUAUGGCUCUUUGACGGAUAAACAAUUAUGCAUGUGAGAGCCACUAAACAUUUUAACCAUGGUCUUCUACCUUGACCCAAAGACAAAGAAACUAUUUACACGGGAAAGCUCCCAACGAGCAAAAGAGGAACGAGAAAUCUUCUUGGGUUUUCUUUUUAAAUACCACUAAACAAGCUGGAAAGUAAACUUACAACUAAUUUUUUGAUUUUCUCAAAUUUAAACAAACACACAAGAAGAAUGCGAGAAAAAGAAAUAAACUAGCAUGGAUGAUACAAUGGCAAGGUGUGAACACCGACUAUCAAAGUGAAAGUGUGAGCAUGAAUAUAAAGUAGGUGAGAAACACGUACUCCCCCAAGCUUAGGCUUUUGGCCUAAGUUGGUCUACUCCCACGGCUGGUCCGGGCGAUAUCCAAAAUCAUAAUGGGGGUUGUACGGGAACGCGGCAGCUACCGCCUGAAUAGCUGCCUCAUGGAGGCGAGCAGCCUUCGCCUCCCUCUCAUACUCCUCUGCCUCUCCUCUGGUUAUGUAAUAUCUUCGUUUUACCUGAAAGUCAAAGAAGGCAAGAGCAGGAAGGGUAAUAUGGAAAACACGAAGUCGGUUAAAUAUUAACCGGUAUAGGAGGGAUUCAUUAUCCCUCUCAAGGAACUAAUAACGUGUCACAGCGGCGCGAUCAAGGAAAGUUGUAUGGAGCGGGGGAUCUCCUGCGCAGAUGGGUAUUCCAAGAAAAUUUGCUAUGCGAGUGGCAAAGAUCCCACCGAAGAAAUCCCCUUCAUUAGCAUUAUUAUUUAGCCUCCUCGCAAUUAUAGCUCCCAUAUUGAAACUUCGAUCACCCGUUACUGCGCUCUUAAGAAUACUAAGGUCAGGUGCGCAGAGGUGACAAUGCUCAAUCUUGCCGUUAAUGCAUCUACCUAUGAAGAGGGAAAAAUAAUGUAAGGCGGGAAAAUGAAUGCUCCCCAAGGUAGCCUGCGUAAUAUCUCUAGUUUCUCGAACAAUUAUACUAGAGAUAAAAUCUCUAACCGAAGACUUAGGAGGAUCAUUGGGACUACCCCAAUGAGGUAUUUUGCAAAUUCUAUUGAAAUCCUCUAAAUCCAUGGUAUACGAUUUGUCAUAAAGAUGAAACAGUAUGGAUGUGUCACGGCCAACUGAAAGUUUGAAUCUAUGAACAAAAGAGGCAGUGAGAGUAGUAUACUGUUCACAUUUAUUGGAGAUGAAUUCUUCGAAAGGCCGUUCACAUGGUUGUACGUGUGCGUUCCUCGGCUGGUAAGGAUCGGGCUCCCGAAUCGCGAGACGGGGACCCCUUUUGCUUGAAGAACCACCAUGAUAGUUUUUCCUGAACAUAUUCUUUUUCUGAAAUUUUUAGUGACUCAAAAGAAAAGUGAACAAGGCUCAACAAAACUCAUAGCAACUGCUCCUACAAGUGCCUAGAGGCCAUAUCAUGCAUCAAAACUACUUGGGACCAACUAAAAUUAACAUGCAAAGCUCAAGAACAUGGUCACCAAGACAGCAAAAAUACGCAACGAAUAAAGCACUAGAACAAAAACUAAUUGGACCAAUGGAGGAGUCACAUACAAAGGAACAAUUCCCCAAAACAGUUUGGUGAAUGGGGCUUUGCACAAGGAGAUCGAAAAAUGUAGCAAGAAGAGCAAGAACACAGGUUUGAGCUGUGGAAUGAAUUUUUCUGGAGGUAGGAGAAGGAGAUGGGAGAUGGAAUAAGUGGAGGGGGCCACAUGGGACCCACAAGCCUGCCAGGCGCGGCCAGGGGGUGACCGCGCCUCCUGGGCUUGUGGCCCACUGGUGCAUCCCCGUGACUAGCUCUCUAUCUCAGAAAUUUUCUAAUAUUCCAGAAAAAAUCAUACUUGAAUUUCAGGGCAUUUGGAGAACUUUUAUUUUCGGGUCACUUUUCUAAGGGACGGAAAAAGCAGAAAAUAGGAAAAAUAAAGCUAAAUUUAUCAUUUUUCUUCUAAACAACAGAAAGUAAAAGUUGGGAGCAGAAGGUUGUGACUCCUAGAUUCAUCCAUCUCAUGGUCAUCAAAAGAAAUCCGUCAAUGAGGUUGAUCAAGUCUCCUUGACAAACUUUUUUCGAAUCACAUAAAACCGGAGAAUUUUUGAAUAAUCACUAGGUUACCUCAAUGGCGAUGUGCAUAUCCCCAACAAGUAAAUCAUACUUCAUCUUGACAGUAGGUAUAGGGCAUUCAAAGCUUCCAAUAAGAAUUGAUGAAGAUUUUUCGAUAGCAUUGAUACAAUGAACUCGAUAUUGUUUCUUCGGAAAGUGAACCGUAUGCUCAUUACCAUUAACAUGGACAGUGACAUUAGCUUUGUUGCAAUCAAUAACAGCCCCUACAAUGUUUAAAAAGGGUCUUCCAAGGAUGACCACCAUGGCAUCAUCCUCAGGAAUAUCCAAAAUAACAAAGACCGUUAAGAUAGUAACGUUAGCAACCACAACAGGCACAUCCUCACAAAUGCCGAUAGGAAAAGCAGUUGAUUUGUCAGCCAUUUGCAAAGACAUUUUAGUAGGUGUCAACUUAUCCAAUUCAAGUCUACGAUGUAAAGAGAGAGGCAUAACACUAACACCAACUCCAAGAUCGCACAAAGCAGUUCUAACAUAAUUUCCUUUAAUGGUGCAAGGUAUAGUGGGCACUCCGGGGUCACCUAGUUUCUUAGGAGUCCCACCCUUGAAGGUGUAAUUAGCGAGCAUGGUGGAAAUCUCAACCUCGGGUAUCUUCCUUUUAUUAGUCACAAUAUCUUUCAUGUACUUAGCAUAAGGAGACAUUUUGAGCAUAUAUGUCAAACGCAUUUGCAAAAAGACAUGUCUAAUCAUUUCAACAAAGCGCUCAAAAUCCGCAUCAUCCUUUUUCUUGGAUGGUUUGGGAGGAAAGGGCAUGGGUUUCUGAACCCAUGGUUCUCUUUCUUUACCAUGCUUCCUAGCAAUAAAGUCGUUCUUAUCAUAUCUCCUAUACUAAGGUUGUGGGUUAUCAAGAUCAACAACAGGUUCAAUCUCCACAUCCUUAUCAUUAGUAGGUUGAGCAUCAACAUAAACACCACUAUCAAUAUUAUCACUAGGCUCAUGUUCAUCACCAGAUUGUGUUUCUGCAUCAGAAAGAGAGACAUCAUUUGGAUUCUCGGGUGUAACAGCAACAGGUUUGCUAGCAUGCAGGUUCCUAUCAUAUUUCUUUUUCUUCCUAAUACCAGGAUGACUAGGUGCAUCAGUGUUAACUCCUUGAGAAUCUUGUUCAAUUUUCUUAGGAUGACCCUCGGGAUACAAAGGUUCCUGAGUCAUUCUACCGCCUCUAGUGACAACUCUAACAGAAUUGUCAUUCAACUCAUUGAGCAAGUCAUUUUGAGCCUUAAGUACUUGUUCUCCUUGAGUAGUGACCAUAGAGGCAUGUUUACUCAAAAGCUUAAGAUCAUUGGCAUUUCUAUCCACACAAGCACUUAUAUGAUCAAUCAUACGAGCAUUUUGUCUCAAUUGUCUGCUAACAUCCGGUCCAAAAAAAAUUGUCUACUAACAUAAUCAUUGAAACUUUGUUGUUUGGCAACAAAGUUAUCAAAUUCAUCUAAGCAUAAGCUAGCAGGUUUAUCAUAAGGAGUAUCACUCUCAUUGAAUCUACGAAGAGAAUUUACCUCUACUACCUGUGUCGGGUUAUCAAGACCAUGUAUUUCUUUGAUAGGUGGUAGAUUCUUAACAUCUUCAGAUUUAAUACCUUUCUCUUGCAUAUAUUUCUUGGCUUCUUGCAUAUCUUCAGGACCGAGGAAUACAAUACCUAUUUUCUUCGGAGUUGGCUUCGAGGUGGUCCGGGAAUAGUCCAAGCAUUAUCAUUGCUGAAGAUAUUAUUCAAUAUAAUUUCAGCUUGUUCCACAGUUCGUUCCCUGAAAAUGCAACCAGCACAACUAUUUAGGUGGUCCCUAGAAGCAUCGGUUAUUCCAUUAUAAAGGAUAUCAAGUAUUUCAUUCUACUCAAGAGGGUGAUCACGCAAAGCAUUAAGUAGCUGGACAAGCCUCCCCCAAGCUUGUGGGAGACUCUCUUCUUCAACUUGCACAAAGUUAUAUAUAUAUCCUGCAAGGCAGCUUGUUUCUUAUGGGCAGGAAAAUAUUUCUCAAAGAAGUAGUAUAUCAUAUCCUAGGGACUACGCACACAACCAGGAGCAAGAGAAGUGAGCCAAGUCUUAGCAUCACCCUUUAGUGAGAAAGGAAACAACUUAAGGAUAUAGUAAUGGUGAAUCUUUUCCUCAUUCGUGAAUAGGGUGGCUAUAUCAUUUAAUUUGGUAAGAUGUGCUACAACCGUUUCACACUCAUAACCAUGAAAAGGAUCAGAUUGAACCAAAGUGAUUAACUCAGGAUCGACAUAGAAUUCAUAAUCCUUAUCAGUAACAAAGAUAGGCGAAGUAGCAAACUUAGGAUCGUAUUUCAUUCUAGCAUUCAGAGAUUUUUAUUUCCACUUGCGCAAUAAAUUUUCAAGAUCAUAGCUAUCCUUACAAGCAAGAAAGUCUUCAGCUACCUCUCCCUCCAUAACAUAACCCUUAGGUAUAUCAGGCAAUUCAUAUCUAGGAGAGCUAGGUCUAACAGGUGUAACAACAUGUUCUACUUCAAUAGUUUCAUCAGUUUCAGAAGUAUCAUCACAUUCGGUAGUAACUCUAACAAUUUGUGCAUCAAGAAAUGCACCCAGUGGCAAAUCAUUAUCAAGCAAAGCAUCAUCAUAAGCAUCAUGGAUAGCAGAAGUAGCAUCAUCAAGCACAUGCGACAUAUCAUAAUUACCAAUAGGUGGUGGUGUCGCAAAUUUACUCAUAACUGAAGGUGAAUCAAGUGUAGAGCUAGAUGGCAGUUCCUUACUUGUCCUCGUAGUUGAGGGCAAGAUUUUAGUUUUUGGAUCUCUCGGAUUCCUCAUAGUGAUCAACAGACGUAAAUCCCAAGUGACUCAGAGAAUAGAGUUAUGCUUCCCCGGCAACAGAGCCAGAAGAAGGUCUUGAUAACCCACAAACAUACGGGAUCGCAACAGUUUUCGAGGGUAGAGUAUUCAACCCAAAUUUGUUGAUUCGACACAAGGGGAAGCCAAAGAAUAUUCUCGAGUAUUAGUUGUUGAGUUGUCAAUUCAACCACACCUGAAAGACUUAGUAUCUGCAGCAAAGUUUCAGUAGCGAAGUAGUGUGAUAGUAACGGUAGCAGCAGUAACAGUAGCAGUAGUGACAGCAGUAGCGGUAAAGUAACUUAGCAAGGACCAGUACGAAAAGACUCGUAGGCAUUGGAUCGGUGAUGGAUAAUUAUGUUGGAUGACAUUCAUCAUGUAACAGUUAUAACAUAGGGUGAUAUAUAACUAGCUCCAGUUCGUCAAUGUAAUGUAGGCAUGUAUUCCGUAUUUAGUCAUACGUGCUUAUGGAAAAGAACUUGCAUGACAUCUAUUGUCCAUCCCUCCCGUGGCAGCGGGGUCCUAAUGGAAACUAAGGGAUAUUAAGGUCUCCUUUUAAUAGACAACCGGAACAAAGCAUUAGCACAUAGUGAAUACAUGAACUCCUCAUACUAUGGUCAUCUCCGGGAGUGGUUCCGGCUAUUGUCACUCCGGGGUUGUCGGGUCAUAACACAUAGUAGGUGACUACAACUUGCAAGAUAGGAUCAAGAACACACAUAUAUUGAUGAGAACAUAAUAGGUUCAGAUCUGAAAUCAUGGCACUUCAGACCCUAGUGACAAGCAUUAAGCAUAGCAAAGUAGUAGCAACAUCAAUCUUAGAACAUAGUGGAUACUAGGGAUCAAACCCCAUCAAAACUAACUUGAUUACAUGAUAGAUCUCAUCCAACCCAUCACCGUCCAGCAAGCCUACGAUGAGAUUACUCACAAACGAUGAAGAGCAUCAUGGAAUUGGCGAUGAAGGAUGGUUGGUGAUGACGAUGGCGUCGAUUUCCCCUCCCCGGAGCCCAGAACGGACUCGAGAUAUGCCCUCGAGAGGACGAACAGGUGGUGGCGGCGGCUCCGUGUCAUGAAACGCAAUGAACUCUUCUCACUUAAUUUUUUCUGGGCGAGAGAGAAUAUAUAGAGCUGGAGUUGGAGGCUGCGGAGCCAUGAUGGUCUCACAAGCCUGCCAGGCGCGGCCAGGGGGGCCGCGCCUCCUGGGCUUGUGGGCUCCUGGCUUCGCGUCUCGAGGUAAUUCUUGCGCCAGUAUUUUUUAUAUAUUCCACAAAAAAUCCUCGUAAAUUUCCAGGUCAUUCCGGGAACUUUUAUUUCUGCACAAAAAGAACACCAUGGCAAUUCUGCUGAAAACAGCGUCAGUCCGGGUUAGUUCCAUUCAAAUUAUGCAAAUUAGAGUCCAAAACAAGGGCAAAAGAGUUUGGAAAAGUAGAUACGAUGCAGACGUAUCAGUGCCCGUGGCCCCUAAUAGCCACGAGGCCGCGUUGGGGGUCCUAUGCGCGCCCUGGUGCCUAGUGGGCCAUCUGGGCCUCCUCUCGUGAUCAUCCUUGGUCCCCAAGUUUCCUUGUGGUCUAGAAAAAAUCUCCAAAAAGUUUUGCUGCCUUUGGACUUCAUCUGGUAUUGAUUUUCUACGAAGGAAAAAAACAACAAAAAACAACAACUCGCACUCAGCACUGUGUCAAUAGGUUAGUCCCAAAAAAUGAUAUAAAGUUGCUAUAAAAUGAUCAUAAAACAUCCAAGAAUGAUAAUAUAACAACAUGGAACAAUAAAAAAUUAUAGAUACGUUGGAGACAUAUCGUCAGCUAAGAGAUCUUUAACCAUGGCAACCUUAGGCUCAACAUUUAUUUGCUCAGAAGGUUUAGGUUUCCUAACAUGACUUUUAUUAACCACUCUUGCAGCCCUAGCAUCCUCUCUAAUCUUAACAGGAAAAGUGGAUUUCUCGAUGUAAGCAAUAGGAACAAUUGGAUCUACAUGGUUAAAAAUUAUUUCCUCCUUCUUUAUUUCAACAAGUUCAUCUUGUAAUUUUUCAGUAGGAGGAUCGAAUCUAAACCACUUCUCCAUGGCGAGAUCAACGUAAGUAGCAAAAGUUUCAUAGAAGGUAGCUACUAUCUCAGGAUCAAGGCCAUAUUUGUUGCUAAACUCAUGAAAAGGAUAAAUCUUCAUGAAAGAUUUAACGCAAUCAAAAUUAAAUAUUAUACCUGAUACCUUACCUCUACCGAGUUCCCAAUCUUCAGAAUUACGUUAAUAUUUUCUAGAAGAUUCCAUAUGAAUUCAAUAGUCUCCUUCAUAUAAGAUCCAACCACACAAGCGUUGAGCAAAGUUUGAUCAUCAUGAGAAAGCUGAUCAUAAAUUUUUUGUAUGAUCAAUUCUCUUGAGAGCUCAUGAUUGGGGCAAGUGUGCAUCAUAGAUUUAAGCCUCCCCCAAGCUUGAGUGAUGCUUUCUCCUUCACGUGGCCAUCAAUUAUAAAUAAAAUUCUGACCAUGAUGAAUCAAAUGCAUAGGAUAAAACUUCUCAUGAAAUUCCAAUUUCAAGCGAUUCCAAUCCCAUGAUCCAAUAUCAUCCAAAAGCAUGUACCACAAUAAUGCUUUUCCCUCCAAAUAUAAAGGUAAAACUUUGGUCUUGACCUUGUCUCCGGGUAGACCUAAAAGCUUAAACAAUCCAGAUAUAUUAAAUGAUAAUCAGGAUGAGUUGAACCGUUAUAAGGAUUAUCCAACACUUUCUCUACCAUACCCGAAGGAAUGUCAUAAUAGAUAUUUUCAUUAGGUUCAGCAGGUUGAGGGAUAAUUUCCUCAACUUCCGUUCGAGGUGAAGAUGCCCCGAGCAAGCCACUCAAAGGGUGACCCUUCAUAGUGACAAGCAAUAGUAAAUUUCAGCAUGUACCAAAAACAUUUCCUUACCAAUUCCUAUCUACCAAAGGCGCUUCACUCCCCGAUAAUGGCGUCAUAAAAGAAUCUUGAUGACCCACAAGUAUAGGGGAUUAAUCGUAGUCCUUUCAAUAAGUAAGAGUGUUGAACCCAACGAGGAGCAGGAGGAAAUGAUAAGCAGUUUUAAGCAAGAUAUUCUCUGCAAGUGCUAUAAGUAAAACUGGUAGAUAGUUUUGUAGCAAGGUAUUUCGUAACAAGUGACAAGUAACAAUAGUAGCAAAGGUGAAACAAGGUAGCCCAAUACUUUUUAUAGCAAAGGAUAUGCUUGAAAGUACUCUUAUAUAAAGCAAGUACCCCCGAGGACACAUGGGAAUAUCUCUCUAGUCAUGUUCAUCAUACUGAGUUGAUUCACGUUUGCUGCUUUGAUAAUUUAAUAUGUGGGUGGACCAGCGCUAAAGUGAUGUUCUUACUUGAACUAACAACCUACUUAUGAUUAACCCCUCUCGCAAGCAUUCACAACUACGAAAGAAGAAUUAAGAUAAAUCUAACCAUAACAUGAAACAUGUGGAUCCAAAUGAGCCCCUUAUGAAGCAACGCAUAAACCGGGGUUUAAUCUUCUGUCACUCUCGCAACCCAUCAUCUACUUGUUACUCCACAAUGACUUCCUCUAGGCCCAUAACAUGGUGAAGUGUCAUGUAGUCUACGUUCACAUGACACCACUAAAGGAAGUAAAAACAUACAUAUCAUCAAAAUAUCAAACGAAUGCCAACUUUAUAUGAUUACUUAUAACCAGACUUCUUCCAUGUCCCGAGGAACAAUAGUAACUACUCACACCUCAUCAACAUGUUCAACAUCAGAGGUGUAACAAAUAUGAUUAAGGAUCUGAACAUUAUGUCUUCCACAAAGUAAUCCAACUAGCAUCAACAAAAAAUGUAAUUAACAUAACUAGCAAACCACAUGUACCAAUCUGAGGUUUUGAGACAAAGAUUAAAUACACGAGAUGAACUAUAAUUGGGGAUGAGAGGGUGUUGGUGAAUAUGUUGAUGAAGAUUGGUCCUGCCAUGAAGGAGGAAGCGUUGGUGAUGACAAUGGCUUCGAUUUCCCCCUCCUGUAGAGGAAUUCCUCCAGCACAAUCGCUCUGCCGGAUAGCAAAAGGGCAUCUGCUCAGGUUUCCCUCUCGAGACGGUGGCGCUUCAUUCCAAAAGUUAUGUCUUGAUUGUUUCUAGGGUAGAACAGACCAUAUAGGAGAAGAGAGGUGUCAGAGGACCAGCAGGGGCCCCACAAGUCAUCAAGGCGCGUCCUGGGGGCGUGUUGGCUUGUGCCCAGGCGGCUGCCCCUCUACGAUGUAUUUUUGGCCCGAUAAUUCUUAUAUAUUCCAAAAAAAAUCUCCGUUAAGAUUCAGGUCAUUUGGAGCAACUUGUUUUUUCUACCUUUUUCUCGGUUUCACGGUCUAGAAUUCCAGUUUUCAGAUAUUUCCCUCUUCGUAAUGUACCUUGCUUAUUCAUAGAGAAAAGACAUAAGAAUUACAUAAUAAUAGUGAAUAAUGGAAAAUAAUAAGACAAAUGUCAAUAAAGAUUCAUGAUGCAAAAUGGACGUAUUAGUGGGUUCUAUUCAGAUUGGUAAUCUCCAACUUCCCGUUUGGGAUCAAUGGCAGACGAACACCGUGGUAUACUCUCAACGACAACCACAUGUGCAAGGGGAGCAACAAUGCAGUGAGGCAAGAGUGCACGGGGAGCAACAAGGCAGUGAGACAAGAGAGCAGGGGGAGCAGCAAGACAGUGAGACAAGCUCACCUGACACAGUGGAGCUGCCCAUUGCAUUAUGAAAGGCUACACGUGAAGCGGCAAGAAAGGAUGAAAUAGCAAGGAAGGCUCUACCAAAGGAUGAUGCUUGUCAUGAUAUUGAUGUUGGCAAUUUUGUGUCUUAUAAGGCUUUGUCACCCUCAUAUAAAGGCGUUUGUUGCCUCCCUUCAAAUUGUGUCAAUUCCAAAGGACUAGAAGGCUGCAAAGCAACAUCCAAAGUGGCGUGAAGCGAUGAUAGAAGAGUUGGAAACACUAAGGAAAAACAAGACAUGUUCGCUAACCACAUUGCCGACAAAAAAGAACGCAGUGAGUUGUAAGUGGAUCUAUACAGUGAAGCAAAAUCCUAAAGGGAAGGUCGAACGAUAUAAGACCAGACUGGUCACUAGAGGAUAUAGUCAAACUUAUGGAAUUGACUAUGAUGAGACGUUUUCUCUCGUGGCAUAGAUGAACAUAUUAAGGAUAUUGGUCUCAUGUGCUGCAAACUUUGGGUGGAAGUUGCAUCAAUUAGAUGUCAAGAAUGCCUUCUUGCAUGGUGAGUUGCAGGAAGAAGUGUACAUGGAGAUACCACCAGGUUUUGGUACUUCAGAGACUACGGGGAAGGCAUGCAGGCUGAAGAAAUCCUGUAUGGACUCAAGCAAUCACCAAGGGCAUGAUUUGAUAAUUUCAGACGUGCUGUCUGUGGUAUGGGGUAUGGUCAGUGUAACGGUGACCACAUGAUGUCCUACAAGCACUUCGAUCGGAAGAUCACCAUUCUUGUUGUUUAUGUGGAUGGCAUUAUCAUCACUGGAGAUGAUAAGGAGGAAAUAGAGAGACUAAAGGGUUGUUUGAGCAAGGAAUUUUAGGUAAAGGAUAACCUAAAAUAGUUUCUUGGCAUUGAAGUGGCUCAGACAGAGAAGGGAAUCUCUUUGUGCCAACAAAAAUACACCUUGGAUCUCUUGAGUGACGUGGGUGUGAUGGGAUGUCGUACUGCCCUGACUCCGAUUGAACAAAAUCACCAAGUGUCAGCACAACCAGGAGAGCUAGUGAAUAAUGAAGAUUAUCAUAAAUUGGUUGGGAGGUAGUUGUACUUGUGUCAUACCAUGCCCCACAUUACAUAUGCUAUAGGGGUGGUGAGGAGAUACAUGCAUGAACCAAGGAGUGGGCAUCUUGAUACUGUGCACACAAUCCCGAUAUACUUGAAGGGGACUUCGGGUAAAGGGUUGUGGGUUGGGAAGAGUGGACAUCUUGAGGUGGAUGGCUAUAGUGACUAUGACUGGGCCAGUUGUUAAGAUGAUAGAAGAUAACCUUCUGGCUACUGCGUGUUUGUGGCAGGAAAUUUGGUGUCAUGGAGAAGUAAGAAACAUCUGGUUGUGUCUAGAUCAAUAACAGAAGGUGAGUAUGGAGCGUUAUCUCAAGGGUUGCAUGAGAUGCUCUGGGUGAAGUACCUACUGAGCGACUUGAAACUUCGGAGGAAGGGACGUUGAAGGUGUGGUGUGAGAUCACUCAGCUAUAGCCAUCGCUAAUAACACAACUCAACAUGAUAGAACAAAGCAUGUGGAAAUUGAUCGCUUUUGAUUAAGGAGAACUUGAUGCCGGGAUCAUUGGCCUUACUCAUGUCAGCUAUAGGCAACAGUUUGGAGAUUGUUUUACAAAGGGGUUGGAAACAAAAUACUGUAACUUGGCAUGUGACAAGAUGGGAAUGAUAGAUAUCAACCAUCCAUCUUGAGGGUAAGUGUUGAACCGGUAUGGGCCCAACCCAUUCAUUUAUCUCUUAGGGUCCAAACCCAUAUAAAGGGACUGACCUAGAAGGAGGCUCUCCCGUUCCGUGCUCAACCAUCACACACAUACACACGGUCUCCACGUACUCGCCUCUCACGAUUCAACACUAUUCAUCAAACAAUGUUUUUUAAUAUAGCUUCGAUUUUUUCAUUUUUGCCCAGAUUACCACAGACGUGAUUUCUUCAUAGAACUUUAUACGCGAGUAUAUUGGUUGACUAUGUAUAUUACAAAAACAAAAUUCAGUUUUUUGGAUUUCUAUAGCAUUUUAUUGGAUUUAUUUUUCAUAAACGGUGCGCGUGCAUCCAUGUUCACCAAAUUCGCGUCCUAAAGAUAGAGACGUAGUAUAAAUGAUUUUACAGAAAAAAUUCCUAUGAGAUUCAAUGCAAUGAAUUAAAGAAUCUUUUGGAUUUCAUCUUCAUAAGAAUGGCUGAGUUUUGACGUUGGCUUGUCAAACCCAUUACAACCCUCUUCUUUUAUCCGGACUUGAGACCGGCUAUGUCGAGGCAACAUAGACGGAGUUCAAUGAAUCAAAGAAUAAAUAUAGAUUUUUUUUGAAGGAUUUCAAUUCUUAAAAAAUCAUGUGAAAUUCCUUUAAAUCAAACUCGAAGAUUUCCCCGGAAAAAUAGAGCACGCCAACGUCUCUUUGUACUCUCUCACCGUGCUAAUCGCUACUCCCAAUCAUGCGUGAGGGCGCGGAUGCGAAAACGCUACACAUACCAACCAUACGCGAGGGCGCGGAUGCGAAACCGCCCGCCGCUCGCCCGCUCCUCCCGCAGUCCACCCCGUGCCGCUCUAUAUAAGCGAGCCGAGAGCGGGGUGCCGAAACCCUAAGCAGAGUGGGGAAAGGCGUCUUCGUACUCGCCUCUCUCCGCGCACACGAGCUCUCGCCCCCUUCCUCCAACCCAUCUCGCCAGCGGCGCAGCCCAACCACCCGCCACAAUGAGGGAGUGCAUCUCGAUCCACAUCGGCCAGGCCGGCAUCCAGGUCGGAAACGCGUGCUGGGAGCUCUACUGCCUCGAGCAUGGCAUUCAGGUACGGAUCCGCUCGCCCCCCCCCCNNNNNNNNNNNNNNNNNNNNNNNNNNNNNNNNNNNNNNNNNNNNNNNNNNNNNNNNNNNNNNNNNNNNNNNNNNNNNNNNNNNNNNNNNNNNNNNNNNNNNNNNNNNNNNNNNNNNNNNNNNNNNNNNNNNNNNNNNNNNNNNNNNNNNNNNNNNNNNNNNNNNNNNNNNNNNNNNNNNNNNNNNNNNNNNNNNNNNNNNNNNNNNNNNNNNNNNNNNNNNNNNNNNNNNNNNNNNNNNNNNNNNNNNNNNNNNNNNNNNNNNNNNNNNNNNNNNNNNNNNNNNNNNNNNNNNNNNNNNNNNNNNNNNNNNNNNNNNNNNNCCCCCCCCCCUCCCCCGUUCACCCGUCAUGUUUAGCAUCGGAUCUGGGGUUUGUGGCGGUCGGCGGUGUGCUCAGUCAGUCGGAUCUGGGCGCAGAUCUGACCGCGGCCGGCCAGAUCUGCGGUUCGUAGAAGGGAAAAAUCCGGAUCUGGCGAAAUGUAUGGUCGCUUUAGUUGGUCGAUCUGGUGUUUUGAAGAUUACAGACAUUUCGAAUUUGAAUUUUUAGGUGUAGAUUUACUGGAUCUCAGAUCCGAUGCAAGUCUCGCCCUGUUUUGGAGUGGUUGCUUAGGUUCUCCAUGUUUUAGAUCUGACCAGUCUUCUCUAAAUGGAUCCAUCGUUUUGAAAAGCCCCUUCCUAGAUAGUGGAUCGCAGUGUGUAUAUUGUAAUAAGACUUCACAUGUAUCGUCUGCUACUUGUUAGAACACCACCGAUCUGGCACACGCUUGUUUGUUUGAUCUGUUUCUGUGAUCUACUGUGUAGUUCUGUUCUAAUUCUGCUAGAUCCGGUGCUAUGCGUUCAUGCAUGUCAUUCAAUCCUUGCUGAUGGUUUGAAAUGUAUAUUGCCUGUUCGUAGAGCAAUGGAUCUCAAAUUAAUUACCAUACCUCUGUUGCUGUUCGUAGAGUAAUGCAAUCAAUUUCGUAAAUGCCUUCAAGAUCUUUUUCUUGUCCUGUUGCUACAGAAUUUAGUAGUAUGUUAAGCUUUGCACCUUUAACAAUGUUUAAUACCCCUUGUGCAGCCUGAUGGUCAGAUGCCCGGUGACAAGACCGUUGGGGGAGGUGAUGAUGCUUUCAACACCUUCUUCAGCGAGACUGGUGCUGGGAAGCACGUCCCCCGUGCAGUCUUUGUUGAUCUUGAGCCUACUGUGAUUGAUGAGGUGAGGACUGGUGCUUACCGCCAGCUCUUCCACCCUGAGCAGCUUAUCAGUGGCAAGGAGGAUGCAGCCAACAACUUCGCCCGUGGUCAUUACACCAGUAAGUGCUGUGCUCUUUGUUUGUAAUGAUGUUGGUAAUCACUCUUGCUGUGCUUAUCAUCUGGCUAACGUUUGGUGCUGCUAUUGCAGUUGGCAAGGAGAUUGUUGAUCUGUGCCUUGACCGUAUCAGGAAGCUGUCCGACAACUGCACUGGUCUCCAGGGCUUCCUUGUCUUCAAUGCUGUUGGAGGUGGAACUGGCUCUGGCCUUGGUUCUCUUCUCCUAGAGCGUCUCUCUGUUGACUAUGGAAAGAAGUCCAAGCUUGGGUUCACAGUGUACCCAUCUCCCCAGGUGUCCACCUCUGUUGUUGAGCCAUACAACAGUGUCCUGUCCACCCACUCCCUCCUUGAGCACACCGAUGUCUCUAUCCUGCUUGACAAUGAGGCCAUCUAUGACAUCUGCCGCCGCUCCCUUGACAUUGAGCGCCCAACAUACACCAACCUCAACAGGCUUGUUUCUCAGGUACAGUCUACAUCCUUGUUUCUGCAUGGUACAUGCUUUCUCUGUUUGAUGUAUGUUAUAUGUUGCACUUCCUAAGAAUGUUUGACUGGUAUCUAAUCCAUUGGUUAAAUAACUAAUGUGCAGGUCAUAUCAUCACUGACUGCUUCCCUGAGGUUUGACGGUGCUCUGAAUGUUGAUGUGAAUGAGUUCCAAACCAACCUGGUGCCCUACCCAAGGAUCCACUUCAUGCUUUCCUCCUAUGCCCCAGUGAUAUCAGCAGAGAAGGCUUACCAUGAGCAGCUGUCUGUUGCCGAGAUCACCAACAGUGCAUUCGAGCCUUCCUCCAUGAUGGCCAAGUGUGACCCCCGCCAUGGCAAGUACAUGGCCUGCUGUCUCAUGUACCGUGGGGAUGUCGUGCCCAAGGACGUCAACGCUGCUGUGGCCACCAUCAAGACCAAGCGCACUAUCCAGUUUGUUGACUGGUGCCCCACUGGCUUCAAGUGCGGUAUCAACUACCAGCCACCUGGUGUCGUCCCAGGGGGCGACCUUGCCAAGGUCCAGAGGGCUGUGUGCAUGAUCUCCAACUCCACCAGUGUUGUUGAGGUCUUCUCCCGCAUCGACCACAAGUUUGACCUGAUGUACGCCAAGCGUGCCUUUGUCCACUGGUAUGUGGGUGAGGGUAUGGAGGAGGGAGAGUUCUCUGAGGCCCGUGAGGACCUUGCUGCCCUGGAGAAGGACUAUGAAGAAGUUGGUGCUGAGUUCGACGAUGGUGAGGAUGGUGACGAGGGUGAUGAGUACUAGAGCCUGCCUCCUGGUGCUUUCCCAAGGCGUACUACUGCUAUCCUAUGAUCUGCUCAAGCGGCUUUAUCUGUUAUCUGUCUGUUUGAAUGUUUGCUUUGUGGUGUUUGUUUUACAACCUGUUGUGUUGUAAGAACAUAUUGGUCUGUCUGAACCUAAUGUUAUGUGCAUGCGGUUAUCUAUGCCUUGGCCUCUGUCUCCAUUUUCCUGUUUCAAUAUGUGUUACUAUCUGGUUAUCUAUGCCUUAGCCUCCUACUGCUUUGUCUCCAUUUUCCUGUUUUCUUGUGUUUUGGCUGGUGGUGGACUGGAAACGCAUCUUAAUUUCAUCUGUUGAUUCCAGCUAAGUGGCCUUUACCGACCUAGAGUUGUAACUUGGAAUUGAGGAAAGUCACACGAGUCCUGCUCCGUUGAUACUCUUUUAAUCACACGGUCUCCGAUCUGAGGAAAUCUUGCAGUUAAUCUUGCCUGCCACCCCAUCCACCUUACCCCGUCUCGCAUCUCCAUCACCGCGUGGGCUACCUCCGCCACCAACCUGCUAUACACCAGCAAUUCCCGACGGGUACAACUGAUGCACACGCUGGUGCAGUGUCCCGUACAAGUCUGCUCCAUCGAACGCUGCUCUCACCGCCGGCCGCGUCACCGGUCUGGUUCCCCGCCAGAGCCUGGCCCAUCAUCAAACCCUACCAUACCGCCCUGCUAUGCCUUGGCUCGGUAAAUAAGAUGCACUGCGGUAACAAAAAUUAGGUUGUUUCACUUUUGAUGUGUUGAUUUGAUUUGCGUUACUUUGGAUGUAAUGCUUGCUUCGAUGAAUUUUGUGAGUGUACCUCGAUGUGUAAUGGAUCACUAUGUCAUUUGAUAAUUUUGGUUAAUCCUUAUGCAGAUCACAAUAAUAUGAUUCUCAAUCAUGGCGAUAAUUUUAGUUUUUGACAUGAUUUCAGAAUUCCAUGCUUCCAUCCAAGUUUACUGUGUACCCAAACUAAUAUGUUCCUGCUUCUUAGUUCUGUAGUGUGCCUCCAAAGUUCCAAUGUGCAGAUGUUCUCGGGCAGGUGGGUCAUAUUAUGAAAUCAACUUUUUAUGUUGGCCAGUGAUCUUAAAUAUGUCGAGAUAGUAUAAAAUUAUUGCUUCUUCUAACCUAAGCUGCGUGCUUUUGACAUACAUAUGUCUUGUAGCACAACAUCCAUAUUUCUUUAUUCGGUAUAUGUGCUUCUAUGGUACAGUGUUUCUAUUGCUACAUAAUUCCUUUAUUUCUCAUCUAUGUCACCAAUACAUGUCACAUGUGUGAUUUUUUUCCCCAGAAAUAAUGCAUACAUAUUUUCACAUAGGCAAAGAGACAACAUUUAGGAUUCUUUUUUUCUUCAGAUAUCCAUGCUUUCAAUCAUUAGUAUUUAUGUAACUACACCUGGUUGUUCACACGUUUUAACUAUUUGCGGUUUUACACUAUAAUAUGUAUAUGCUUCAUAAUUGUAUGCAUCUCGACCUUUAUCAUGAUAUUACUUUUCGUUAAUUUUUCAAAUUUCCAUGCUUCCAUCGCAACUUACCAUGUCCAUGUGCUUCUUUUUAUGCAGCAUCCAAAUGGCAAUAUAGAUGCUUCUAAACAAUAUACAAUCUAAAUCAUCUGAAGCAGAGUGCAUGCCGAAGAUCCGAUAGGUUGUCAUUUGUUUGCUUCCGAUAAGCCUCACAUGUGUUGUGAUUGCAAGAUUUUUUUUCCUACACACAUUUGAUACUUAAUUUUUAUCCAAAAGUGCCUGUACGUGCAGAUGGAUUGGCAGUACAACUACACUUUUCAGGUUUGGCAUAUUUCCUUUCUAUUUUGUUGAAUUACUUGGAAUGAUCCCACAAAUAUUCGUGCUUCUGCACUUCAUAGAGUCUCCGACAUUUAAACCAUGCUUUCGUUUUUUAUACUCAUGUUUGACGUCAGAUAGCAUGAAAUUGAUGCUCGCAAAUACCAAUGCUUCCUAUGUUGUACUUCAAUCCAGAACUUCAGAUAGGUUGUGUCGAAUGUUCACAAUUAGCUUGACAAAUUUGUUUGUUUUCCUAGAAGUAGGUGCUUACGCUUAAAAGACAAGUAUGUGCUUCCUUGUUUCUCACAUAAUGCUUCCUUUGUAUAGAAACCUGCAACAAAAUCCAGAUGUGCUUCUUUGUUGCCAACAAGAUGUCAACGAUGUUGCAAUGAAAUUAAGUGCGCUAUAACCGAGACAAACCAGGCAUUGCUCUAAGUUGUUGGUUGUACUGGAACUGCAAUGACAAUGGAGAGCUCUAGGCACACGCAGAUCUUGCCCAUGACCAUCUUGUAAAAAGUUGUGUUGAAAUAUGAUUUUAUAUAGUUGCAAAAAAGUGUUGUAAUAUUUUUCUGUACCUUAUUAAAUUUGUUUCAACCCUUGAUCACUCUCUUUAUGAUUCCCCAUGUUUUCUUUGCUAAAAAAGUCUCCGUUAUACAAGAAAAAAAGUUUCCUUGACACAAAAAUAAGCUUCCAAAUCUUCUACAAACAUAAGAUAGAUCAAAUCCGUCUCUUGAACAAUAUUUUUCCUUCGCACUACAAAGUAUAUUCUACCAUAAGUUAAAGGGAAUGCUUCCAUGACACAAAAGCCCAUUGUCGCAUAAAAAUACGUCUCGGAGAAAACUUUGUUAUUGUAUUGGAUUUCGCCUUAUUUGAAAUGUAUGCUUCCAUCGGUUCAAAGUAAUGUCAUUAUGGCAAAAAGAUGCACAUUAUCUUCUGUAAUUAGUGGAAACGAGGCCCAUGUCCGCAAAAAAAAAGCCCCACAGGGUCCAUGCAUGCAUAGUUAUUAGCAUGCAGCAGCCAAAUUAAUGCUUCAAUCCCGAAAUCAUGCGUGAGACUUUCCUAGUUAAUCUGACGACUAGCAUGCAAUGAAUCGGAGGGCUAUGGAGUGGUCUGAUAGGAAGGAAGCAUUAGUAGUUUGAUGCUUAGUGCUCUCCUAAUAUAUAAGACCUUCUGUUUUGCUUCUUCGACAUUUUUUGCUUGUUUGCCCUAUGUAAAUUGUUUGUUUACUGAUCCAUCAUAUCAGGGGAGUGCCUAAUCAGCGCUGCACGCGUGGGAACCCCUAGUCAUCGGCGUUGAAGCCAACUGGCGCUCGCAGCAGCAUACUAUUGGGCCGGCCCAUAAAUGCUUAACCAAAGUAACACAACGUGAAAUCUACAAAAAAAAGAGGCAGCCCUGUAGGCGCCUGAUCAGGGGAACCCCUAAUCAGCGACACUGAAGCGAACCGGCGCUAGCAGCAGCAUAUUAUUGGGCCGGCUCAUAAAUGCUUAGCACACCGAAGUAACACAGCAUGAAAUCUAUAAGAAAAAAGGCAGCGUUGCAAGCGCCUGAUCAAGGGAACCCCUAGUCAGCGGCGUUGAAGCGAACCGGCGAACGCAGCAGCAUACCAUUGGGCAUGCCCAUGAACGCUUAGCACACCGAAGUAACACAAUGUGAAAUCUAUAAAAAAAGAGGCGCCUACGGGGAUCGAACUUACGCCACAUUACUGUCGCAAGAGUAACGAUACCACUGCACCAUGGAAUUGCUCAUGAGUUAUUCUAGCGCGCAUUCAUUAUAAAUACUAGCGGCCGCACUAUUUGUAUCCAAAAAAUGUUUAUGAAAUAAAGUUUUUUCACUAACUUGAGAAAAAAGUUCAGGAAUUUAGGAAAAGAAGUUAGUUUAAAAACUUUCAUCAAUUUUUAAAAAUUACACUGAGUUUGAAAAAAGGUCAUCAAUUUUGAAAAAAAUGACAAAUUUAAAAAAUAUUCAUCAAUUUUGAAAAAAAUGACAAAUUUAAAAAAUGAUCAUCACUUUUAAAAAUUGUUCGUCGACUUUGACAAAAGUUCAGCGGAUUUAAAAAAGUUAAUCGAAUCUCAAAAAAGGUCAUCGAGUUUAAAAAAGUUUGGUGAAUUUUUAAAAGAUAUCAUCUUUUUUUCUAAAAAGUUCAUCGAUUUUUUUAAAAAUUCAUUGGAUCUGAAAAAAGUUCAGUGGAUUUUUCAAAAAUGUCAUCAGUUUUUCUAAAAAGUUCAUCGAAUUUUCAAAAAAAAAUCAUCGGAAUUGAAAAAGGUUGUCAAAAUUUUGAAAAAGUUCAUUAAGUUCAAAAAAAGUUCACCAUUUCGAAAAAAAUCACAAUUUGGAAGGAAAAAAAUUCAUCAAUCUUGAAAAAAGUUCAUCGAAUUCUUAAAAAAAUUCAUUGGAUUUGAAAAGUUCAUCAAAUUUGAAAGCAAAGUUUAUCAACAUUUAAAAAAAUUCACUGAAUUCGGAAAAAUCAAUUUUAAAAUUUUUUGGAUGGAUUAAAAAACCAAACGACUCAAUAUGAAGGAAAAUUAAAAAAAAGAAAACGAAAACACAAAACAGAAAAAGGAAAAACCAAAAAUGAAAAACAGAAGAAACGAAAGAAACGAUGAUAAGGAAAAGAAUGACGUAUAUAAGCACAUAAGUAUCCGUGAUCGGGUGGUUACUAGGGUGGGCACUAUAAAACCGAAAACCGAAAAACCAAACCGACCCAAAUCGUAUUAAUCGAUUUGUCGGUUUAUUUGGUGGUUCGGUGGAAAAUUUUAAGGUUGUUUGGUGUUUUGUUUUUGUUCGGUUUUUGGUGUCGAGAAACCGAAUAGACCGAUUUUUUUUUGAUAUGUGGGAUAUCCCAUGUAAUACUUUGUUUCCGAAAGUGCAACAGUAUGGAGGCAUCACACAUUUCUCCACACAUAAUACAUUUCACGUUUCAUGUGCUUUUUCUACUUAAUUAUGGUUACUAGUUUGCUUGACCGAAUAAACCAUAGAAUGAUAUUAAGGUUCCUAGAACUUGUGAUUAUCUUUUUGCAUACUAUACAAUCCAAAUCAGUGCUCUCGAGUCAUUACACUUAUACUGACAAGUGCAUGAAUUUUGGUUUUUCGGUUAACCAAACAAACCGAAUCGAUAUAUUAUUGUUAAUAUGGUUUGGUUUCUCAAUUUUGAAUGAUUAUUUCGGUUUUUAUUCCUCCAAAAUCAAAACUAUAUAAAAUCAAAUAAACCGAACCGUAUUAACCAUAUAAACCGAACGCCCAGCCCUACUGGUUACCACUCAUCGGACUCGACCAGGAGCUCCUCUGUUCGAAUCUAGUUCUAGCCAAUUUUUUACGCUUUACAAGCAAGCGACAAGGGAAUGGACAAGCGAACGAAAUGGGCCGAGCCUAGCUAACGUGGCUGCACGCGCCGGUUAGGUGAAAAUCAAAGAAACCGGCGCCUGCAACGCUAAAUAGGAAAAGCCCAUAUCACGAACUCGCGCGUGCAGCAACUUGGUUUUGCGGAGGUCCAUUUAGUGCUCGCUUAAUGGUUGUAUAGACUGUUUGCUGAGUCUGAAGGCAUGUGGGUACAAAUUUUAAGAAACAAGUAUUUGUAUGCCAAAACCUUGGCUCAGGUUACUUUGAAAUCCAAAGAUUCACCAUUUUGGAAAGGACUAAUAAGAACGAAAGCAGCUUUUUUUCAUAGGUCAAAGUUUAUUGUUGGUAAUGGUGAGUCUAGGAGAUUUUGGGAAGAUAUGUGGCUGGGUGAGACGCCACUAGCCACGCAAUAUCUAGCCCUAUACAAUAUUUUGCAGCGUAAGGAAGACUACGUUGCGACGGUAUUAAAGUUUGUUCCUCUAAACAUUAAAUUCCGAAGGAACUUAUUGGGGGAGAGAUGGCUGCCUUGGCUUGAUUUAGCGAGGAGGAUGAUGGAGGUUAAUCUAUCAGAUGAGGAGGAUAAACUCCAUUGGAAAUUAUCUAAGAAUGGCAUCUUUUCUGUCAAAUCGAUGUACUUGGAACUCAUUGACUCUCAUCAAUCCCCAAAUCGAUUCAUAUCUGAAAGAUCAACGUUCCCUUAAGAAUCAAAAUUUUCAUGUGGUUCGUUCACAAGGAAGUGAUACUCACCAAGGAUAAGUUCGCAAAAUGUAAUUGGGUCGGAAACACAAGAUGUAGCUUCUGUGAUCAACUUGAAACUAUCGAACACCUCUUUCUCGAUUGCCCAUUAGCAAAAGUUCCGUGGAGAUCUAUUCAUAUAGCCUUUAAUAUUACAUCUCCAAAUAGCAUCCAAACGUUGUUUAGGGAGUGGCUAGAUGGAGUAGAUAAUUUUACGGCAAGACAUAUUCGCAUAGAAGUAUGUGCGCUUCUUUGGGCUAAAUGGAAUAGCAGAAAUGAUAUGGUCUUUAACAGGAAAAACCAUAUCAAUUUUUUGCACGUAUUGUACAGGGCAACUUCUUUGAUCCGUACUUCGUCGUUACUCACUCCUGUGGAGAACAGUGAGCUUUUGGCUAUUGGAUCUACCCGAUGAGAUAUGAUAGCUCAGGAUAUCUACAACCGAUUUGGCUGGCGGUCAAAUAGUAGAAUAGGUCGAUAGCUUCUGGUCCUAUUUUGCGUCGGCUAUGGCAUCCUUGUUUUAUUUCGAAGCUUUUUUUGCAAGCUUUAGCUUGUACUAGACUCCGAAUUUUUUGGUCGUUAUUUUAAUAAAGGGGCUGCAUGCAUCUACCAAUGCAGAGGCCGGAGGUGAAUCUCCUUUUCUAAAGAAAAGAUGCAUGUGCAAAUGCAACAUCAUGCACAAGAGUAGCUGCAUAUGCAAAUGCAACAUCACGUGAGUUUCUGGUUGCCACUUUUGCUUACCACUCAUAUACUCCAUUUUUGAUUGCCAGUUUCUGGUUUCUGAGCAGAUACAGGCAUGCAGCACAGGAGAAUCAGAAGAGCAAGACCAAGGUGUUCCUGGGCGCUCACCGAGAGGCGACAAGAGGAGCAGAUACAGCACAUGAGAAGGUGAUCCUGGAUGGCGAGGCUAUCCUGGUUACUGGCCGAGAUCCUGGGCGGUGAGGCAAUCCUGGCCCCCCUCCGGAGAUCUGCAGUACCAGCGGGGGAAGAAAGCAUCCACCGCGAGAGAAGCAAGCAGCCACGCGGGAGAUUUAAUGGGCAAGAUUGGCGGCGAGAUGGAAGGGGAUCUUGGGCGAGCCGCAGUUUGGAUUCUUGAGGAAGACGAUGUUGUGGAGACAACGAUCUGGUAGCGAUCCAAAUUAGGGGUAGCAUUGCCAUUUUCUUGCUUUUCGCAUGGUCGGAAAGUUUUCUUAAAUGACCUAUAUUUCGGAACGGGGAAGUACAACUGUAGCUCACUAAACAAACUUGUUACGUUGCUCUCUUUUUUAAAUGUGCACCUGUAGAGCAUACAUUACUUGUAUUUAUAAAAGUAACAAUACAGAAAUAAAAUGCAUGCAAGCAACAUAAAAUGCAUACAAGCAACAGAAAACAAUGAAGAAACAAGCGGUUGUACUGCUGCAUACCGUCUUUCCCACAAUUACCUAGCACCCAAGAUCUUCACCUUCACCGGAGAAGAAAAGCACCAGAAGCGGGCCCACGUAUUGACGCUAAAGAAACUCAUUACGUUAGUUGCCUACUCCUAUUGGAGUUGGGGCAUGUCCCAAGCUUGACGAGUUCUUAUGUCAUAUAUUUUGAAGUGUGGUGAUGCUAAGAACAUCCUCUCGAUCCUUUCCAUAACUCCAAUGACAAGAACAAUAUCAAGAGAUACUUCUAAUAACCCACAAGUGUAGAAGAUCUAUUGUAGAAUUUCCGAUAAGUAGAUUGUCGAACAUAACAAGGAGCUACAGGUAGGAAUAAUAUUCUCUCAAGUUCUAUCAACCACUUAUACAACUCUACGCACUCAAAUGUUUUCUUUACCUAGAAACAAGAAAUACAUCUACUUUAAAAGUAUGAAAAUAUAGCUUUGUGAGAUAAUAAAGAAUGUAAGAAUAGACAUUAGUAAAAUAACAAUAACGUAAAGGAUUGUCUCUGCGCAAUGGGAUAUGAAACUAAAGUGAUAGUCAUCUAUUGCAGGGUUUUGUUUUUUUGCAAGAGAGGCCAACACUAAGAUGCAACAAAAUCUAUUGACUACGCGUACUUAUGAUUGGACAUAUUAGAAAUCAUCCGCAGAUACUAACAUGUUCAUGAAGGUAAACCCAGCCAAAUAAUUAAGGUCUAAGGUCCCCUUUUAUCCCACAUGCAACAACUCAUAAACUAGGGUUUAGAUGUAUGUCACUCCCGCAACUCAUCAUAAACAACUCAAUCAUAUAUUGCAACACCCUGCAGCACGGAUCCCACAUAUGUGCGCAAACAGUGGGCACCACCAUAAUAACAUACAACUCAAACUAACCAUAGUAUAUCAUAAUUAACUCAUAGGACAAAAAGAAUCUACUCGGACAUAAUAGGGAUGUAAUAAAAAAAAUACCAAGUGACACAUGUGGUAAGCAAUUAAUCCAAACCAUUUAAAAAGAGAUGCAACAGAUCAUUGGAUAAUAAUAUAUAACAUCAAACAUCAUGUUUCAAUAGAUAUUACAGUAGGUCGCAGGAGAGUUCUCCUCUGAAUAUAAUGGGAGGAAGGUAAUGAAGAUUUUGAUGAAGACGACAAAGUUGAUGGAGACGGUCGUCGAGAUGAUGGUGCCCCCGGCGGUGCUUUGGUGCCAUUAGAAGAAAGUUGAGAGAGAGCCCCCCCCCCUCCCCCCUCCCCCCCUUCCUUCAUCUUCUCCUAUAUGAGGAGAGAUUUCCAAAUCUUGUCUUUGGCCACCAUUUCUUUAAUAUUUAAAGAUCUGUAACUCCAAUCAGGUUAAAACUUGAAGGGGUUUAUUUUCAAUAAAAUUAGUUUUCUUGCGACAAAAGAAGGGCCUCAAUACACAUAGGGACCAGACACCCCAAACCCCAUGUAAUUAGGAGCCUACCAAUGUCGGCUUCCCUUGUGGGGUUCUCCUGGCUCCCCCAGCCUCAAUCUUCAGGCUCUCGUGGUAUAUUACUCCAUGAAAAAUCAGAGAAAAAAAAUCAGCUCAUUCUGGAUACGUGAAUUCUUCACUUUAAACCCCCAAAACGAUAGAAAACGGGAACUAACGUUGGAUACUGGAUUAAUAGGUUAAUCCAAAUAAAUAUUAUUUUAAAUAUNNNNNNNNNNNNNNNNNNNNNNNNNNNNNNNNNNNNNNNNNNNNNNNNNNNNNNNNNNNNNNNNNNNNNNNNNNNNNNNNNNNNNNNNNNNNNNNNNNNNNNNNNNNNNNNNNNNNNNNNNNNNNNNNNNNNNNNNNNNNNNNNNNNNNNNNNNNNNNNNNNNNNNNNNNNNNNNNNNNNNNNNNNNNNNNNNNNNNNNNNNNNNNNNNNNNNNNNNNNNNNNNNNNNNNNNNNNNNNNNNNNNNNNNNNNNNNNNNNNNNNNNNNNNNNNNNNNNNNNNNNNNUAAAUAUUAUUUUAAAUAUAAAAAUAAAUCAUGUAAAUAUAGCGCGAAUACUUUAUAAAAUAUAGGUACAUUAAAGAUGUACAAAUCUGGUGUUGCAGCCCAGUUGGGCAUGCCCCGGGACGCCUUCGUCGGUUGGAUGGUGAGUCAGUCUAUUCGGCCUCGGCCUAUCUGGAGAAGCGAAGCAGAAAACGUACUAUCCCAUUCUGGCUUUUCCGGACAACGAGAUAACCCACACACAUGAGAUGACCUACUCAGCGUGCAACACGUCGAAGGACGACCAAAUGUGCUUGUCACAUGACGCUUGCUUCGAUUCGCUAGCCAAUCGUAGUAUUGGGCCUUGCCCCAUCCAGAUAAGCAAAGAAAAAAGAACAAAGAUGAAGAAAAGUUGAAACAAAUGUAGAGAUAAUAUUUCAAAUGUUGUAGAAAAAUAAGUGUUCAAAAUUUUAGAAAAGAUUGUAAGGAAUUAUUUGCGUAUUUGAAAAAUUAUUUAUGAGUUUAGAAAAUGGUCGCAAAUUUAGAAAAUGUUCUUAAGUUUCAAGCAAUGUUCAUGAAUUUAGAAAAUGUUUGCAGAUUUUAAAAGAGGCUUUAAGAAAUGUUGAUGAAUUUAAAAAAUCACAAAGUAAGAAGAUUUUUUAAGAAUUUAAAGAUUUUUCUAUCGAUCAUAGGAGCGUGAGUUCACAUAUAAAUAGGGCCAAUAUAUGGGUGCUUAGCCAAUUCACUUCCUGGCAUGUUGGGCCACGAAUGCAAAAAAUCCCACGAUGCACCAGGAGGCUUCAUUUCUAGAGAGUUGUGUAACUUUAGAGAUAUGGGGUGAUUCACCAACGCAGUUAGACCCAAUUAGUCCAUGCUCGCUCUCUAGAAAUGAAGCCUAUAUUAUUUUAAAUAUAUAAGUAAAUAUUAUUUUAAAUAUAUAUGUACACGCACCUGCUUCUACGUCCGAUUCUCUCUGACAGCGUAGCUGACGCACAAGAACCAAAAAACUCGAGUGGUUCAUGGGGACAGAGGACAUUGAAGCUUCGGUGAGCAUAAUUCUUGAUGACCGCACGCGGCGGUGAUUUGUCCACGGCCCCAGCCAGCAGACACGCUGUUGGCUAGUUUUUGGUAGGAGCGCACAUGAGACAUAGAGAUUGCUCAGAGCCCUCCACUUCAUCUUGAACAGUUGGACUGACCAAGAUGCCUGGCAGAUCUAGCACUGCGCGUUCCACUUGUUCAUGCAUGUGUGUCCUUCUACUAACCGUACCUGAUGAACUUGCCGUGAUCAACUCGUGCCUCCAGCGGGUCAAUUAACCAAGAAUGCAAAUAGAUUAACAAAUGUUACUUGUGGAUUUGUUAGAACUGAAUGCGGGAAUGCAACCAUAGAGCUUAGAUUUAAUUAGUUACUGCCAUUUGCAUCCUCGCACGGCUACAAUUGCUUAGACAACUACUCCUUCAAUCUGUUUUUGCCGAGCGAGUUGUUUCCAUCCAACAAGUCAUUGUCUUUGUCCACUUGGUGAAAAUUGGCCCUCGCAGAUUGUUGUAACGAAGGAUCGUUCAGACUUCAGUGUGAAUCGACCAGGUUGUUUUCCUAUGUUCUACUAUAAUUGAUUGAUGCGCUUGGUGUAGUAUAGAUACAUGGAGAGGGUCAAGGAUCCCGGUUGCAGUUAUGCGCGGCUCGCCGGCUGCCAUUCAAGACUUCGCCGGAAAUGGUGGAUCAAAAAGUGACCUAUUGUGUUCUGUUGUGGGCCCUUAAAGCGCUAGAUUCGUACACUUGUAAUCAGAGGACCUUCUCCCAGGACAUGGUGCCCUAGUAUUCCGAUCUUCAUGAGGCAGCUCAGAGCCUAUGUCAUGUAUACUUUCAGGUGGAACAAUUUCUUCACGGGCUUCAUUCAGCUGAUGUCAUCUAUGUUUACGAGUAGAACAUAAUAGAUACGCUGCAAACAUCUUACCGACACCUGUCACACCUAAGGCUAUACUUUGCACUACGUUUGUUCUCAUCCCCACAGCUACCUUUGUUGCAUCGUUCUACUUCUCUUAGCUUAUGGAUCCAUUACUGGUUAGGCCUUAUAUGUAGUCAGUAGUUGCCAACAUUAAAGCAGUCGAUGUCAACCAAUACAAGAUGGUGAGGAGGUCGUUGCUAUGUCGAACUGAAUGUGAGCAAAUGUGAGUGAGACACAUUAACACAUGCACUAAACUAUUCAAAUUAAGUAGAGUGCAAUGAUUUCGCCUUCUCUUUCUACUUCUAAUACUCCCCCGUCACGAUUUGGAUCACUAGAGACUAGAGACUAGAGACUAGUAGUAGUCACCUUUAGUCAGUAAACCUCCAAACACCCCUGACUAAUGGGUGGCUAAAACUAGUUUAGUCUCUAGUCACCCCACCCCCAACUAAAAGUGACUAAAGUCUCUUCUCCAAUUAAUGGCUCAUCCUCCCAUGCUGGCACGCCAAUGGAAGGGAGAUAAAUGAGAAUAAUUUAAUACAGAGACAUUUAAUGCUGACUAGUAGUAGUCACCUUCCAAACAGGGCCUGACUAAAAACUUCUAGUCUGACUACUACUAGUCACAUGACUAGAGAGUAUCCAAACACCCUCUUAUAAGGCGUGCAUGCAAAUUCUCUAGGACCUAGGUGGUUAUUGAUUGGUUGUGAAAUGAGUUUAAAAAAUAGCAUUAACACUACGCAUGCAUAUAGAAGUAGUACAACAGAGUACUAAUUAGCUGCUAGGAGUAAAUGCAACGUGCCUUAAUCUUUGUCUAUUUUAGAAACGCACGCAAGUCUAACUGUGCCUUCUAAACCGUGACGGAGGGAGUAGCAAUCAAACAAUCAGUGAUAAAUAUCGAGCAAUCUCAACAGUGAUCACACGUAAUGUGAUGUGAUUUGGAUAUUCGCAUGAAGUCAUGUUCAAUGCACGGGAUUUCUUGCACAUUGAUUGUACCCAGUACGUGUUGAGUGAGGUCCUAGAGCCCCACAAGUAUUCUUAAAUUAAGUUACUCCCUACGUUCGGUUUAUAAGGCUACUUUUAAUGCAUUGGUGUUAAGAAGAGGUGCUAAGCACAUUUAAAAGUUUAGCAACCAAAGCCUUCAAUCAUAGGUGCUUAACUUGUUGUAGUAGCUAGCUAAGCAUACUCUAUUUAAUGGUUUAGCUACUAAAGUUAUUCAUGCAUUGCUAAGCUUUCUUUCAUUUAAGUAUUUUACCUAGGUUCACGUGCUUAGCAUCGUUUUUUCCCGGGAUCGCCACAUCCAUCUCUCUUCUCUUAAAUAUCAUGCCACAUCAAAAAUUUUUGUCUACGUAGCAGCCUUAGCACCUAUAUAAGGUGGAGCAUUGGGAGGGGCCUAAGUCAUCUUAGGUUGUGCACCGCAACCAAGACGAAGAGGAAAAUCAGAGAAAUUAAUGUUACUCCUAACUUGUUAAUUAAUAUCAUUGCAUGCAAUGAAUUACCACUGCAUGUCGUGCUAGUUAGUCUCAAGUCAUUAAAAACAUACACGCCCCACGUCUCUUAUUGGUUGAUUCUUUUAUUCAAGUUAAAAAACAAAAAAGGGAUGAAAGUUAAUGCAUCGUGCCUUAGUAUUUUGAGAUUAUUUAAUUUUCGUAAAAUGACCUAUGAACCGAGACGGAGGGAGUACACUAGUGGGGACGGGGCCUUUAGCCCCGGCCCGUAAGGGGCUUUAGUCCCGGUUCACCAACCGGGACUAAAGGGGCGUGACUAAAGGCCUAACCUUUCGUCCCGGCCCUCUUACAAGCCGGGACUAAAGGUGCUCCACGUGGGCGUCUCGUAGCGCCCCAGGGGCAGACUAAAGAUUUUCAGAUUUUGCUGGUUUUUGGGGUUUUUUUUGAAUGAAAUUAUUUUUGGGUUUUAGGGUUUAGGUGUUCGGGAGAUUAACGUGAUGCCUCGUUUGGUGUUCGGGAAUUAGUUUUUAUAUAAUUUAAAUAGAAAUAAUUAUGCAUAUAUAUAUAUAUAAGAUUAACUUAUCUUACAAGCGAUCAUAUAUAUACAAUUAUAUGGAGAUCUGAAUUAUCGGGACUAGAGCCCGUCUAUUCGAUUACAUGGACGAACAUCAGUAAUGGCCCUUAGCUACAUAAAUCGUCCUUUCUCUUCUAUAGCUUCCGUCCUCAGAAAUCCCGCAAGCUCCUCUGCAACAGCAAUCACGCGUUGCUCUGGUAGGACCUUCGUCCUCAUGGCCGUGUGCUAUAUAAGAAGAGGAGAUGAAUAUGAAUAUCAAUCAUGAUAACAAAGAAUGACGGGUAAAAAUAGAGGUGUGAAUGUUCAUUGCUUACGUCGAAUCUGUGAUCCUUGAACUCAGAGGUAAACGUGCGAAUGGUCUCGCAAACAUAGUAUCCACAUAGAUGCGUUCCCCGUGGCUGCUGGUCGCACUUUACGAGAAUAGAAUAUAUAUAAUUAAAAUAAUAAUCUAGCAUCAUAAAUGUAUUGAAAAUUAAUAGAAGUAUAUCAUACUAGUACUUACCUGAGCCGCUCUAAAGGUCAGCUUCUCAGGAAAGUUACCGGGAGUCACGCACUUGAACCGCUUCCAAACCCUGCCCGACAAGGAUAAUGAUUUGCUAAGUUUUUCAUUAAUUGAUAUAUCAGAAAAUCAUCGAAAGAGACCGAUAAAGUGCAAGAAUGAUUAAAAUUACCCUUGGAGCAUGUCCAGCAGGCUUUGGAACUGUUCCAAGGGUCUCGAUAAUGGGUCGAAGGCAUCAACUCUUUCCUUAUCAAUUUGAAUGUCCAAUAUAUAUAUGUGUGUGUGUGUGUGCCAGUAACUUAUCAAUUACACUUAUAAGUGAAUGGACACAACCGAGUAAAGACCCUCACCUGAAGUUGUAUGGAAACAGUAUGUGGUCACAUAAAUUUUGAUCUAUUGCCGGUCAAAAAAAAAAUUGAUCUAUUAGAAACCUUAGAAGGUUUUCCUCCGUCUCCUUGGGUUUGUCAGUUAGCGUCGCUAUAUGUAUUUUAUCUCGGUCAAUAAACCCAAUAUUUAGGAUGCUCUUACUUUUACAAUCCAGAAUCUUCAUUCUUCAUAAUAGAGUACAAGUUAUAUAUAGACAAUGAAUUGAAAUAACUAAACAAGUUAUAUGUAGACAACGAAUUGAAAAACUUAUAGACAAUAGAAACUCAUAAGCGAUUUGUCGAGGGCGUCGCCAUUGUACAUCUGGAAGAGUUCAUCAAAGUCGAUAUGGAUUUCUUCGGAGCGGCCGUAGUACCCCUGUGGGACACUCAGCACGAUCAUCGUUCUCCCAUUCUUUGAUUCACUUAAGUACCAUUUAUGCAAGUAACGCAUGUUUGUUGGGAGAUCAUCUUUGCUGACGAAAGGCUCUCCCAUGACAAACUGUGGCUUAGGGGCUACCACAGCCUUGGGUAUCCUGUCGUCUUGGGAAGCCAGCAAAUCUUCAACCGAGAUACCACAUUCAGCCGCCAACUCCUUUGCUCUUUCAAAAGCUUGCCCCUGNCGUCUGAUUUUUUCUUGCUCGUAGUUGAACUUGAUUUGCUCCCACUUGCACUUGCACGUGAGCUGCUCUUUUUCACUUCCUUCUGUAAUGUGCGUGUAUAGUCAUCAGGCUUAUAGUGUAAGUCAUACGGUGAUGGAAGGGUUAUGAAGUCUUUUGCCCAUGCUAUUUGCUUCUCGGUGUAUUCCGGGCGGGGCUCGGGUUCCUUCUUUUUCAUCUGCGCAUCAUGCUGUUCCUUUGCUAUCCUGGCGUUUUCCUCGGGGGUACGAUCAUAAGGUCUGAUAGGAAGAUUAGCAUGAGGUACCUUUGGGAGGGGCGACAGUUUGCGCUUUGGGGAGCUCCGUCGCUUAGAAAUCAUCGACGGAGCGUUCUUGCUGGCACGCUUCCGCUUAGUAUCAUGUGCGAGCGGCGGCGGAGACGGACGACCCAAGUCCGGCGGCGGUGAUCGAGAUGGACUCGUGUUGUGCUGGCCGACAUAAGUGGAGGGCUUGGAGGUAAUGGAGGUGUAGGUGACCUGCGACGACUCAGAGGCGGUGUUGUCCUUGGGGCCGAGCCUGGAAGCUUGAUGUAGUUCUUGUCCCAUAGGAUGACUCCACCCACUACUUCUCCGAGUGUCCUCUCAUCUUCGGGUCCAGCUAUGUCGAGCUCCAUAUCAUUAAACCCCGUCAUGAUUUCAUCCACCCCGACUUUAGCAAAGCCAGCUGGAAUCUCACGGCCAUGCCAGCGUGCAUCAGGGCCAGAAGGUAAAGCUUGUCCGACGGCCACCUUCAUGGAUAUGUUCUUGAAUUUCUGAUGGAGUUCAUAUGAUGUUGACUCCUUGAUUCCAUCCACGGGGUAGCCGGGACCGUCCUCUAUCAUUCUUCGUUCAUCGUCGGGUGGGGCCUCAGAUUCAGCCAUGCCGCUUUUCCGCUUAGAUGGGGCGCCGGUAAUAUCAAGUGCAUGAUCUUCCUGGCGCGGUACUCCUCUAAGCUCAUCAAUCUGCUUCUGUUGCUCGUUAAUCUUGGCAAGCAACUGGUUGAACUUGUCAUUCUCCUCAUCCUGCUGCCGCUUCUUUGCUCUCUCUCAGCUUGUGUAAGUGUCUUGGUCUUUGGCAAACCCAAGCCACCACGGGUAAGAAGGACCGAAGCCUCGCGUUCGUCCUCCAUGUUCGUCAUUGCCGAGGACCAGUGUGAGCAAAUCUUUAUCUCUAUCUGCAGUGAACUUUCUUUGUCCCUCCUUAAUUUAUUUCACUAUCCUUUACCAAUUCUCCCUGGGUAUCCUAAGAUCUUCAUUGCAGAUGAGGUCCCCUGUUGUUUCGUCGUACGACCCACCAUGCGCAAGGAACCAAUUUCUUGCUCUUAAUUCCCACUCAUCACGGAGUGGUUUAGGUACGAUGCCUUUAUCUAUCAGAUCUUGCUCUUUCUUAUCCCACUUUGGGAUGGCAGUCUCAUAGCCCCCUGGCCCCAGCUUGUGGUGAUAUUUCUUCUUAUCGGCAUUUAUCUUGUUCUNNNNNNNNNNNNNNNNNNNNNNNNNNNNNNNNNNNNNNNNNNNNNNNNNNNNNNNNNNNNNNNNNNNNNNNNNNNNNNNNNNNNNNNNNNNNNNNNNNNNNNNNNNNNNNNNNNNNNNNNNNNNNNNNNNNNNNNNNNNNNNNNNNNNNNNNNNNNNNNNNNNNNNNNNNNNNNNNNNNNNNNNNNNNNNNNNNNNNNNNNNNNNNNNNNNNNNNNNNNNNNNNNNNNNNNNNNNNNNNNNNNNNNNNNNNNNNNNNNNNNNNNNNNNNNNNNNNNNNNNNNNNNNNNNNNNNNNNNNNNNNNNNNNNNNNNNNNNNNNNNNNNNNNNNNNNNNNNNNNNNNNNNNNNNNNNNNNNNNNNNNNNNNNNNNNNNNNNNNNNNNNNNNNNNNNNNNNNNNNNNNNNNNNNNNNNNNNNNNNNNNNNNNNNNNNNNNNNNNNNNNNNNNNNNNNNNNNNNNNNNNNNNNNNNNNNNNNNNNNNNNNNNNNNNGACAUGAGAUCAUUCCAAAGAUUAUCUUUACCUUUCGGCGACAUAGUCACUAUCGGCUGCCCCUUUGCGCUUGUUCCACUCCCGAACGCUGAUCGGGACUUGAUCCCUAACGAGAACUCCGCAUUGCUUCUUGAAUGUGUCAGCAGCAUUCUUAGGAAGCUUGGGUUCGCCCGUAGGAAAUAUCACCUCAAAUGUGUAAUGCGUCCGUGCAUCCAACUUUCCAGUCGGGCCUCGUUUCGUAGUUUUGCUCGAUGUGGAGGCCUAAGAGGGGGAAACAUUCGUCAAAUGAAUGUAUAUGUAUACAAUAUAGAGCUAUCUCCAAUAUUUUUCACAUAUUACAAGUGAUUGUCGAACUUCAUAUGUAUACCUCGCCGGACUUUAUUAUUUCUUCACCGGCUUCUCCAUCAGUGGAGCUAUCACCUUCUCCGUCAUUGGACCUAUCUCCUGCCCCAUCGGCUUCAUCUUCGUGUCGCUCGACCUCCAUUCCAACGUCCUGGUUUAGAUAUGACGACGGAGAUUCAGCUGGUUCAACGUCAGGGCCGUCUUUGAUUAUAUCUUCGAGAAGUUCUUCCUCUUCGAGGUUCCUGAUAUGUGGAUCCAUAAUUCUGCAAAAAAGGAUUCUCUUAACCUUUGUACCAAAAAAGAAUUAUUCUAUCACGAACUCCGUUCCAAAACAACUUAAGUCUCGGGUCGUGGCUCCACCCGGGACUCCUAGAUUUCUGCAUAGUAUUCAAAGUAGGAGUACUUUUCCAAUUUGAGCAUUCAAUAAGCAAAACCAAAUCGUAAAAUAAAGUAGUAUUCAAAUUAGCAUGCAUUCAAUUAUAAGCUAAUACAUCAUCACUUUUGUCCGUACAUCGUCGAAUAUUAUCACUGAUACAUCUAGAACCGUAGCGCCCGACGGGUAUCGGCGCGGGCGGUGGACACCCAAAGAGAAGGAACCAUCACAGGAUCAUAGCUCCACUGAGAUCCCCGAAGAACCUGCCAGGUAUGCUCGAACCUGCCCUCCAACGCAACCAUGUAGCGACGGACGUGCUCAUCCUCCUCGCUGACACGGUGACGUACCACCUCCGCGGUGUCCGGAAGCCUUGGCACCCUCACUGGCCCACGCGACCGCCACCAAACAUGGAUCAGGUCAACGACGGGCUGGGUCCUCACCAACCUACGCCCCCCGGAAGGUAGCACCUCCCAAUACCAGUCGGGCGGAGCCCAGUACCGGACAGGGCCCCUCUGAUCAAGCAGGUGUCCUCCGCCGAGUCGACGACGAGGAUGCGGGAUAGGCAUCGUAAAAUGAACUAAAAAAAUAAACUAGUUCCAUUAAUUUUCUUGCUAAAAAUAAACUAUUAACACUUAAGNNNNNNNNNNNNNNNNNNNNNNNNNNNNNNNNNNNNNNNNNNNNNNNNNNNNNNNNNNNNNNNNNNNNNNNNNNNNNNNNNNNNNNNNNNNNNNNNNNNNNNNNNNNNNNNNNNNNNNNNNNNNNNNNNNNNNNNNNNNNNNNNNNNNNNNNNNNNNNNNNNNNNNNNNNNNNNNNNNNNNNNNNNNNNNNNNNNNNNNNNNNNNNNNNNNNNNNNNNNNNNNNNNNNNNNNNNNNNNNNNNNNNNNNNNNNNNNNNNNNNNNNNNNNNNNNNNNNNNNNNNNNNNNNNNNNNNNNNNNNNNNNNNNNNNNNNNNNNNNNNNNNNNNNNNNNNNNNNNNNNNNNACUUAAGCAUAUACAAUAGCAAAAUUAAGCAAUAAUCUAAGAAACACUAUUAACACCUAAGCAUAUACACUAUACAAUAGCAAAAUUAAAUGACAAAAAAAUAUAUUUCUUCUUCUUGUAACCCUAAACUAAUUUUUCCUCUUCUUCUAUUUCUCCUCUUCUUCUACUUCUACUUCUCCUCUUCUUGAGUACUUCUCCUCUUCUCUUCUUCUACUUCUCCUCUCCUCCUCUGCUAAUUUUUUCUCUUCUUCUACUUCUCCUCUUCUUCUAUUUUUCCUCUUAUUCUCCUCUCCUCCUCUUCUUAUUCUCCUUUUUCUUCUUUUCUUCUCCUCCUCUUCUUAUUUUCAUUUUUCCUAAUCUUAUUUUCUUAUUUUUGUUCAUAUUUCUUCUUCUUGUAACCCUAACCUAAUUCUAAAUAUUACUAACCCUAAUAAUCUAGCACAAACCUAAUAACAAUAGGAAUUAAAUGACAAAAAAAAUCUUUUUCUUCUUUUCUUCNUUUCUUCUCCUUUUUCUUCCUUUCUUCUCCUUUUUCUUAUUCUCUUCUCCUUUUUCUUCUUUUCUUCUACUGGCCGGAGUGUUGGGGAGGAGGGGCAGGGGGCUUACCGGCCGAAGGUGUCGACGGCGCGCGGCGAGGAGGACGGAGCGGCGCGUGGCGAGGAGGACGGCGGCGCCCGGCGAGGAGGACGGCGGCGCGCGGCGAGGAGGGCGGCGCACGGCGAGGAGGACGGGGCGGCGAGCAGGACGACGGCGACGGCGAGGAGGACGGCAGGCGGCGGCGAGCAGGACAUCGGGCAGCCUGACAGCGUCGUCGAGUUCGUCGUUGUGCCGCGCCGGGCAGGAGAACGAGAGGAAGAAGAAGAGAAAUGGACGAUUUGGGUUGGAAUUUUUCGAAGUCCCGCUUAUAUAGGUGGAUCUUUAGUCCCGGUGCAUGGCUUGAUCCGGGACUAAAGNNNNNNNNNNNNNNNNNNNNNNNNNNNNNNNNNNNNNNNNNNNNNNNNNNNNNNNNNNNNNNNNNNNNNNNNNNNNNNNNNNNNNNNNNNNNNNNNNNNNNNNNNNNNNNNNNNNNNNNNNNNNNNNNNNNNNNNNNNNNNNNNNNNNNNNNNNNNNNNNNNNNNNNNNNNNNNNNNNNNNNNNNNNNNNNNNNNNNNNNNNNNNNNNNNNNNNNNNNNNNNNNNNNNNNNNNNNNNNNNNNNNNNNNNNNNNNNNNNNNNNNNNNNNNNNNNNNNNNNNNNNNNNNNNNNNNNNNNNNNNNNNNNNNNNNNNNNNNNNNNNNNNNNNNNNNNNNNNNNNNNNNNNNNNNNNNNNNNNNNNNNNNNNNCCGGGACUAAAGGGGGUCUGUAGUCCCGGGGCGUGGCUCCACCCGGGACUAAAUGAUGGGGAACGUCGCAUGGGAAACAAAAAAUUUCCUACGCGCACGAAGACCUAUCAUGGUGAUAUCCAUCUACGAGAGGGGAUUUCCGAUCUACGUACCCUUGUAGAUCGCACAGCGGAAGCGUUAAGAAACGCGGUUGAUGUAGUGGAACGUCCUCACGUCCCUCGAUCCGCCCCGCGAACCAUCCCACGAUCAGUCCCACGAUCUAGUGCUGAACGGACAGCACCUCCGCGUUCAACACACGUACAGCUCGACGAUGAUCUCGGCCUUCUUGAUCCAGCAAGAGAGACGGAGAGGUAGAAGAGUUCUCCGGCAGCGUGACGGUGCUCCGGAGGUUGGUGAUGAUCUAAUCUCGACAGGGCUCCGCCCGAGCUCCGCAGAAACGCGAUCUAGAGGAAAAACCGUGGAGGUAUGUGGUCGGGCUGCCGUGGCAAAAGUUGUCUCAAAUCAGCCCUAAUACCUCAGUAUAUAUAGGAGGGAGGGGGAGGGAAGAGGCAGCCUCAAACCCUCAAGGUUUGGCCGAAAUUGGAGGUGGAGGAGUCCUACUCCAAUCCUAGUUGGAGUAGGAUUCCACCUUCCCACUUGGAAACUCUUUCCACCUUGUGUUUACCUUAUGGGCCUUAGUGGGAACUUAUUCCAGCCCACUAGGGGCUGGUUAUCUCUUCCCAUAGCCCAUGAGACCCCUUGGGGCGUGACACCCCUCCCGAUGGUCCACGUCACCCCUCCCGGCACUCCCGGUACACUACCGAUGAGCCCGAAACUUUUCCGGUGACCAAAACAGGACUUCCUAUAUAUCAAUCUUUACCUCCGGACCAUUCCGGAGCUCCUCGUGACGUCCUGGAUCUCAUUCGGGACUCCGAACAACAUUCGGUAACCAACCAUAUAACUCAAAUACGCAUAAAACAACGUCGAACCUUAAGUGUGCAGACCCUGCGGGUUCGAGAACUAUGUAGACAUGACCCUAGUGACUCCUCGGUCAAUAUCCAAUAGCGGGACCUGGAUGCCCAUAUUGGAUCCUACAUAUUAUACGAAGAUCUUAUCGUUUGAACCUCAGUGCCAAGGAUUCAUAUAAUCACGUAUGUCAUUCCCUUUGUCCUUCGGUAUGUUACUUGCCCGAGAUUCGAUCGUCAGUAUCCGCAUACCUAUUUCAAUCUCGUUUACCGGCAAGUCUCUUUACUCGUUCCGUAAUACAAGAUCCCGCAACUUACACUAAGUCACAUUGCUUGCAAGGCUUGUGUGUGAUGUUGUAUUACCGAGUGGGCCCCGAGAUACCUCUUCGUCACACGGAGUGACAAAUCCCAGUCUCGAUCCAUACUAACUCAACUAACACCUUCGGAGAUACCUGUAGAGCAUCUUUAUAGUCACCCAGUUACAUUGCGACGUUUGAUACACACAAAGCAUUUCUCCGGUGUCAGUGAGUUAUAUGAUCUCAUGGUCAUAGGAACAAAUACUUGACACGCAGAAAACAGUAGCAACAAAAUGACACGAUCAACAUGGUACGUCUAUUAGUUUGGGUCUAGUCCAUCACAUGAUUCUCCUAAUGAUGUGAUCCCGUUAUCAAGUAACAACACUUGCCUAUGGCCAGGAAACCUUGGCCAUCUUUGAUCAACGAGCUAGUCAACUAGAGGCUUACUAGGGACAGUGUUUUGUCUAUGUAUCCACACAAGUAUUGUGUUUCCAAUCAAUACAAUUAUAGCAUGGAUAAUAAACGAUUAUCAUGAACAAAGAAAUAUAAUAAUAACUAAUUUAUUAUUGCCUCUAGGGCAUAUUUCCAACACUAAAGCCCCUCCUCGGUUGUACGAUAAGUUUAGUCCCACCUCGCCCAGCGAGGGGGACUGACACUUGUUUAUAAGCCCCGUCGCAGCUUCUCCAUCGAGCUCCUCUCUAAAGCAGGCUUACGGGCCUAAACUCACUGAAAAUUGAAACUAUAUUAGAAAUUAUAGAGAAAAUGCAAUCUAAAUUCAUAUGAGAAUUUAGAUUAAAUUUUCUCUAUGAUUUCGAAUAUAGUUUCAAUUUUUUUCUUUUUUCAUAAUUAAUAAUUUNNNNNNNNNNNNNNNNNNNNNNNNNNNNNNNNNNNNNNNNNNNNNNNNNNNNNNNNNNNNNNNNNNNNNNNNNNNNNNNNNNNNNNNNNNNNNNNNNNNNNNNNNNNNNNNNNNNNNNNNNNNNNNNNNNNNNNNNNNNNNNNNNNNNNNNNNNNNNNNNNNNNNNNNNNNNNNNNNNNNNNNNNNNNNNNNNNNNNNNNNNNNNNNNNNNNNNNNNNNNNNNNNNNNNNNNNNNNNNNNNNNNNNNNNNNNNNNNNNNNNNNNNNNNNNNNNNNNNNNNNNNNNNNNNNNNNNNNNNNNNNNNNNNNNNNNNNNNNNNNNNNNNNNNNNNNNNNNNNNNNNNNNNNNNNNNNNNNNNNNNNNNNNNNNNNNNNNNNNNNNNNNNNNNNNNNNNNNNNNNNNNNNNNNNNNNNNNNNNNNNNNNNNNNNNNNNNNNNNNNNNNNNNNNNNNNNNNNNNNNNNNNNNNNNNNNNNNNNNNNNNNNNNNNNNNNNNNNNNNNNNNNNNNNNNNNNNNNNNNNNNNNNNNNNNNNNNNNNNNNNNNNUGCUAUCAUCAUUUCACCAACAUAGCAUGUGUUAAAAAGUUGAGAGUGCUACGACAAAAACUGGAUGCGGUUCGUGUACAAAACGGACAAUCUCUCUCGAAGUAGCAGCGUUUCAAACGAGAACUCAUCUCUUACAAAGGAAUUUCAUUUUUUUGAACUUAUUUGAACUCCAUACUUUUUGUGUGUUCAAAAUGCACCAUUCUAAGGCACAUCACAAAAUUUCAACAAUUUCUGACUUCAUUUGGUAUUCUUCGUGCAUUUACUUUUUUUUUUUUGAGCUAGUUGACCCUGAAAUUGAAAAGCACUACAAAUGAACUGUGAAAAUGUUGAAAGUUGGCAUACUAUCAUAAUUUCACCCACAUAACAUGUGUUAAAAAGUUUAGAGGGCUACGACAAAAACUGGAUGCAGUUCGUGUACAAAACGGACAAUCUCUCCCGAAGUAGCAGCGUUUCAAACGAGAACUCAUCUCUUACAAAGGGAUUUCAUUUUUUUGAACUUAUUUGAACUCCAUACUCUUUGUGUGUUCAAAAUGCACCAUUAUAACGCACAUCACAAAAUUUCAACGAUUUCUGACUUCAUUUGGUAUUCUUCGUGCAUUUACUUAUUUUUUUUGAGCUAGAUGACCCUGAAAUUGAAAAGCACUACAAAUGAACUCUGAAAAUGUUGAAAGUUGGCAUGCUAUCAUCAUUUUACCCACAUAGCAUGUGUUAAAAAGUUGAUAGGGCUACGACAAAAACUGGAUGCAGUUCGUGUACAAAACGGACAAUCUCUCUCGAAGUAGCACGGUUUCGAACGAGAACUCAUCCCUUACAAAGGGAUUUCAUUUUUUUGAACUUAUUUGAACUCCAUACUUUUUGUGUGUUAAAAAUGCACCAUUCAAAGGCACAUCACAAAAUGGACAAUCUCUCUCGAAGUAGAAGCGACCCCCACAAUAAGAGACGACAUUCUUCUUCUCUCAUAUAUGGUGGACACUAGCUCACCUGAUUUUUCAACCGUCGAUGAUGGUCGCUACUCCUACUUCCCCUAGUGCAUAACCAAUAUCUAGCACAAGGAGAAGAAGGAGAAGCGACCCCCACAACAAAAGUGGUUCCGCGGCACGCCACGUGGUUCCGCUGCACGCCACGUGGUUCCGCUGCACGCCACGUGGGACUAAUGGUCUUUUAUUUUUAAAUGACUGUUUUAAUCAAAAACAGAUCUGUUACAAAAGGUAUUUCAUUUUUUGAACUUAUUUGAACUGAAGACUUUUUGUAUAUAUAUGUGGUCGAAAUGCAUGAUACCAUGAAGUUAGAAAGGGCUAAACCAUUCAAAAGUAGCAAAUGAAGUUAGAAAGGCCUAAACCAUUCAAAUUUGGAAACUAUAAUGGCACAAACAGAAACUAGACAUAUAUAAAUUGGUCCAAGAAGUACAUGAUACUAGUCCAAACAGUACAUAAUAAUAGCUACCAUAGAUAUAUAUACAAGUGUUCGACGUUCAGAACACUACUCGUCUGAAUCAUCUAAAUCAGAAUGUCCACCUUCCUUGAGGUGACGCUAGCCAUAGUGGACGACUCGAAUCUUGCGGUACAACUCGUAUGAACGUAUGCAUCUUUUUCUGCACACUCAAUGUUGAUAUCAUCAAGUGAGCCCUUCUCCCAAAGUUUGUGCUGAUACUUUGGGAAACUGGUCUUCAUAUCACUAUAUCCCUCGUCGAUCAAGGCAACUGCCAUAUGAGUCAUCGAAGUCCUGUCAUGUCGAAGCCUGAAUACCGUUUGGAGAUCAACAAGGCAACCAGCAGGUAUCUCAAUACCGAAGCCGUGCCUCAUCUUCAGCUUGUCGUUCCUUAUGUCAACGGAAGAAAAAGUGAUGUCGCUGCGAAGGAAGUCCAUGAGUUCUGGACAAUGCUUGUCACUCCUGCAACAGAAACAAAUUAAAAUGGAACAAAUGUUACAUACUGCUGCAAUAAGGAAACAUGUUUCACUACAACUAAAGAGAAACUUAUCUUUAGGAUUCAAAUAGAACAUAUGCAAUGGAACCUAGAGAGAUCACUAUAGCUAUCCAAUGGAACCUAGAGAGAUCACUAGCUAUAUGCAAUUUUCAUGACUGUGACAUAUCAUAUUGCUAUCCAAUGGAACCUAGAGAGAUCACUAGCUAUAUUCAAUUUUCAUAACCUUGGAUCAAAGAACACCGCAUAAAAUUGUAUCACUACAACUAUGAUUUCAAUGAAACAUAUUGAACCAAUCAGAUUUUUCAGAUUAUGGAACACUAUUCCAAUCAGAUUGUGUUUCCUUCAACUAAUCAAAAUUGUUUCACUACAACUAUUUGAAGCGAACCAACUAUGAUUCCAAUGGAACAUAUAAAACACUAGUUGAUUCUAAUACGAUUUUUCAGAUUAUGGAACACUAUUUCAAUCAGAUUGUGUUCCCCUUCAACUAAUCAAAAUUGUUUCACUACAACUAUUUGAAGGGAACCAACUAUGAUUCCAAUGAAACAUAUUAAACACUAGUUGAUUCUAAUACGAUUUUUCAGAUUAUGGAACACUAUUCCAAUUAGAUUGUGUUCCCCUUCAACUAAUCAAAAUUGUUUCACUACAACUAUUUGAAGGGAACCAACUAUGAUUCCAAUGGAACAUAUUAAACACUAGUUGAUUCUAAUACGAUUUUUCAGAUUAUGGAACACUAUUCCAUUUAGAUUGUGUUCCCCUUCAACUAAUCAAAAUUGUUUCACUACAACUAUUUGAAGGGAACCAACUAUGAUUGAAACAAAUAAACUUACAAUGUCAUUAUCUUGGAUCAAAGAAAGCCUCAAAACUUACCUCGCCCAUUGGAAGAUCAAGACAUGGCGUGCGAAGCAUAGUUGGAUGACGGCAACACCGCGUUGAUCGGCCGUGUACUCCAGAUCAAGCCCCAAGAACUUCUCAUGAUCCACUGCGUUGUCAAACCAUUUUUCCUUCAACUGUUGAAGAAAAAACGGCACCUCCCUGUUCAGGUUCGUGUACACGACAUCAAGCUUGAUCGUGCCAUGUGCGAGCACCUCAUGAAAGAUAGUUGGCAUGGUGGAAGAAGAGAAGGGAAGAAGAGAGGAGAAGAACAGAGAGGGAGAGCGAGAGAGAAGAAGAAACAGAGAAAUGGCGACUGUACGCUUCGGUUCGUGCUUUUCAUCGUCCGAAAACGCGGGAUGCAAACCGUUUGGGUCUUUAGUCCCGGGUUGAGCCACCAACCGGGACUAAAGAGGUAUACCAACGAUCGCCGCCACUACGGCAGGCCACGUGUUAGUCCUUUAGUCCCGGGUUGAGCCACCAACCGGGACUAAAGGGGGAUACGAACGGUUGCCACCACCACUGCCCGCCGCGUAGCCCUUUAGUCCCGGUUUGGGACACGAACCGGGACUAAAAACUCCUUACGGGCCGGGACUAAAGCCUCGAGGGAGGCAUUGAGAAUUGGGGCGACGUGGCCGGGCCUUUAGUCCCCGCCCAGAGGCAGGCCGGGACUAAAUGGUCCCGGCCAAAGGCCCGUUUUCCACUAGUGGUAGUAUUUCCAUAUCUCUUUGGUUAAAGUAGUCGAUAUUAUUCUUAAAUUUGUGCAAGAAUUUCCCCAUUCAAUAGAUGUCCCCCCACUCAUAACAUAUUGGGUCCGCACUUGAUUGAGAGUAUGAGACCCUUGAAAAUUUAAUAUUUAAUAUCCUCGGCGUCGAAAAAAAAAAGAAAAUUUAAUAUCCUCACCUACCCCAUGAUCCCGCUAGGCAUAGUGAAAAUGUCUCAAGAGUACAUUAGGCAUACUGUUGUCCGCACACAAAGAUUGUUUUUUCAAUAGACAAAAUACACUUUGGGGAUCGUUCAAUGAACCAUGAUACAUUAGUAGAAAAUGGAUCUUUUGAUCGGAGCAGAAAAGAUCAUUAGUCCCGGUUUAAAUUAAAACCGAGAUCAAUGCCAAUGCUGGGCAUUGGUCCCGGUUCGAGUUGUGAGGGCAAUAGUCCCGGUUCGUUUCGUUUCAUUAGUCCCGGUUCGGGGAAAAAAGGGGACUAAAGAUCCAGCGACUGCCACAUGGCGUGCCGCGGAGCAUUAGUCCCGGUUUGUGUCCAGAACGGGACUAAUAGUUAGUCUUCUGUCCCGGUUAUGGCCACAAACCGAGACCAAAGAGAUGCCUAUAUAUACGCCCCUUUCCACCCUCUCUUCAGUUUUUUGUUUGUGUGAGGUGUGCUUGCCAUGCUCUUGCCACUCUUCUAUAUAUGCAUGCACAGAAGGUGUUCGAUGAAAUGCCCGAGCCACACUACUUAAGCUUUCUCCUCUCUAAGCUCGACCUCCAAGCUCUAUUUUUCUCAAUAUUUGUCUAGAUUUGACGGUGCAUCAACUACACAAGUGUUCUAAAAGGUUAGCUACUUCAUCCUUUCAUCACUCACUGUUAUUUUGAUUUAGAUGUAAAAUUUGAGCUCAAAUUAACUUCUUAGAGUCUGCAUAUGUGUAGGGUGUCGUCCCGUGCCCGUCCUCACCGUUGUCGAUCGCCCGCGCCGAUCUCGUCGCGAGCACCACCGUGGUGAGCCUCUCGUUCUUAUCUUGUUUUUAAAAGAAAAAAUUCUUACUUGUAUGAUUUAGAUAGAUACUUAUAUAAAUUACUUACUUUCAUUAUUUUUUGAUAUUAUAUAGUGCGAUGGUUUUGGUAUCCGCCUCCGUCGGCCCUCGUCCUGUCUAUGAUUCGGAUGUGGUAUAUAUUAUCUUUUAUAACUAUUUGUUUUAUUUCGUGUUUAUGACAAUUAUGACGACCAACGUGACAUAUAUUUUUUAAUCUAGGAGGUAUGUGAACCGGAAAUUUCAACCCACAUAGAAAUUCUUGUCGAGAAGUUAAAUUUGGUUGAAAAAGAAAACAAUUACUUGAAGAAAAAAUUGAAAAUAAUUGAGGAGAAGAAUAUAGAACUGGAGUUGCAUGUUGCCGAUGUCGUCGAUGAUCGCAAGAUGAAGAUGGAUGCAAUGCGGUUGAAGACGGAUGCAAUGCGCUUGAAGAUGGAUGAAAUGCGCUUGAAGAUUGAGAAUAUUAGAAAAUAUGCCAGAGGUUUGGUAUCGUUAUGUUGUUGGGUCAAUUGUUACCUUAGUUGCGACUUUGAUCCCAUUUAAAUGUUUUACAUAGUUAUAUGUUGUUUUAUGACAAAACUUUACGUAAUUAUUUUUGCAAUAAUAACAUUCGAUCACUGUUGUGGUUUGGUUUUAAUGUGAUGAUGAACUUGUAUUAAUUUGGUCAUUUCUCUAUUCAUGAUGUUCUACAGUGGUUUUUUGUUAUACUUAAUUUCAUUAUACAGAUGAACCGUCAAUGGAUGUACGGUGACUGACGCACUUCAGAGUACAUUACGAACUAGGACUAAUGCCCGAGUCACACUUAAGUUCACACAAAAUGGUAUCCUCGACCGAGGUUAGCAACCUUAUCCUUUUCAUCUGUAAUUGAUACAAAAAAUAUUGCAUGUGUCCAUGUACGGUGGUCAUUUCACUAUCCAUGUAUGAUGCAGAUCGAUGCACGGAAGCGAUGAAUGUACGACGAACGACGUGGUUCCGUAUUUAUUGCAGGCCUGCAUAAAUUUAUUGAUGUCGCUGAGGCAAACAAAGUGGAUAAUUUUAUGCCUUGUCCAUGUGUUGACUGUCGAAACGUGAAGGAGUACUCUAGCUCGAAAACCAUUCAAGACCACGUGCUUCGGAGAGGUUUCAUGCCCACAUAUUAUUGUUGGACCAUGCACGAAAAAAGAGGGGUUAUGAUGGAAGACAAUGAAGAAGAAGAUGAUGAUGACAACUAUCCUAUGUUCACUGAAGAAUACGGUGAUACUGCAAUGGAAGACAAUGAAGAAGAAGGAGGUGAAGAACAACUGGCAUCAGAUGAGUCCGCUGAUGGUCUUGAUCGGGUCAUUUCUGAUGCAACGACAAAAUGCGAUACAGACAAGGAAAAGUUGAAGUUGGAGGCAUGCUAAAAAAUCAUAAAAAUUUGUUGUAUCCAAAUUACGAAGAUGGCAGCACAAAGCUCGGUACCACACUGGAACUGUUGAAAUGAAAGACAGAAACUGGUUUAUUUGACAAGGGAUUUAAGAAGGUACUGAAAAUCUUGUCGACACGGUCAACAGGCAUCAGAUAGCACAGAUUGUACGAUGACACUAAGUGCUAUCGGCGAUCCGAAGGGCGUCGCACGCGCAGUUGAGACCAGUAUAGUGUUCUAGUUUCAAUACAACCCCACAAUAAGUUGGUGAGUUUCUAGAUGCUCCGAUACAGCUUGCGUAUACAUACGCAGGGGGAGCGUACGCACAGGUCGCAGUCACACUACAGGAUAAUGUGGAAACAAGACAAGAGUUUCCCGUGCAGAUACGGGGUGAAAUCGCCAAGAAAAUCAAGUGCUGGUACUAUCUCUGUCCAAGUAUAUAAAGCAUGCACGUAGUUUUAAGUUGUCAAUUUAAUUAGCUAAAUAUAUAUUACAUACAAUAAAAAUUACAUAUUUAGAAAUUACACCCCAUAUAAAUCUAAUGACAUAUUAUUUAUUACAUAUAAUACAUAAUUAAGUAGUUAAAUUAAUGACAUAGAACUACGCGCAUGUCCUAUACAUCCGGACGGAGGGAGUACAUACAUGCACCUGGCUAGCAGGGCCGGCCGUGGUGUAUGGGGGAGGGGCGACGGCCUAGGGCCCAGCCCGGGAGGGGGGGCCUGUAAGAUAACUAGUAUAUAAUACAGCCCAACAAAAAAUAGGUAAGAAACAAAUUAUACAAGAGAGAAGAGAAGAGGUGGGCUAGGCCCAUAGCUAGGUAGCGAUCGCGAUGCGUCACCCCAGUCAGCCGGCCGCUCGUUCCACUUCUCUGAAUCUGAAAUAAAUCAAUUGAAGAUCUAGUCGGUUUGUUUUCGUGACUUCAUCUUCUUCUCGGUCGUUCAGCACCUCGGUCGCGGCUGGUUGUCGCCGCUGCAUGCGCCGGCAAUACAAUACGUAUCACAGUACGUAUCCAUCCAUCUACAUGUUCCUGUUCCAUUCCCCGAUUCCAUUCAAAGCCUAAUUUCAGUAGUUUCUUUGAUUCUUUAGUACGUAUUCAACCAUUCAUUUAUGAUCCAUCCAUCCUAAAUUAUGGUCGUGUUGUGUAGAUGUCUAGGGUUUCAAUCAUCCGGUGUAUAAAUUUUUAAUUAUUUGUAUUCUUUUUUCUUCAUAAUUUUCGGAUAUUAGCCUGUCAUGUUGUCUAAGAAGAAGCAUUUGUUGGGUGCUGAUAAAAGAAGAAAAAAUGAUCUGAAACAUUCAGGCCAUGUCAUCGAGUUCGCCUAGGGCCUCCCGAAACAUAGGGCCAGACCUGCUAGCUAGCUACAUGUCGAUGCGCACGCAAGGACUCUACUUCCUUCCACCAUGACCAUUUCCCCAAGAAAAUCAAGCCCAUGCACUCUACCUAGCUAGAUGGAUGUCCAUGCACGCGCACGCAAGGACUCCGCUUCCACAUCUAAGACGACGCACAAGACAGUUGCGGCGAUUUGAUUCCUGUGGACAGGCAGAGAACGGUACACAUGGAUGGAUUGCGGUCUUGCGGAGCACACACGCUCGCCACCUGCGGCAGGGAAAGGCUAGCUGUGGAAAAUUAAACGUCGCUGUUGGCAGAUCACCGCGGUGAUCUUUUCCACGCACGCGCCGGCGCAUGCAUGCCGGUGAAACUUCCCGCACGCUAAUUAACGAUCGCCGGUAGAUCGCGUCCACACGGGCGCUGCAUGCGGAGACUCGUUGACUAGCUUGGUUGGAAUUUCUACGUGUGGUUUUUUUUUCUUCCUCUACUCUACGUGUUCUUCUUCAUGUGCCGCUGUACGAACGAGUAAGUAUAGUUUCGUGCAGUGCAAGCCAGGCCAUGCAGACUAGUAGUAUUCCAGCAGGGCCGUCCGCUUCAUCUUGAGCGGUUCAUGGACCGCACGUAGGAUUCCCGUACGUGUGUCCAGCACUCCAGCUAGCUUAGAUAGCUAGUCCUGCUUGACGUGGACUCCAACCGUCGUUGUCGUGAGAGCAUCUGAGGGAAACAACACUCGCUUGCCCGCUGUGUCCAAGGGAUCGAUCAACCGCGAUCUAGUAUUCCGGUCGCCGGACGAGUGGAAGCGGAAUCGUGUGCGCUGACUCCGACGACCGGUUCGCAUCUAGAAGAGGGACACGCCACGGAGUACGGCUGCGCCAUGCGACGCUCAGUCAAACGUCACAUGCAACGACCAGCCCGUAAGAUGAGCGCAACCACGUCCACGUCCACGUCCACGUCGCGCGACGACGGCCGCCCUAUAAAUGCCGCCUUCGCGGCACUUGCACCGGUGGCGCCGCCCGCCUUUUCCACCCCGGUCCCUCCUCUCUCCUACCUCCGGAUCCGCCGCCUCCACCAUCUUUUCCCUCCGGAACCGCCUCGUAGCUAGAGCUUACCCCAGUCGACGUCACCACCGGCCGGAACGGAAGGACCUCGCCGGUGUCUUCGCCGCAGGUGAGCCGGAGUUCUCCUCCCUUUCUCCCGUCAACUGUUUCCCACCCUUGCUUGUACGGCUACGCUUGCUUAACCGGCCGUGUUGCUUCCGCCCGUGCUUGCAGAGCAAGCCGAUCCGAUCCACGCCAAGUCGCUGUCUUUGCCCACUUGGUGACAGAGAAUUUUCCGCCGCACGCAGCCUGAUUCAUGUGAACAAAGAGCUGCACCGAAUCGAAUCCAAUCCGGUUGAAGACUUUCUCGCCGGCCGACCGACGGACGGGCAUGGAGAUGGAGGGGGGCUCGCAGGGCGCCUCGCCGGCGCCGUUCCUGAUCAAGACCUACGAGAUGGUGGAGGACCCGGCGACCAGCCGCGUGGUGUCGUGGGGCCCCGGCGGCGCCAGCUUCGUGGUGUGGAACCCGCCCGACUUCUCCCGGGACCUGCUGCCCAAGUACUUCAAGCACAACAACUUCUCCAGCUUCAUCAGGCAGCUCAACACCUACGUGAGUUCCAUUUUCAUCCACAGCUUUCAUUUCCAAAAUCCAGUUCUAGCAUGAAGUUUCUUCCUGCUUGGUUCGUUCAUACGCAACUUCUCCACAUGAUAGGCAUCCAUGGUAUCGCUAGAUAAUGUUUUUGUGAUGUCUUGCUGACGGCUGGUUUCAUGUGCCAUCUCGCAGGGUUUUCGGAAGAUCGACCCAGAGCGAUGGGAGUUCGCCAACGACGACUUCAUCAGGGGACACAUGCACCUCCUGAAGAACAUCCACCGGCGCAAGCCGGUGCACAGCCACUCGCUGCAGAACCAGGUGAACGGGCCGCUGGCGGAGUCCGAAAGGCGCGAGUAUGAAGACGAGAUCAGCCGGCUCAAGCACGAGAACAGCCUGCUCGUGGCAGAGCUCCAGAAGCAGGCUCACCAGCAGUGCGGGAUUGGCUGGCUAAUGCAGUCCCUGGAGGACAGGCUGAUGGUGAUGGAGCAGCGGCAGACAGACGUCGUGUCCUCUGUGCGUGACAUCCUGCAGAGGAGACGGGGUGCUCAUCAUCCAGGGCAACAAACCAUGCUGGAACUGGAGCCAACUGACCGUUUCAGCAAGAAGAGGAGGGUCCCCAAGAUCGACCUCUUCGUCGAGGAGCAACGGGUGCCGUAUCCGCGGGCGAUUGGCGACGAAACACCGGGCAUGAUCCAGGUGAACGCCGAGCCCUUUGAGAAGAUGGAGAUGGCCCUGGUUUCCUUGGAGAAGCUCGUCCAGAGGGCUGCUGCCGCUACACCUACACCCAGCACUGAUGAUCCAGCUCUUGGAGAUCUGCAGGCAGCACCAAUGGAGGCUGGGGUAAACCUUGAGCUCUCUCCGCCCAACAUUAGGCAUGUCCAUUCACCUCCAGAGCUAGCAGUAGCAGAGUCUCCAGGCUAUGCUGUGCAGAGUCCAAUGCUACUAUUCCCAGAUAUUCAACAAGACAAGCACAAGACCAUGUCCGAAGCCGAUCUGAGCUCUGAGGCCAGCACCACAGACACUUCACAGGACGAGACGACCGCCGAGACCGGAGUUCCCCGUGAACCGGCCGUGGCGGCGAACGAUCUCUUCUGGGAGCGGUUCCUCGUGGACACGCCCAAGCCGCAGUGCGGCUAUGCCUUCCAGGAAAGCCAUGAAUCAAAGGACGAUGUAAAGAUCGGCAUAGACUGCAACUGGUAUGGUCACCGGGACAAUGUUGAUCAGAUCACUCAGCAAAUGGGACACCUCGCUUCUGCUCAGAAGACCUGAUGGCUGGCCUACCAUUUCCACUGAUGUAUGGUCCGUCUGUAAAUUAUAGUUUAGCAUGUAUUACAUGUCCACAUACUCUAUAGGAAUUUUCGUUCUAGAUGCAUUUGUAUAUAUAGUUCUUCGUCACUGUACAGCUAGUCGCGAUGAUAUAAUUCUGUUGCCCAGAUUUGUUGUGUGUACGCUUCGUUCCUGCUGAAAUUUCUCUCUGACUUGUUGCGGCGGUCUGGUGAGUGAUCCGAGUAGCCUCUAAUUAACAAACUUGUGUUUUUGUUGCAGCCAAAUCAUAAGCUUUGGAAAACAAAAAUCAUGCGUUGAAAAGAACGUAACUCGGCUUUUCCUAAAUGAUGUCACAAGAUUCUAGAAUGCCGCCUUCUCUGACUUGUAACUCAAAAGGACUCGUGUUACCAUUUAGAGCUACAGGUUGCCUUGAUUAAAGUGUUAAAAUCACCAUCUAAAACUCUAACAAACUGUUGAACUCAUCCAGAAGCAAUCUAUGGCUAUAUCCAGAAGCAGGUUGGGGUGAAGAGUUCAUGUCAACAUCACAACUUGAGUUGUAACAAGGGAGGUUAUUCGGAGGCCGGCAUUAUGCCAGUAAAGAACAUUACCAAGCCAAAAACGUCCAAGGACUAAAUAUAGGUCUACAAGCGUCAUAGAACACCAUUGGUGACAGGCGGACGAAGGAAUAGGUUGCCUCUUGCCCGUCACCUCUGGUUUAGUAAAUAAGUCCUGAACCAUCAAAACAAAACCACGUGGUUCUCUAGCGUCUACAUACCCCAGGAGUAGAUUCUACUGGAGGAUUAUGAUAGCUAUGUACACCUUGACUGUAACUUCGCACUCUGCAGGAAGCUGCGGGGCUUUGCAGUUGGGAAGUCACCAUCUUCAGGAUCAAAGGACUCUCAGCUGGGUUAGAAAGGCAGAACACAGGUCCAGAAAGAGGAGCUGUGGUCCACUAACCCUUUGCAAGUCGAGAAGAUACUUAUCAUCCCUUGUUUUGUACAGCUGCAAAGAGCACAAGUGUAUCAGCGUCAGGCACAUCCUCGGAGAAGUAACUUUAUGCAAGCAAAAUAGAAGCAUUAUAUGAACGAAAAUAAGACCCAUUAUGAACAUAGUCAACAUACCCCGUCCUUACCUGAAUAUGAUAACUGUUUUACAUAAUCUUGCAUGCAAAAGCACUUUGCUUACUCAUCACACAAAGAGUAAGGGAACAUGUAAAUGUUGAGGCUUAUGCAUUAGAUUGUUCACGGAACUACAUGGCAAAUGUGCAAAUCAGGACAAGCUCCUAAACUAAGGGCAGAUGGUUAAGAUUAGGAGGGUACCUGAAUUUCAAACUUCACGAUGUGGGUUGAUUUGUCACCGAGGCCAUCAGCUUCAAUUAUAGCAGACUCCACACCGAAUCCAUUGUUGUUAUGCAUCAUAUUCUCAAAAAAGCCAGGACUCCACCUGCACUUCAUGUUAUAGUGCCCAAUCUUCUUCCAGCAAACAUUUAGCUCUUGCAGAGCUUUAAGCACUUCAGUUAUGAUUUCUCGUGGAUGCGCUCGAGACUGUCAAAUAUCAUGAAUUAGAAUAAUUUAAGCAUUUCAAUUUCAGUUAUAGAUGAACUUUAUCCAAAGUUACCUGAAGACCGAGAGCCCAUUUCCUCUCAGCUGCAAAAUGUUGCCUCAAGCCAAACCCGGGAGAACCAUACUGCCUAGCUUCAGAAGCUGAACUUGGUGUUUCAGGUGAAAUUUGGGAGAAAGAUGAGUCCUGCAGAACACAGAAAGCACAGCAGUAAAUCAGUAGCAGUACAAGUACAAGAGCGUUUGAAAUCUACAAGGCACAAGCUAUACUAAUGAGAGACAAACUCCAACAGACCAUUGACUCUUGAUACUCGGCUCCAAGAUAGCCACUGGUUGUACGAAGUUUAUUGUCCAAGAGUAAAUAAUAUGCAACUGUCGCCUGCACAAGUAGAAUUUAGUAAUGGUUCCAUUAAGAACAACCAAAAAGAGCAGAGUAAUGUAAUACCUCAUUUUGCAAUCUCUUUUGAAGAGAUUCAGUUAGCUGAUUCUUGUCAAAUCCCAUUUUGAUGACAUCAUUCAGAGUUUCAUCGUCAAGCUACAAAAUUCACAGUGAAGUCAAAAUUACUCCUGAACAUGCACUAAGAAAGUGUACUAAUGGAGAAAGGGCUGCCAUUUUGUACAUGUAUGAAUACACAAAGAUAAAGAAAAAUACAUAGAUUCGCCGCUAUUAUUUUCUUCAAGAAAAUGCAAAAGACUCUUUGCGUUUCAUUUCAUUGAAAAGAUGGAAAGUACAAUCCUCCUAAGAGGCUGGUUAUACAUGGGUCGUGCGCCCCGGUCAGUGUACAUCCCAGGAUGUGAGAGGACAACCCGCUAUUAUACAAUACCAAAUAAGAUCAACGGUAGCAAAAAUCUCAAAUAUUCAUGUUGAUACACCGUAUCAUCAGCAUACCUUUUUAACUUGUUGAGCAGUGUCUGGAGGAGGCACGGCCAAAUAGCGUGGAAGUCUAGCUUUGAACCAUGAAUGUUCACGAAUUUCACGUAUAGUAAUCCUCUUCAUAGGAUCAACAACCAGCAUUCUUGGGAUCAAAUCUCUUGCUAAAGGAGACAAGUGACUAGGAAGGGUGUAUAUUCCACCCUAUAAUGACAAAACAGAUAACUUAUUCACUGGAUAUCAAGAUGAAAUGGUAUAGCACAUUUUUCAGUAACUGGAGAAGCUAGUUACUAACCUUUAUUUUCUUAAAAAGGUUUGGUAUAUUCUCAUCGUCAAAUGGAAGAGUGCCACAAAGAAGAGCAUAAAGAAUAACUCCACAGCUCCAAACAUCAACUUCAGGGCCAGCGUACAGUUUACCUGAUAUCACCUAAGCAAAUGGAGAAAACAUUGCCGGGUAUCAGAGUUGUGACACAUUAGCACGACAUCAACAUUUAUUAACCCUGUAAAACUGUAGAACAAGUGAUUCUAGAGAUAUACCUCGGGUGCUGCAUAAUUUGGGCUACCACAACUAGUCUUCAGAAAGUGUCCGUCACGCAUAACAUUACUUAAGCCAAAAUCUGCAAUCUUAACAUUACAUUUCGAAUCCAACAGAAGGUUCUCUGGCUUCAGAUCACGGUGAACCACCAUGUUUCUAUGGCAAUAUUCCACACCAGAUAUAAUCUGUAUGAAAGGUGAAACUAAUAAAUAGCCUACCAUAAGCAGUGAAUAAUGUUCAUACAUUACAUAAUGAUAUUAUGAUAGAAGCAGACAAAAACCAAGUAUCUACAGUGAAAAAUACAGUUAACAAACAUGACAGGUACUUUAUAUUAGCUUAUGGCAACAUACUGAAUUUGUUAUGGAGUAUAUAAUAAGUCAAGAAAGGGCUUGACGCAAUCUUUACAAUGAACUCAGGGAAGUGGAAGGAACAUACUUGCUGGAAAAAGCGACGAGCUUCUUCCUCUUGUAAUCUUCCCUUCUCAACAAUAUAGUCAAAUAACUCUCCAGAUUUAACAUACUCCAUAACAACAUAAAUAUCCGCUGGGGUAUCUAUGACCUCAUAAAGCCGUAUGAUAUGAGGAUGCAUAAAUAAUCUCAGUAUCUUGAUUUCUCUUUUCACUGUAAAUUAGCAAACAAAAAAAAACUGAGAUUUGAGCAAAGUGCAAAACAACAAAAGUUGCAAGAGUACGAGUAUAUAUCAAUAAACUAAGGCCCUGUUUGGAACCACCCAGAUUAUAUAAUCCAGUUUUUAUAAUCUAUUCUGUCUCCAAACAGGACAGAUUAUGGUGUAGAUUAUAAAAACUAGAUGGACAGAUUAUUAAAAACUCAUAAUCUACUCUACACCAGCUAAAAUCAGAUUAUGGAUCGCUAAUGACCCAUUACCCUUGUAAAGUUGAAGAUAAUUACAUUCCUACCACCGCCACCCUCCUCUUUAAAAAAAAACAGAGGGCGGACAGGUCAUUAUGCAAUGUAAAACCUGGAUUAUAGUUUAUAUAAUCUGGCCUCCAAACAUGCCCACGUAGAUUAUUUUUAUAAAUGAGAUUAUAUAAUCUAUCUUCAUAAUCCAGAUUAUCAUAAUCUAUUAUGGUUCUAAACAGGGCCUAAGUAACAAACAGUUUAUUUAAACGUUAGAAAAAACUAUGGACGGCGAAUUGUGAAAUUUGUACUAGACUAGGCCCAUCAACCAACAGAAAUUUGCAAGAUGAUUACCAAAGGUAGGCUUAUAACACAAAUAAGCAUAAACAAGUUUGAGAAUCUGUACUUUCUACCUUACACUAGAAACAUACAAAUCAAACAGUGUAAUUGAACAACUCUCUAGUUUUAACAUACUCCAUAUACCAUAAAUAUCCGCUGGGGUAUAUAUAGCCUCAUAAAGCCGUAUGAUACCUAGAUACAUAAAUCAUCUUAAUAUAUUCAUUUAUCCUUUCGAUGUAAAUUAGCCAACAAAAACUGAGAUUUGACAAAGUAAAGAACAGCAAAAGUGAGAAGAGCACGAGUAAAUGUUGAUCAGCAACGUCAGAAACAGUAACCUCUAUAACAUAACAAAUCCAAUAAACUAUGGGUGGGGAACUGUGAUACUUAUAUUAGAUAGGCACAUCUCGAAAAUUUGCAAGUUGAUUUCUAAAGAAUUACAGGCUUAAAACAGAAAUAAGGAUGGACAGUUUUGACACUUCCUAUUUUCUACUACCUUACAGCAGAAACACGCAAAUGUCCCUCCGAUGUGCUUUUCUCAAUGGGCGGAAAUCUACGCACACUCUACGGACUUCAGAAAACACAAACAAGCUUUCGGAACAGAGUGAGCGAUGACCGACCUUUCUCUUCCAUCUCCAUGCUCUUGAUCUUGCGGCGAUUGAGGAUCUUGAUUGCGACCUUGUGUCCCGUAAUUAUAUGCUCGGCGAUCUUGACCUUGCCAAAGGACCCGAUGCCGAGGGUUUUGCCGAUCCGGUAGCCGGCCAAGGGGUUGGCAUCCCUGCCUGCUGCGUCCAUCGUCGACCUAAAUCACAGCCAAACAAUUAGGGGGCCAAUCAUAAGGAACUAAAGCCGUCAUCGCCGCUUGCCCAGUUUGGCGGAGGAGAACCGCGGUCGGAUCUAGACCGGACUACACUCUGCGGCAGAGACAUGAACUAUGCACACGUUAAUUCCGCGCGGAAGCGCGAAGUGGAAGGAGGCCCGGGUCGCUUAGCCCGCCGAUCCCACGCAACGCAAGUACGCAACAUUUCUCAUCCGGAAAAACUAAUCCGGCGCGAUCGGAUUAGCGAGAUUGCGGCGCGGCCACAUGGCCAUGCACGCAAGAGGGGGGCGCGGGCUCCCGGAUCUGGGGCGCGGCGGCAUGAGCGGGGCCCCUUGGAUCGGCGAGCGGCGCAGCGGGCGCGGGGCGGAGCGGAGCUUGGCUGGUCCAGCUAACCCCAGACGGGCGGCUGGGUUCGACGGCGGCAUAGGGGACGGCGGAAGAAGGGAUGGAGAGGGGAGGCGGUGAGGGCUGACCUGACGGGGGCGGGNGAAUCGGGGGACGGCAGAAUAGAUGCGGCUGUCACGGGGAAGGGGAGGGGGGGAGGGGGGCAGGUGGGGGCUGGGUUGGGGGAUCCACGUCGGAUGCGGGGCCCGCGCUCCAGCGGCUCGUGGCGCGCGGAGAUUCGCGCGCGAUGGGCUCGCUGAAGCUGCCCCGCCGGAGCGUGGUUGGCUACUUGGGUGUGGCAACAGCUCGCGUUCACCUCGUGCGUGCGUGUGUGUGCGUGUGACGCGUACUCCGCGAGGACGAAGGCGGCGAAUCCGUUGGAGGAUUUUUCGCCUGUCGCGUCGCCGUUGCACCGGUAAGUUGGGUCGACGCUGUUUUUUGUUUUUUAUAUAAUUUUUUAUUGGAAUAUCCUCCUCGCGUGAGCUGUAAUGAGACCAUUCGAGGCCUUUUAGACAGCCCAAAAAAGAUGAAGAAGUUCACUAUACAUUAGGGUUAUGAUCUAUGGUCAUUUUGAUCUUUACGCAUAAAUGGAUGGGAUGCUUUAUCCUUUAUCCAGCAGUCAUCACCUAGAGUGAUGAAAAUCAGUUCAGUCUUCAUCAAAGAAGAAGAGAAAAAUAUCAAGUGAGAAAGGAAAGAAGAGAAAGGUUAAAGAAAAAAAAAGCAAAGGGAGCUCCUCCUCAAGGUUAUGAUGAUGUAGAUCCACUAACUUGUCUCCUUCAACCUAUGGUUCCAUCAUCUUUGAUGAGAUUGUUUCAAUCCCUAGCUCUUGAGCCCUAAAUCUUGAUGUGUUCAUCCAAGAUUCAGAAGUCUUAAUGUAUGGGAUUCUGUGGUGCUAUCUAGAGAAGAAACUUAUUGUAUCCCAUAUUUGAUAAUUGUGGAAGAGGAUUUGGGUGGCUUCGACUCGUAUUUUUUUCUUUCACGUUGAGGGGUUUUCCACGUAAAAAUAUGGUGUCUUUUUUGUUGAUGAUUGUUAUUGUCUAGAAAGUUACUCCUCCAGCAAGACACUUGUCUAACGAACGUAUUGUUUGUUGAAUAAUAUUUUUUCUUCUAUAUAUGUUGCUGCAUAUGUUUCUUUCCGUGCUAAGCAACGAUCCUUGAGUUGGUACAUAAUGUGGCGCUGAGGUUACUUUAUUUUCGUUUUAAUUUUCAAUUAAUCACAAAUGCAUUUGUGUGCUAAUUUUCAAAAAAAAACAUAAUACUGCCAAUACAGAUGCAUGCGCUCGUACAUACGUACCUACAUACACUAAACAGACAAUUGUCCUCAAUAUUCGUUGGUGAAAUGACAUGGGGAAUAGUGACGCAUGGGCUCGUAUAAAAACCUUAUGAAGGCAUCUCCACCGCCAAACCAAACGAACACGCUAUACGUCCAUUGAUUGAUCCAGACCAGUUCGCGCAUAGUUAUAUAUAUGAGGCCAUCCAACCAUGCUUGCAAACAUUUCAAAGUAAAUUUCAACAAAUCCAACGCAAUGCAUGCGAAACAGUGAUUUUCAUCCAAACCAUAGCACGUUCAUUACAUUUCACACAUAUUUCAUUGAAUAAGAAUGACUGACCUAAAACUAGUCUAAAACUACGGUGGUGGAUGUCCUCCAAGAAAUUGGUGUUUUCCUACCGUGUUGGUCGUAUCCAUGGUUGUCACGGCUGAGACCGCAAGGUGCGGCUGCCAGCGAGGAAAAUUAGGAUAUGGAACACGAAUCGGCCCACUUGUGACUUGAGCCCUCGCCGCCUCCCAUUCACUACUCCUUGUCAUGGUCCGCGACCCAUCCGUCACAAAUGGACGUGAGAUCGAUGAUGCAUGUCGGCAGGUCAACCUCGUCGUCGUAGCUACGCCAACAAAGGACAGUUGGUGGCGCGAACCACGCUUAGCUCCCCACGUUCUCGUUCAUAUCGCAUGUGACGUCUGCCCGUUCGACUGCCGCGCCCCGAGCAUAUUGUAGUGAUAUGGUGAUUCAUAGCUGAUCCAUUGGGGUGACUCGAGGAGAAUACGGCGAGCAACUUGGUCAAAAUAGGGCAAGGCAGGAUGAGCACAAUAGAUUGAUGCUUAGUUGUUUUGGUCAAAAUAGGGUGUUUGCACCACGAAACUUUCUACAUUGGUUCAGGAUGGCUCCAGAUUUGUUCCACUGCAUUGCCAAUCAUGUGAAGCGGCAUGAUCAGUUCUUAAGUAGAGGAAGAACCGCGUCGGAGAGCUUGGACAUAGCACUAUCCAGAAGGUGACUAUCGCAUUGUGUGCGCUUUGCCUUAUGGUAUUCCUACACAUUUGAUUGAUGAUCGCUUGGCAAUGGGAGAGAACACUUCCAUCAAGUGUGUGAAAUAAUUUGUAGAAGGGUGUGUUUGAAGUGUUUGGACGAGAGUAUUUGAGAGCACCCAAUGCUCAAGAUACUCAUUGGUUUUUGGAGAUGAAUAAAGCAUUGUGGGGUUCCCAGGUAUGCUUCACUAAACUAAUUGCAUACAUUUGAAGCGGAAGAACUGCCCAGCAGCAUGACAUAGACAGUUCAAAGGACAUAAGAAGAACUCGUCGUCAUUUUUGAAGUUGUGGAUGUCAGGAGACAUGGUCAUGUCAUGCAUAUUUUGGGAUGGAUGGAUCUUGUAAUGACAUCAAUGUGCUUCAACGAUCAUCACUCCUUAACGGUUAUCAAAUGGGGAAUCACCAUCGGUGGAGAUUGAAGCAAAUGGCCACACAUACAACAUGGAUUACUGCCUAGCUUAUGGAAUAUAUCUGAAGCAGGCAACCUUUGUGAAGCCAAUCCCCCCCCCCCCUUCAUGUAAGGAAAAAACAUCAAUUCCAUAAUGCUCAAGUAACUGCUAGAAAUUAUGUGUAGAGGAUAUCUGAGAUUUUUGUAAGUCCAGUUUGCUAUUGUGUCAAAACCGACUAGACUUUCGGAUCAAGAAAUCCUUUCGUACAUCGUUACAGCCGACAUGGUCGUACACAACAUAAUCAUUAAGCAUGAGCGUGAAAAGAUUUGGACUACUCAUUCUAUGAAUUAAUGGGAAAACCGAUACAACCGUGUAGAAGGGAAAACCGCAUCCGACACUUGCUUCAAGUUUACAUAACAUUCAAGGUGCGGAUAUUCACCGGUUCGCCCCCGUCAUCAAAUGUUCAAACGCAUGGCCACAUAACAUCGCCGUCGUUGGUUCAUGUCACACGAGCACGUUGGAUGGCCGUUGUUCGUUGGUGGGACGGGGAUAAUUUUCGUGUUUUGAUCCUUUUGAAGAAGUUGAUCCAGAUCUGACCUCAGUUUGCGAAAUUUUUGGGAUUUGACCCUUUUCUUACCGUCGGAUCCCUUGACGGUAGGGUACGACAACCUACCGUCAAGGUUCGUGGUGGUAGAAAAAGGACCUACCGCCGCAGUGGUUGGCGGUAGCAUCUGUAACCCUACUGCCUAGGGGUCCGACGAUAGGCACGCACACACACUGUACUUUGAAUUUUUGUACGAUAGACAUGCAACGCUUUCGUCAAGGACCUCGACGGUAGGUUGUUAUACCCUACCGUCAUGAAGUAGGAAAAUGGAUAGAUCCUGAAAGUUUUACAUACUAUGGUCAGAUCUGGCUAAGCUUCAUCAAAAGGAUCAAAACACAAAAUUUAUCCAUGGGACGGCGAGGGAGCAGUGUGGCAUGGGCAAAACCGGGUGUCUCUUGGCAGCACACAAAGUAGCAUACUAGAGUAGCUUUCUUUAAACGGUGCAGGCCAGCCGGCGGCCGGCCACGAAUAAGAUAGCAGCCAUCUUUGCCGCCGAUGCGGGCCACACCGAUUUCCUGAAAGCCACGCGUUCAAGCUGGUUCCUUGUCCUGUCCGUUCCGCCUGAGACUGAUAUAAGGUAUGAUCAAACUUUCGGUGAACAUGUCACGGCACAAAAGCUCGCCGCGACAGGACAAAGGUAUACUACUAGUACACUACAUAUGCUUCACAUUCUCAGACAAGCGCCACCCGAACGGUUCACGGGUCAUUUGCAUCCCAAGUAGAGUACACGUUUGAUUUUAUUUUUUUUAAAGUAGAGUACACGUUACUACGGCAUAUCCAGUUCACUCACCGCCACACCUUAAACACACCUCACCACUAAAAACUAGAGAUUCCUCCCCACCUCCUACGACGACCCAAAAAUGCUUCAACCUAAACAUCGAAACCUCGCAAAGUCAACCCGACGCGAAUUUCAAGGGCGGUGCGUCUGCCCGCCCUACAAAUCCGCAAAGAAGUCCGGCGCGAAUCCGUUCAGCUUCUUGCCCGGCGGUGCGUCUGCCCGCCCUACAAAUCCGCAAAGAAGUCCGGCGCGAAUCCGUUCAGCUUCUUGCCCUUGCCUUUCUUCUUGCUCCUCGACCCUAUGCAACACCACCCACCACGCACAAGAGCAAACAAGAAUUAGAACCGCCAUUCAGCAAUUGCGCGCGUGCUUCGAUACAAUGCAGUCACAGUGUUUACCGUUGGAAGAGCUCGGCUCCAUGUCCACGUCCAUCCCAUCGUCGUCGCUGUCGGCCUGAGCCGUCAACUGGUCGUCAUCGACGGCGGCAACGUUGGCUUCAGGCAACUCCUCGUGUUGGACAGCGUUGGCGGCGUUGGCUUCAGGCAGCUCGUCGUCGUGGUCAACGGCGACCGCAGUGGCUUCCGGCAUGUCGUUCUGAUGAUUCAACUGCGGGCCGCCCAGGAGUUCUUCCAUGUCCCAGAGCUGCAUACAUAAAACGGGGGCGCCUGGUUAGAUGGCUACCAGUACAUGGAUGCCGGGGAAGGUCUGAGGGGUCUCACCUUUAUCAUUUUGUCAUGCGAAACGCUGCCUAGAUACUUCCUAUCAUGCGAGAAACCUGCAGGGCAUAGAUAAUAACUGACAAUGUGGCACCCCUUGGAGUUGCUUUUAGCGAGAAAAAUGACGGGAGCGGACGUACCAAGCGCCUCGAUCGGAAAUUCUGAAUGCUCGGCCAAUGGCUGGAUUAUCUGAUUCGGUAGGAUACCCACCAACCUGAAUGCGACGAGAAUAUGGAGGGCAUGAUAAAAUGACGAAUAAGAUUACUAAGCAGGUGACAGAAGUAGUAGGUCAUAAAGGCACCAUGGUAAAUUCUAAACCUGAUCACGCCAUCUGCUGCAGCAGAUAUCAGAGUUUCUUCGUCCAGCUAAAACACAAAAAUACACCAUCUUAAACGACGAUUGGACAGAGGAAAAGGAAGGCAGAAAUAUAAGGUAUUCAUUCUAACCUUCAGCAAGUUAUCAACAGACUGUGCGUGCCCCAGAAAACGGUCACUGGCCACAAAAGUGUAUGUUAGUACACAACUACCGACAAAAUCACUUGUAGACUUGCUUGAUCUACCAUCACAUCAUAUAGAUUGAAAUAGGCAAACUAGUUUAAGCUGCAACAUUUUCAAAUUAGUCUGCUUAUCACAUGUGAAGAUUAUUCUCAGGCUUUGUCGGUAAGAAUACAGUGAGAUGAGCAUUAACAGCUAAUUAUAUUGUAGGAACUAAUUACACAUGAGAUAAUAACUGAAUAAAGCCUGCUAUUUACCAAUAAAUGGCUAAGGCCGUUAUUGUUUAACCAUGAGAAAAAAGAGAGAAGUACCACUCACAAACAUUAUGCUUACUAGCAAUGUACAUUACUGGGGGAACACACAACUAUUAUCUCAGCCUCCCAACUCAAAAAAGGAAACAACAGUUGUAUUGCUAGCAUUUGAAAUGAAAUCAGAGAGCUAGAGAAAGUAAGGAGUGUUUUCAUGGGUGCCCUUCGGAAUAUAAUCCAUCAUAGGUGGAUAGCUAUUGGGUACAUCUUUCUUUACAUUUUAUAAUAGCAACCAUUCGAUAAAAACAAAUUGCAGUACAUAACGUAAAUCAAAGGAUGCCUUUUAUUCUGCUGCUGGUGCAGUCAUGAAAACACAUUUACCUGCAGUCCUUAAAAUGUCCCCACGAAUACAACAACAGGGCUCCACUUGGAGUUCCACAAACAACUUUUUGGCCAUUCUGAGAAUCGCAAAGAAUAAACUUUUGUUCAGUAACCAUAAAGUCAUAGAUGAAGCCAUGAAGGGUGUCAAUAAGUAAAAGUUGUUGAACAAAGGCAAUUACCUUCAUUAUCACCAAAGAUAGGAGUUCGUCUUCUGAAAAUUCAGAUUGCGAUUUUACCUAUUAGCAGAUUAGGCAUGACCAUGGUUAUUAAAGAUUGAAGGUAACUUAUAAUAUGGAAGUUCUUAAAAGCAAACUUGGAACAAGGGUUCAUCUAAUACACAGGGAUGAAAUUUAAUGUAUUUGGAAAGGCAACUCACUCUGUUACCCCGGAGACUGUUAACAGAUAAAGUUCCAUCACCACUGCAAAUAACAAGAUCAAUUUAAGCAUUUAUUACCAUAAUGUCAAGGCGAAAAGCUAUCCAAAAUUUGAAAGGUAGAACUGCAAAAAAAAAUGAAGAACUUCAAGGAUCCAUAAAACAAUGGCCUCAUACAUAUAACAUCAUGUACUAAAUAACAGUGUUAUUCUGCAUCACAGUGAAGUAAACUAAAGAGUGAAAUAGUUGCAGCCUCUCCAUGAUGUCGAAUGGUCUAUGAGCAAGAGAGAUUGGUAGAUUUGUUGCCAUGGAAACACUAGGUUUGUGCUUGCAUACAAAUAGUCCACUCACUCCUAUGAAAAUAAUGCUCAACAGUAUGGCACUUGUGCAGCAAUCAAGAUUGCAGGAAUGCAAAUUAAGUACCUUGUGGCCAAUAUUUGAUCUGAGCCAGCUACAUAGGUCAUAUCUGAUAUAUAAUCUUCAUGGCGGUGAAAAGUGUUGCAGCAAGAUCGUUGUCGAGUAUCCCACACCUAAAAUUGAAGAAGUAUCUUAAACUGAUUGUAUUAAAAAGAUUAUUACUGUUAUUGAAAAAGAUAAGAACUACAAACAUGGAAAAACUAUAAAGCGUCGGCAUGUAAGUGUCGCUGUGUCAGUCCAAAACAUAUGCAAGUGGUCAUUAAAUAAUGGCAGCUAUUGUGAUUUAUCAACCAAGCAUGGAUGAUUUUUUUUUUACAUGAAGCAUGGAUGAUUAAGUACUUAGAGCAGGUCUCCAUGGAUAAAUAAGCUGGGGGUGCAAUUAUUUUAUGUACACCCAUAAAAUGUUCAGGAAAUGAUAAUCAAUGGUGAAACCGGACUACAUUUGAAAGCUAUACAGCUGGAGCCAGUCAAUCAAUACAAUAUUAAAUACCUUAAUGCAACCCGCAUCAUCGCCUGAAGCAACUGUAGUUUCAGUAAGACACACAAGGCGGUUUAUGGCGUCACUGAAAAUAACAACAAGAAUAUGAAAUGAGGAAACAUAAAUAUUUAGUUCCACAAUAAAAUCAAUAGCAACACUGAUAACUGACAGAAACUCACCCAUGUGCAUCAUCCAAACGGGCAAUGACUUUGCCUGUUUCUACAUCAGAAGCGACAAUCGACAUAUCAGCAGACCCCGUCAGAAUCACUGCAACAAGCCACAACAUCAACCGACAGGACCUGGUUAGAGUAUCUAACAUGAUGAUUGGAGGUGUAUUAACCUCAAACAUAGGCUGUGAUUGCCAAUGCAAGCAUAAAGUAAAGCUGCUAAACUUUUAGCACAAUGCUUAAGCAAAUAAAACAGCUGGUGAAAUAUGAAAAUCACAGAUAAAAUGUAGGGACGUUGAUUCACAAUCCGGGAGGUACUGGGAUUAAUAGGGGAGUCAUUACCAGUUCCCGAGUCCACAAAUCGAACAGCCCUGCAUGAGUCCUUGUGGGGUUUUUCUGCGAACAACCUUAAAAACAUAGCAAGAGUACGUUUUCAUCAAUCUCUGUCAAUAUGAAAACCACAUAAUAAUUAUAAUAACACAAAGUCAGCUCCAGCAUCAAACAGAAAGGAUACCCAUCAAACAGAAGUGCAUACAUCAUUAGUAACAUAACAGAGUCAGUGCAAUGCUUAAAUUUUGAACUCACAUACGCCCAUUCAACUCAAAUGCCCACACGGCCACCAACAAUUCAAGCUUUGCUGCACAUACUAUCAUUGAUUGCAAAACCAGGCAGAGGAAUUUAAUUAUACGAAAAUCGACAAAACAGAGUUAACCCCUACACGAACUACGCAGUAACCACCUGAACUUGUCCACCUCGUGCAAUCAGCAUACAACCAAUGAGGCCUGUACGGCUCCAAACGUGAAGUGAGAAAGAGCCUAAAGCUGAUUGACAGCUUAAGAUAAAUCACAUGAACAAUAAUCCGAGACCGGAAGCAGUGAUAGCAGUAGCAGUACUAUGAAACAAGAGCAACUAGCAGCACGGUGUGCAAAAUUAACCAGGCGCGAGGAGCAGGGGCUGUGGCGAGAACCUCUCGAGCGGCAGACCGUCGGCGUAGCGGAACCUGCGGAGGGGCAGCGGAAAUCAGAAACCGGUUAACCCUCCUCGGAAGGGGGGAGCGAGAGAUUGGUGAGGGUGUGCGCACAUGUGGAGCUCGCCGGUGAUGAGGGAGGUGGCGACCAGGGGCGACGAGGGGUGGAAGGAGAGGUCGAAGGGCGUCUCCUCGUGGAGGGCCUCCAUCGCGGGCGGCGGGCGGCGGACGGCGGGCGGCGGCGAGGCGGCUGGGGGGAGAAGAGCGGAGGAGGUUUAGGAGGCUAUACUAGGGCCGUCGGGUGAAAUCGGGUGGAGGCGUCGUGGCUGGGUCAGAGUCAGACUCGUGUAAACGGGCUCUGGGCUGGGUCAGACGUGAAAACGGCCCGACAUCUGGCGACGGUGCGGAGGAUCGGGUGUGUUUUUUUUUUUCGGGCCAGGGCAUUUUUUUCUUUUUUGAGUGAGAAAGAGAGAAAGAGAGAUAUGACACUACUGUCAUGGGAUGUAAUUUAUUUCUCAGGUGUCUAGCACUGAUUAAUCCUCAGCUUCAUUAUUUUGUUAUUUGAACACUUUGAGUAAUGUGAUUUCUAUAGAAUCUAUGUGUGAAGUUAUGUUGGUAUCUGAAAGUUGUACAACUAUGUAAUUGUUCUUGAACAUUCUAGAACAGUGCAAAUUUUGUGAAAUAUAUGUGUAUCUUUAUCAUUAUUUAAUUAACAUUUUAUUUCUUCAUUUUAUUUCCUAAAAAAAGAUUUAGGUUAUUUUUGUGUUUUCUCAUUUGCGCUAAUAUUUUUGGCUUUAAUUGUUUUGGCCUAGCCGGCUUUCGAUUAUUACAUUUUCUCCUAUAUUUGCACAUGUGGUAGUGCUUUAUUGUUGCAAUGGUGUGACACUAUUUCAUUUCGUGUUAAAAAUCCAAAAUGAAUAUUUUUUUAAUUAAUUAUUUAAUUUGAUUCUUAUUUAAGAUUAAUGUUUGUGGCUCCAAUUUUUUUUCUUGUUGCUUAAGUGAUUUUUUCUCUUGCCAGAUUUUCUCGUGUAUUUGUGCAUACAUAUAUGUCAUGUGGUUUCUUGUUAGUAUUUUCUAAUAACAUAACUAUAAUAUAUAUUCUCAUGCAAAGAAAACUAUAAUACUUUCAAGACAUAUUUUUGUGUACAUGUAAUUUUAUUUCAAACUUCCCUAAAUAUCACCUGCUUUAAACUUCCCUAGAAAACUUCCUAAAAAAUCGACUUCCCUGGAAUACAUAUUUUUAACUAUACAAAGCCAGUGAAUCAGGGACCUCGUACUCGAGGGGCGUUAGGUAGCCACUCUCCCUGACGACUACAGGCGAUGACAGAUAGUGCGGCCUAUAUAAGAACAUACAAAAAAUGUUCAUAUAUAAAAACAGUUAUGGAAAAUGAAAACAUUUCCUAAGAAAUUGUGAAAAUUUUGGAAAAUGUCGAGUUUUUUAAGACACAAAUAAUUUACGAAAUUCAGAAAAACUAUUUAAAAAAUGUGUCACAAUUUUCGAAAAUCUGAAACAUUUUUCAUAGCAUGUGAAAAACCGUUGGAACUCUGCACAUUUUUUGACAAAUGUGAUUCUUUUGAAAUCACGAACAGUUUUUAAAUAUCAGAAUAAAUUUUCAAAAUCCCAAACAUAUUUCUCUAAAACACAAAAUGAAUGAAUUUGUGCCAAAAAUAGAAAACAUGAACAUUUUUUAACUUCCAAGUAAUUUUAGAAAUGCAGGAAAAAAAAUUAAACUGCACAAUUUAUUUUUGUGGUAUAGUGGGCCGGCCCAAAUCCUUAUCCGUCAGAAAAGCAUGUUAUUCCGGUCGGGAUUGUUGUAUUUCCGGUGUGUCAAACAGGACCAGAGUCGAAAUAAACGAUGAUUAUAAGUUUACCAAAUUUCGGGACUUAAAGUUUCGAGUUUGACUUACCUUUCGUCUACAACUAUAAGGCAGGGGAGAUAAGGGAGGCGAGCGUGGGGACCGACACGUGUGUACCGUCCGAAGAGGUUUACGCAACGUAGAAAGCAGGCGGUUUCUAAAAAAAAAAUGGUGCUAAUACAUCCGCACAGCUAUUUUGCUCGGGUAGCACAAACAUAUGCAUAGUAGCAGGCACAGGCCUUGUAAAUAAAACGCAGAGACGAGCUAUCGUCUCAGGUAAUGUCCAUGCAUGCAUCUCCUUGACAAUGCCAAUAAACCGGAGGGCAAGGGAUGGCACCCGCAGGCUAUGGUAUGAGUGGAGCCUCUCCAUACCCCUACACGUUCCGUCUGGUAUUAUCUAUCAUUCUUAUUCAUAUCCGUUAACGGGUAUAAUUUUUCCUCAUACCCGUUAUCCGAUAGGGUUGACGGGUAUCCACGGGUAAAAAUUAUCAAUAUUUGCAAAACAUUAAUUUAAACAAUUUAUAGUUAUAAAUUGCAUUGUAUCAUAUAAUCCUUCGGUCUUAAAAAUUUUGUUUUAUGUUUGUCUAUAAAUAGAUGUAUCUAAAUACUAAGUUGUGACUAGAUACAUUCAUAUAUAGACAAUUUUAAGACAAGAAUUUUGAGACGGAGAGAGUAGUUUACAAGGAUAAAUUAUAACUACAACACAUACUUAUAAAACAACAUCAUAUAGUCAUAUACAACAACACAAAAGCAUACACUUUCAAUUCACAAAUUAUUGACAUAGUGUAGAUUUUAUAUAUUUUUUGAGGGGUUAGUGUAGAUUUUAUAUGGGUAUGGGUUGUUUGAUCCCAUACACGUACCCGCUCUACCCGAUGAGUUUCAGAUUUUUAUAUUUAUAUACCCAUGAAUAAAAAAAAUCUAAUGCCCUUACGUUAAUAGAGUUUUUAUCCGUAAGAUAUGUGUGUAAUGGAUACCCAUUGCCAUCCCUAGUCCAAAGUCACCAAAACACCACAUGAAGAAUGCACACGCGAGUCAGGCUCAAAAGGCACACGAAACAAGACAUCCACCCAUCAGCUCGCCGUCUCCUUCAUGUAGCCCCGCGCCCUGCCCGACGCCACUGCGCCCGCCAUUCCCCUGCCCCUGCCCCUCUACUCCGUAUGAGUACUCGUCCACGACAAAAUUGACAAAAAUGACCCCUCGGGGGAAAGAACUCACGGAGUGACCCCUCGCGGAAAAUAUUUCACCCGCCUGACCCUUUUGUGUGGCGCCCGACACCUAGGCGCCACACUACACUGUGUGACGCCUAGCCCUUCGGCGCCACACAACUCGACCACCUGGCAGGGAGGGCCCACCCCCCAGGCCGUGUGACGCCUAAGNCCUCCCCCAGCCCCCUCUCCCAGCCACCGCCCCCUCCCUCAAAUCCUUCUCUAAAUCACCAAAUCUGAAGGUUUGGACCGGGCAUUUGUUGUCCAAUCACUCCCCUAAAGUUAUCCCCACCUCUCCCCUCAUUCUCAUCCAAAGAAAAAUCUUUUGUGGUCUUUUUUUUUUGCAAAUUUGAGGAAACCCUAGUUUUUCAUGAAAUGUGGGAUGUAUAUGAUAUUGUUGUAUUUGUUUGUAUGUUAGGAUAAGGGGUAUGAUGGGGUUAGGAUUAGGGUUGUCUGGAUGUUUGCAUUAUGGUUGUUUUAGGGUUAGGCUAUGGUUAGGCUAGGGUUAGGGAUGUUUGGUUGUCUUAGGGUUAUGAUGGGGUUAGGGUUAUUUGGAAGUUAGGCUAGGGUUAUUGUAAUUGUAUGAUUGCUUAUAAAAAAGGUUCUAUGUUUUGUUGUUUAGGUAUGGGAAGAACAUAUGUUUAUGUUCAUCACGUGGACAAGGAUGCCUUUUUAAAAGGCAAUAUUGAUCCGGACCCGGAUGAGCUUGACAUGGUGUUCGAUUUGUGUCCUAGCUAUGGUGAAUUGUUGGAACAAGUCCGAAAGGAUUUGAAUUGGAUGGACCCUAGUGAUGUAGUUGAGUUUGAUGGUAGGCAUAAUGUGGGAUUCGGAAUGCACAUUCGUUGGAAGACCAUGCGUGUCAACUCCGAGCAACGUUGGCUUGCAUACAAGGAUACUGUGGCCGAAUCACUAGACAAGGCUCUAGAGUUAUUUGCCAUCAAAACAAAUGUUCCUAACUUGUUGGAUUUGAACCGGGUUGCCUCUUCGAUUGUUGAAGCUAUUCCUGCACCCAUCAACGAAGAGGCCAACAUUGAACCUCUUUCUUGUGUCGAUGAGGCCAACGAAGAGGUCAACAUUGAACAUGAACCAUUGGUAGAGGCUAAUGAUGAGCACGAUAAUGAUGAGAAUGAUGGUAAUGUUCUUCAUGACAACAAUCUUGGUGAUUUGGACAAAUAUAAUUUGCAAGAGACAAUGGACCAUUCUAUUCCGUACUCACGUGGCUAUGCCUCUGAGUCUGACGAUGAGGGUCCCGAUGAAGAAGUUGAUGAGGAAGGGUUCACGGCAAAGGAGGCUGAAGCUUUCACGAAGGUAUUAAAGCGUGAUCACCGGACACCAUUGUUCGAGGAUCUUAGCCUUGCGGAUGAAGCCGUGGUUGACAGAGGCGAAGGCAUAUUGUUUGGAGUUAGGCCACCUUCUCAUCGGGACACACAUGGGAAGAAUAUUAUUUUGUCGGGGUCAAAGUUCGAAACAUUCUUUAAACUGAAGAUGUGGUUGGAUGAAUAUUCUGUUACGCAUUAUAGGCCACACAAAGUUGUUCAUUCAAACAUGAAGCUGCGUUACACGGUUGCAUGUAAGGAUAGAGGUUGUCCUUGGAUUGUCCAUGCAAGACCAUGGAAAGAAGGGCCAGGAUGGAACAUUGUCAGUUUAUGCCUCACAUGUGUUGAGGCAAGAGGGUUGAUGGUGCCCUUUCGUCGCAAAGCCAUAGACAACUCACCUCCGAGUUCAUCGCUUAUAGGCUUUCCAACUCCAUCUCCUCUCUUCCUACAAUGAGCAUAAAAAGCGUACAAGACCUUGUGAAAGCCCUCUUUCACUACGAGGUGAAAUAUGGUAAGGCAUGGAAAGCAAAGCAAGCCGCAUUCAAGAUAUUGUAUGGUGAUUGGGAGGAAGCAUACAACCGCAUACCUAGGUUGUUGGGAGCUAUUGCCCACACUAACCCGGGCAUGGUUCAUGUGGUCGAGCCGUAUGGGGAGAAAACAAGGAUUCUGAAUGGAAAUAGGGUCCGCGUAUUUGGCCGUGCAUUUUGGGCAUUUGAGCAAUGUGUGAGGGCUUUCCAGCACUGUCGUCCUGUCAUCUCCAUCGAUGGCACGUUUUUGACCAGACAAUUUAAGGGCACUUUGUUGGUUGCAAUAGCAAGUGAUGCCGAUAACCGGUUGAUGCCUUUGGCUUUUGCUUUGGUUGAGGCAGAGAACAAUGUUAACUGGGAAUGGUUCUUGCAUAUUUUGAGAACCAAAGUAUUACCGUUUGAGAGGGAAAUAUGUGUCAUAUCGGAUCGUCAUCAAGGCAUACUUAACGCAGUUGACAUUGUCAUUCCCGGCCAUGCUCCUUUGCAUCAUCGAUGGUGCAUGAGGCAUUUCUGUGCAAACUUCUACCGGGCAUGUGGUAGCAAGGAGUUGGCGGAUGAUCUUCAAGAUUGUUGUCAAGCAUUUUCUGACAAACGAUUUGCAAGAUUGUAUAAUGCUUUGCUUGUAAACAAAAAACUUGAUGCAGGUGGGCUUGAGUUUCUUAACAGGCACAUUGAACUUCGGGCCAAGUGGGCACGAGCUUAUGACGAAGAUGGCCGAAGAUAUGGUCAAAUGACAAGUAACAUGGCAGAAUGCUUCAACCGGGUGUUGAAGGGUGUCCGUGCGUUGCCGGUGACGGCAAUAGUUCAAUACACAUUCGACAAGUUGAGAGCAUACUUUAUAAAGUACUCGCAAGAAACAGAUGAUCAGAUUGCCGGAGAGAACAAGAAAAAGUAUAAGUACCAGUUUCCACCAAAGGUUGACAAAUGGGUGGUAUUUCAAUCACGGAAGGCUGACUCCCAAACGGCUACCGUGUACAACAACGAGGAUUGGACAUACCAAGUGAAUGAGCCCGGAGGAACGACAAACGAUGGCCAGCAACACGGAAACAGGGCGUUCAAGGUUUCUUUAUCCUUGUGUGAUUGCUCGUGUGGGAGGCCAAGGUUGCUUCAUCUCGCAUGCUCGCAUUUGUACACGGCAGCUCGCAGUAGGAAUGUGGACGUCAACCAUCCACUAACCGUGAGGGAGUCCGAGUUCUCGAUCAUGACCAUGAAGCAUACAUGGUCUCCUAGAUUUGAACCAUACUUUGACCAAUCACAAUGGCCGGAGUAUCAUGGAGUACAACUAUGGCCCGACCCAGAGUGGAAGGUUGUGAAACUGGGAAGACGAAAGACAAAGCGUUUUAGAGGAGACAUGGAUGGAUGGGGCCAUGGUGGUGGCAGAGAAAUGGAGAACAACCAAUUCCAAGAGCCUACUGAGAGAUCACAAUGUGGAGAUUGCGGUGUAACAGGGCACAACACAAGAAGGUGUACGACGCGAAAGAAGAAUUCCAAAAACAAUGAUUCCAGAUCAAGCCAACCAAGUCCUAGCCAACCAAGUCCUAGCCAACCAAGUUCAAGCCAACAAGGGACGGGUCAAGGAAGCACGAGCCAACAAAGGACGGGUCAAGGAAGCACGAGCCAACAAGUUCCUACUCAACAUGUUCCUAGCCGACUUGGGCUUACUAGAGGACGUGGUGCUAGAGGCAGUGGUGGUGGUAGAGGCAGGGGUGCUGCUAGAGGCAGGGGUGGGAUAGGUCGUGGUGGUGCUAGAGGCAGGGGUGGGAUAGGUGGUGCUGCUGCUAGAGGCAGUGGUGGGAUAGGUGGUGGACUUACUAGGAUUGGUAUGUGUGGAUACCUACGAGCACCAUUUCCGUAUGUCACAUAUUUGACUUAUCUUUAUCAUGUUGUUUUUCAUGCUCCUUUGUGUGUUAUUUUACUAACUAUGAGCUUUGAUGCCUGUUUUGUAGGUAUGACCGCUUCUCAACCCAACAAGGCAGAAGCGGAGUGGGGGAGGAGAAGGAUGCAGCCAGUGAGGAGCAGCGGUUGAUGGAGAGGGCUGCAAAGAAGUUGAGAGAGGAGGAUGCAGCCGAAGCACGAAAGAAGAAGGAUGAGGAGCAUAAGGCAAAGAUGGAUGAGGAGUGGCAAAUGUUCCUUGAGCAUAAGCGAUAUGAGGCUAGGAUAAAGGAGAAUGACAGGAAGACGCUAGAGAAACGUAAAAAAGAAUAUGAAGCUAACUUUAAGAAGAUGUGGGCAGAGGGCGCAGCAAAGAGAGAGCGGGAGCAUCAACGCUUCACGGAGAGGGUUAAGGAAGAGGCUUCAAAAAUGCGCAAAAGGAAAGAGGAAGAGGAAGAAGAGAGGAAGAAGAAGAAGGGAAAGGGACCUUGCUCGACCCAAUAGAGUCAGAUGCUUCUAUUCUCAUGCACGCUUUCAUCUUCGAACCCUAUGUGUUGUUGAACCUUGUUCGCUUGCGCGCUUUCUUACUAUGAAACUCCACUAUGUAUGCACUUUUGGACGUAUGUUAUUUAAGAACCCUAUGUAUGUUUGAACUCCACCCUCUUUGUGUUGUAUGUUUUAACUCUAGUAUUAUUGUGUUGUAUAUUUGUGCAUAUUUGUGAUGUAUAUUUGAACUCCUCCACCACUAUGUGCUGCAGUUUUCAGCAUGACAGAAUGUGUGGCGCCUAAGCCUUGGGCGUUGCACANNNNNNNNNNNNNNNNNNNNNNNNNNNNNNNNNNNNNNNNNNNNNNNNNNNNNNNNNNNNNNNNNNNNNNNNNNNNNNNNNNNNNNNNNNNNNNNNNNNNNNNNNNNNNNNNNNNNNNNNNNNNNNNNNNNNNNNNNNNNNNNNNNNNNNNNNNNNNNNNNNNNNNNNNNNNNNNNNNNNNNNNNNNNNNNNNNNNNNNNNNNNNNNNNNNNNNNNNNNNNNNNNNNNNNNNNNNNNNNNNNNNNNNNNNNNNNNNNNNNNNNNNNNNNNNNNNNNNNNNNNNNNNNNNNNNNNNNNNNNNNNNNNNNNNNNNNNNNNNNNNNNNNNNNNNNNNNNUGUGCAACGCCCAAGGCUUUCACGCAUAGUGGAUUGAGCUCGAACGUGUGUGCAUUACCAAAGUUUGGCCCGACACCAUAUGGCUGCCAUUCCACCUACAACACAACAUAAAAGGCACAAUUCAUUUUACUCACAACAUAAAAGCUGGAAGUCAACUCUGAAACCAUCUUACCUGCUCGGGGUUAAGCGAAUCCAUCUCGUUGGUGUAUUGCUUGUACAAUAGGUUCACUUCGCUUGCCACCUCCGAUACCAAGUCCCACUUGUAAGCCCAUGUAGGUUGCCGUACAGGGUUGCCGUGGUCAUCCCAGGUAUUCCACUGUGAGCUUUUAUGGCGUCCAACAGGUAGGCGUUCCCAGCUCCAUACUGAAAGUAGGAGCAUACAACCACCAACUCCACCAUCCUUUGUCGUCCUGCGACAAGCAUCGUCCAACUACAAGUAACAACAAACAUGCAUCAGUUUAGCAGAAAAAGAUAACAGAGAGUACUUAAUACUAACAAUUUAUUACCUGUCGAUACAAGUAAGCCAGUGCGGCCGAGCCCCAGCUGAACUUGUUGUCGAAAACAGUCAACGCCUUCAGCCACAUCCAUGGAGCAUUCUUGCCUGUGCCGUCAGCAAAGAUAGUCCUAGGGAUGACGUACCACAUGUACACGCGAGCAUACCUCUGGAUCACCUCGUCAUCUGCGUCCUCAGGACAAUGAGCAAAGUUCGCGGCAAUCCAAGUGAAAGGAGCACCGGCCCGGAGUCUAUCUAUCUUCCCUCCAUCUUCUACCUCCGGCUCCUGCGGCGACAUACCAAUAAGAGCCUCCAUUUGUUGCCGCCAUCCCUCGGAAUCAGUGCUCAUACAAAGAGGCUUCCCCUCGAUCGGAAGUGCGGUGAUCAUGGAAACAUCUUGAAGAGUAACCGUCAUCUCUCCGGUCCGGAGAUGAAAACUAUGUGUCUCCGGCCUCCAACAAUCAAUAAGUGUCGUGACUGCCGCAACGUUCAGAUUGGGCGUUGACCGACUCACAAGCUGCACGAAUGGAAGGAGUCCUGUCAUCUCGAUGUAUGGGGUGUAGCGCUCAUCGUACUGCAUUACAGACGAUGCACCAUGAGACCGGAUCUUCAAGGGCGUAAGCUCCUGCAAACAGAUAGGAGAAGAAGAUAUCAAGUGCUUAUUACAUUUUCAAAAAAUUACUCAUCUACUAAUCAUUUUCUACUUACCAUUUUCUUCUCCGACAUGAAAUAGGCCCGGUGUUCAACGUCAUAAACAUUAUUCAGAAGCCACACCAUCCUACAAAUCACAAAAAAAUAAUCAUAUUAAAAAAAUUACUCAUCUACUCAUAUACUAACUAAUAUUCAAAAAAUACUCAUAUUCAAAAAAUUACACCAUCCUACAAUCCACUAAUCUACAUAUCCUAACUACUCAAAUCCUAAGAACUCAUAUGAACUACUACUACUCAUAUACUCAUAUACUAACUACAAAUAUGAACUACUACUACUAAUAUACUCAUAUACUAACUACUAAUACUAACUACUAAUACUAACUAUUAAUACUAACUACAAAUAUGAACUACUACUACUAAUAUACUCAUAUACUAACUACUAAUACUAACUACUGAUAUGAACUACUACUACUCAUAUAUCAUAUACUAACUACUAAUACUAACUACUAAUAUACUAACUCCUAAUACUCAUAUACCAACUACUAAUAUACUAACUACUCAAAUCCUAAGAACUCAUAUCCUAACUAGUCAAAUCCUAAGAACCUACUCAAAUAAAUCUACUCAACAAAAACCUAUUACACUUGGAUAGAAGGAUGGGAAACGGAAGGGAUGGAGGAGGAGAUUACCUUGGGGGAUCAAUCCAAAGAAGAAAUCACCAGAUCUGAAGGAGAUGGGGGAGGGGAUUAGGGAUUCGAAAAGAGCCAGCCGCCGCCGUUGCAGUUUCUGUUUGAAUGAGGGAGGGGAAUGGGGAGGGGGUGGGGAGGGGGGCUGGCCCGUGGCCAGUUAAGUCAAUGUGUGGCGCCUAAGCGUUCGGCGCCACACAUUACAAUGUGUGACGCCUGAGGCUUAGGCGUCACACGGCCUCGGGGAUGGGCCCUCCCUGCCAGGUGGUCGGGUUGUGUGGCGCCGAAGGGCUAGGCGUCACACAGUGUAGUGUGACGCCUAGGUGUCGGGCGCCACACAAAAGGGUCAGGCGGGUGAAAUAUUUUCCCCGAGGGGUCACUCCGUGAGUUCUUUCCCCUCAGGGGUCAUUUUUGUCAAUUUUGCUCUCGUCCACAUGAGUCCGUAGCAGAGGCAAAGCACGCACCGCUAGCUCGGUAUUUUGUUCUGAACCUCGGCCUGCCCGUCCCCAUUGCCUGUUGCGCGCACGAACCGCGUCAGAGCCGCUGUGCCACUCGUCGCCAUUUGCGCCUACGCCCGCCUGUGCGAUGGAACGUGCCGCGCGCUGAACUAGCCCGUGGCGCCGUGACAACGGACGCGACUGUGCCCGUGCGUGGCAGCGGUAACUUGGAGCUGGACAAGACAGGCGCAACAAUGCGGCACUGUGCGGGCUUUCUUUUCUUGCUCCUGCACCGCCCUGCACCACGUGUGCUGCUUGCCUGGCNNNNNNNNNNNNNNNNNNNNNNNNNNNNNNNNNNNNNNNNNNNNNNNNNNNNNNNNNNNNNNNNNNNNNNNNNNNNNNNNNNNNNNNNNNNNNNNNNNNNNNNNNNNNNNNNNNNNNNNNNNNNNNNNNNNNNNNNNNNNNNNNNNNNNNNNNNNNNNNNNNNNNNNNNNNNNNNNNNNNNNNNNNNNNNNNNNNNNNNNNNNNNNNNNNNNNNNNNNNNNNNNNNNNNNNNNNNNNNNNNNNNNNNNNNNNNNNNNNNNNNNNNNNNNNNNNNNNNNNNNNNNNNNNNNNNNNNNNNNNNNNNNNNNNNNNNNNNNNNNNNNNNNNNNNNNNNNNNNNNNNNNNNNNNNNNNNNNNNNNNNNNNNNNNNNNNNNNNNNNNNNNNNAUUACGUACAACUUACCCUGUUGUGUGACAUCUGACACUUAGAAGCGCAAAUGGCAGUCGCGGUCACAAAUUUAAGUGACAGUGUGACCCCUGCGGCUUAGGCGUCACACUGUCGGAAGAUGGGGUAGGAUUGCGACGUCUAUGUGUCGAACGCCACACAAAAUGAUGAGCUGAACGAUUUUUUUUUCAAACGCAGUUCUGUUUAUGAAUUUUUUAUGUAUAGUAAUCAAAUUUAUCGACUUUGCCUGCCUUCCGCGUCAAAGUGGCACAGACGCACGCAUGCACUCCCGGUCUCGCACUGUAUUUGCUACUGUGCGUGUGAUGUGCGUCGUGCUUGCCCGAUCGGAUCGUGGUUGAUUGUUCCUUGACUACUACCGUAGACCUCACGCUCUCUCCUAAGAGAAAAAGGGAAAGAGCUCACGAAAAUUGCUAGAUGUGCACGGGCACCAUGGUCCCCCGUUACAAAAACAUCAUUUUCUACUGUGCAAAAUAAGUCUUUAUCUUUACCUAAUAAUAAAGAGGCUAUUGCUUCAGUCGGAAAACCCGUCGCUGUCGGUUUUUUUUAAAAAAAACUGUCUUUUAGGUAAUUAAACCCGCAAUACCUUUUUAUGUGUUACGAACAGGAAAACGUUUUAUUUUUGCAGAGAGCCCCCUAUGGCAUUGGAUAAGAGAAACACAUUUGGCAUGGCAGAAAACGCACGAGAGGGCUAUCGCUUCUGCCCUCAUAAUCCCACAUCGGUACUUCAUAGAUAAUUUCAUCACUUUAUAUACACGCGCCUCGGUGAUUUUACAAGAGGCAACGGAAAUCAACAGAGGAACAAAUUCGAGAAGAAGAAAUUGGGAUGACGCGAACAGAGGUGGAGCCGCGACACAGAGGGGGCUCGGGGCGAAGGAAAGGGGCUGGCGCCGGCGAUGCAUACGUGGAGGUGGGGGCGUCGGGGUUAGAGGAUUCUGGCAACCGGCGGGGUAAGUCUUGCCGGAGACUGGCCCCGUAGGCCGACCUCGCAGCAGCACACAUGGGAGGUGGUCGCGAGGUGCAGAGGUGAGAGGCGAUGGAGGAGGAGAGGAGGAGGGGAGUGCCGGCGCCAUUGGAAGGGGGAGUCGGGGAGAUUGGGGAUCCUGUGGGGCUCUCUCCCCUAGCGGCGCGAGGUGGACGAGAGGAGGGGGGCUGGGGAUCGGGCUAGGUUAAGGGAUUUAUGAGUGGGUAAGGCUGGGCCUUGGCACGCCUAAUGGGUUGUGCACUACUACUCUCUCUCUUUUCUUUAAUUUCUUUUUCUAAAUUCUUUAAUUAAAAAUGUUAUGACCGGUACAACGUACCAACGGAGGAGGCCCAAUGGGCAGGGUUAAUUACGGGCUUAGCCCAAGUUAUCUUACCUAUCUUAGAGUCCAAGUUAUAUUAGAGUCCAAGUUAGAGUUCAAGUUAUCUAGGGUUUAGUGGAGGCUGUCCUCCUAUAUAAACACAUGUACCCCUUCGAUAUUAAGCAGACAAUAAACAGUAUAUUCUAUUGUCGUCUCCCUCAGGAGACGAGAGCCCCAAACCCUAGCCACCUCUCUCUCUCUCUCUCACGCCGCGACGGCGCCCAACCGCCGGCGCCGGCAUCCCCAACCUCGCAGCCCGCACUUCCACCCCUACAACCUACGUCCGAGACCUAGUAGAACCCUAGCCUCUACCAAUUUGGUAUCAGGUAGCUUGGGUUCGAUGAGUUUGUCGGACCUUCCCACCACCACCGCCGCCACCACCACCGCCUUCCCCGCCACCUCGCAGCAGCCGCCGCCGCCGCACCACUCGCCGCUGCCGCUCACCUUACCUGGGCAUGGGUGGAGGCCACCAGAUCAAGGUACCAUCAAGAUAAAUAAUGAUGGCAAUGUGGCAUCUCAGCAUAGCAGAGGUGGAGGUAGAGGGGUUGCUCGCUCGGAACAUGCCUUUAUCGCCGUCUGGUGCAAACCUUUUGGAGGAGUGACAGAUCCGUUGGUAGCUGAAGCCUUGGCAUUGCGGGAAGGUGUCCGUUUUGCUCGCGUGCGAGGUUUUUCAAGAGUGGUUUUGGAGACAGAUAGCUUGGAACUAGUCCAGCUAUGGCAUUUGCGCGACAAUUCUCGUUCAGUUGUGGCGCCUAUCAUGGAUGAAAUAGGGGAGAACGUAGCUUUCUUUUCUUCUUUUUGUAUUCAGCAUUGUUAUCGUGCAGCUAACACGCCUGCCCACUUGUGUGCAAAACAUGCUAGCACUCGAGAGGUGACGGAGUGUUGGAUGCAUAUGCAACCUAGCUUCCUUGUAACUUGCCUCCAGGCAGAUUUUGCCGGGGCUUCUGCUGAAUAAAUCCCCAUAUUUCAAGCUAAAAAAAUAGCUCGGUAUUUUGUUCUGAACCUCGGCCUACCCGUCCCCAUCGCCUGUUGCGCGCACGAACCGCGCCAGAGCCGCUGUGCCACUCGUCGCCAUUUGCGCCUACGCCCGCUUGUGCGACGGAACGUGUCGUGCGCUGAACUAUCCCGUGGCGCCGUGACAACGGACGCGACUGUGCCCGUGCGUGGCAGCGGUAACUUGGAGCCGGACAAGACAGGCGCAACAGUGCGGCACUGUGCGGGUUUUCUUUUCUUGCUCCUGCACCGCCCUGCACCGCGUGUGCUGCUUGCCUGGCNNNNNNNNNNNNNNNNNNNNNNNNNNNNNNNNNNNNNNNNNNNNNNNNNNNNNNNNNNNNNNNNNNNNNNNNNNNNNNNNNNNNNNNNNNNNNNNNNNNNNNNNNNNNNNNNNNNNNNNNNNNNNNNNNNNNNNNNNNNNNNNNNNNNNNNNNNNNNNNNNNNNNNNNNNNNNNNNNNNNNNNNNNNNNNNNNNNNNNNNNNNNNNNNNNNNNNNNNNNNNNNNNNNNNNNNNNNNNNNNNNNNNNNNNNNNNNNNNNNNNNNNNNNNNNNNNNNNNNNNNNNNNNNNNNNNNNNNNNNNNNNNNNNNNNNNNNNNNNNNNNNNNNNNNNNNNNNNNNNNNNNNNNNNNNNNNNNNNNNNNNNNNNNNNNNNNNNNNNNNNNNNNNNNNNNNAUUACGUACAACUUACCCUUUUGUGUGACAUCUGACACUUAGAAGCGCAAAUGGUCACAAAUUUAAGUGGCAGUGUGAUCCCUGCGGCUUAGGCGUCACACUCGGAGGAUGGGGUAGGAUUGCGACGUCUAUGUGUCGAACGCCAGACAAAAUGAUGAGCUGAGCGAUUUUUUUUUCAAACGCAGUUUAGUUUAUGAUUUUUUUAUGUUUAGUAAUCAAAUUUAUCGACUUUGCCUCGCUUUCACGUCAAAGUGGCACACACGCACGCAUGCACUCCCGGUCUCGCACUGUAUUUGCUACUGUGCGUGUGAUGUGCGUCGUGCUUGUCCGAUCGGAUCGUGGUUGAUUGUUCCUUGACUACUACCGUAGACCUCACGCUCUCUCCUAAGAGAAAAAGGGAAAGAGCUCACGAAAAUUGCUAGAUGUGCACGGGCACCAUUGUCCCCAGUUACAAAAACAUCAGUUUCUACUGUGCAAAAUAAGUAUAAGUUAAAAGUUUAUGUGAGAACACGCACAUGUAUAUUAUGUAUGUGCAAAAUUUGACAACAUUGUACUUUCACAUUGACGUAAAAAAAUGGACAAAUAUGCAUUUUCAGAUGAGCCUUUUUUUUCUGUUUUUGGGCCGAAUUUUGUUUGUACAGCUUACAAUGUACAUUUAAAAAAUUACAGAUCCAUAGUGAACACAUACAAGUAUCCAUAGAAUUUGUUUCCAAACUUUUUUGGAACGUCUAAAUAUCUUCUUUUAUUUUUUGAAAAUAAAGGGCACCAUGGUGCCGGUGCACGAGAACUUCACACUCAAGAGCUCCUGCCAUUACGAGUGGAUGCAUGGCUAUUCCGGCACCCUCUGGGUGGAAAUGGAAUUGUUUUGGUUUGAACUUUGAACAGUCGUUUUAGCUUGAACAAUGCACAAAGGAACAGAAUUUUUCCAAUAUAAUCAAAAAAGUUGAACCGCGAUCUGCAGAAGAUAUAGUUCGACUGUGCCAUUUGAUAUGUAGUAAUAUAAUGGUAUGCACAAGAAGACAUUCUUGAAGUAACUUGCAAAACCGUUUUAUCUAGCGGACACAAUGUUGGGAGGAUUGCCAACUCGACUUAUAAGAGAAAACAACUAGAAGAAAUUGGUUCUAUUUAGUUUGGGUUUACUUGGUGAGAGUGGAAUUUUGUCCCUUAUGUUAGCUAGCCGCAUCUAUAUAAAAAAAUAACUUUGGAAGCUCAUGGUUUUGAAGCUCCCCAAUCCUAAUAGACUGGUCUUGCUAAGGACAAACAAGCACACACAAAACAUCAUACAUUUAAAAUACUCAUCGAUCCCGACCUACCCAAAAGGAAAUGAGCACACAAAUUUAUUAUAUUUUCAAUAGAUAGCAUAACCUCUUACCUACCAAAGGAUCAAACUCAUAACAAAACAUUAUUAGAUAAUAGUAAGUAGGGCCUAGUAGAACGCCCAUGAAAUUUCUCAUCAACUUGAUGAAUUAAUUUGAAGAUAUAGGACUUCCCUACUGGAACAGGUUGCUCAAAGGGGUCGCCUUAUCUUCCAUCACCUAACCCAAAACAAAUGACUUCAUGUCACUACCUCAAGUCUUUCAUAAGGAAUACGCCUUCACUAGCUUAUUCCUCAUCUUACUUCUAUGUGUUGGAAUUGUUUAUUCUCACAUCAUGCAUCAUUUGUUUCAUCCAUGCAUACUAGGGAUUCAAACUUCAUAGACGUAAGCAUAGGAGACACCAGGAACCAUCGGUGGAUAACCAAGAUUAAAACAUGCACAUGCCUCUCCCCCGUACCCUACCAUUUCAUCUAUUUCCCCUGUCUCAUCAGUCGUCAUUGUACGUGCUCGUCUAAUCCAGUCUUCACGUAUCCUACGCCCCCGUUCAAUCAACUGGAACAAACAGUAGAAUCUGGUGAUGCACCACGAGGAUUGGCCGGAUAUCGGAGGUUGGUUCGUAUCACCAUCAGCCUGAAGAGAAAAGACCAGCAUGUUCAGUCGGUUAUGGCUACAUGGGGGGAGGGGCCACUGGUGGUACAACGUUGAAAUAGCACAUGACGAAGUCGACUAGGUUGUGCAUUAUGAGUACCCGGUCUUGAGCUCUAGGGUGAAAACCCUAGGUCUAACAUCAUUUUUGGUGUCCUUACCGUGAUGAAGGCAUUACUCGAAGUUUGCCUAGACUUGAUCAUCAGGGUGAAACCCCAUGAUCUAACUUUCGGGUGUUGCAUCCUGCGACGACGUCACUUAUGUGUCCUUCCUUCUUGGAGGAGUCCCUUUUGAAAAACCUUUCCGUGGUCCUUGUGUUCUCAUGAGAUAGUUGGUGCCGAUGGUUAUCGUUUUACAUUGUUAAUCAUUGUUUGCAUCGAUUCAUGACUUAUUUUCUUUAUUUUUCUCUCCACUUAGCAAUAGCUUUGGUCUCGUAUUACUUAAUUCUUUGCCGGCCUAAUCCUAUGUUGUGUUUGUGUUGGCACUUGACUGUGUGAAUCCUGGCUAUAUAGAGGCCAUGUAUGGCUCAUUGUAAUUGUAUCCCUCAAUACUAGAUUAUGAGUCAAAACACCCAUUUAUCGAAAAAAGGUAGUGCUUGAUGCGUUUGGUUAGGAUGGCUCACAUGGCAGCUCGGUAUUGUAAGGACCGAAGAGCCUCCAAUUUAAGAGCACGUCAUCCUGGUUCCAUGCUACAAAUGUGAAAAAGGCAUUCAUCGUUUUUGAUUUUUCUCUCUCUGGGGAAAUAUCAUUUUCCCUAUUUAUCAAUAUAAUUUAUUAAAAUACAUACUGAUUUGUAGGCAGCACUGAAAAGACAAUACUCUGGCCUAUCAUGGACAACAAAAGUAAGCCCCUUUUGAUACAGAGCAAUGUUACAUCUACGUAAUUAUUUACGUAAGCUUACGAGGUGAUCUGACGUGGAAGCAUGUGGUUGGAUUAAGAGGGAGGAUGAGGCCCACCCCACCUGAAAAUCAGGGGGGAGGUGUUUAGAUUAGUUGGAAGUUUACGUAACAGGUACGUAUGUGUUCGUAGGUCUAGGAUUUUCGUUUGAUACAUAUAUUGAGGAAAAUUUGUCUGAAUAUGUUAGUCUAGCAGAUUAACUCGUGUUAGACUAGUACGGCCUAGAGUAUUAAUGUGCGUGUUAUAUUAGUCUAGCAGAUUAAUCUAGAUCAAAAAAAACCUGUCAAGCUUGUUUUAGUCUGAAUUUAAAGAUGUUUUUGUAUAUCUUUUUUAGCUGUGUAUGUUUUUCUCUAUCAUGUCAACAUAUGGCUCUGAAUAUGUUUUAUAUAUCUCUUCCUUGUGUCUCGUUUAUUUUUAGUUUUUAUUUGUGUGUGGGUGUGUUUCACUUUUUUAUGUGUGCGUGUGUUGGUCUACGGACUGUGGGUGUGUGAGGCUUGUGCAUGCUGAGAGAGAUAGCACCACGAUAUAAGAUGCAAUUUAUUUUUGCUAUGUUAAGAGACGAUUAACUUCAAUGUUAGUAUUUUUUUAAUUUGAACACGGAGUAUAACAUGAAUAUAUGUGUGCACAUUAUCUUAAUUGGUCUGAAUAUAACACUACAUUUGUGCACAUAAUGUCCUUAUUUUUAUUUUAUUUUUGAAUUUUCUUCUUCUUAAGGGGUAAUACAAAGGCCAAUAAUUCAUUCUUCCUUAGAAAUUCAUUGUCACGAUUUUGUUUUCAUUUUUAUUUUAUUUCCUUUCUAUUGAGGGUAAUACCAAUACUAAUUCAUAAUUUCUUAGAAAACUUCUUUUUUCGCGAACAUUCCAGUAUUAUAUGCUUAUUCUUGCAUAUUAUUAAAAAGUGCAUUUUUCUGUAAAUUACGUGCAAAUGUUUUCAUUUUCGUUCUUUUUAAAGGAUCAUACACAUACCACUAAUUCAUUUUUUAUUAGAAAACUUCCUUAUUUUGAUUUUCUUUCAGUUUUCAUUACAUUUCUUUCUUUCUUUCUAAGGGUAAUAUCAAUAUUACUAAUACAUUCCUUCAUAGAAAGCUUCAAUUGUUUUUCAUAAAUUACACUAUUAUAUGCUUAUUAUUGCAUAUUAUAAGAAAAAUACAACUUUUUAAAUAUGUACCAUUUUAGCGAUUAUUUAUUUUAUUUGUUUAUUUAGACUCUGCUUUAUUUAUAUUUUAAGGGUAAUGCCAAUGUCACUAAUUCAUUCCUUCUUAGAAAACUUUUAUUUUUGAGAAAUUCCACUAUUAUAUGGUUAUUCUUGCAUAUUAUAGAAAAACACAUUUAUCUUAAAAUUGUGUGUGAAUUAUGCAUUUAUUUGUUUUAUAUUCUUCCUUUUAUUUCUUCUUAAAGAGUAAAACCGAUGCCAUAAUUCCAUCUUUCUUAUAAAACUUCUUCUUUGAAAAUAAUCCACUAUUAUAUGCCUAUUCUCGCAUAUCAUCAGAAGUGCAAUAUUUUGUGUAAACAUGUGCAAAUUCAUUUUUUCCUUUUAUUUAUUUCUAAAGGGUAAUACCAAUAACAAUAAUUUAUUCUCCCUUAGGAAACUUCAUUGUUUUGUUUUUUGUUCUUAUCUCAUUUUAUUUCUCCUUUCAUUAAAGAUAAUACAAAUUCCAUUUAUUAUUUAUAAACCUUCAUCAUUUUGAUUUUAUUUCAAUUUUUUCUUUUUCUUUCUUCUUAUGUUUAAUAGCAAUGCCACUUAUUUCUUCUUAUUUAGAAAACUUUUUUAUUUCGAAUUAUAUUUACUUCAUGAGUGAUACCAAUGUAAUUCAUUUCUUUUUAGUAAACUUAUAUAUUUUAGAAAUUUGACUGUAAUAUGCUUAAUACUGCAUAGUAUAGAAAAAUGUGAUUUUUUCGGAAAGUGUGCGCGAUUUUUUUGCAAUUAUUUGUUCUACUUUCUUCAUUUUCUUUAUUUUUCAAAGGUAAUAUCAGUGCCACUAAUUCAUUUCUUAUUAGAAGACUUAUUUUUGUGUAAAUUCCCCUAUUAUAUAUUUAUUCUUGUGUUAUAUAGAAAAGCUCAUUUUUUGUAAACUUUGUGCAAUUGUUUUAUUUAUUUUCCGUUUUAUUUCGUUUUGAAUGGUAAUACUAAUGCCAAUAAAUCAUUAUUUCCUAGAAAAAUUUAAUUUGGGGUUUUAUUAUUUCAUUUGCAGUAUAUAAUUAUAUGGGUAUCCAACCGCAUCGAGUUGCCAUACUCGAUGUGCUCGAGGACGACAUCCAGCGUGCGGCCGGGGACGCCGAACCAUAGGCGUCGCCGCUCACAGUUGAAGCAGCCACGGUGUUCAACGCCGUUGGUGGCGGCGAGCUGUUCGGUGUGGCGGCGUUCGAAGUACGCCGUUCAUAGUGUGUUGCUGUCGGGGGCGUACAUCAGCUGGUUCCGCGAGCUCUCUAGCAGCGACGAUCGGAUCCGUGCGACCUCCGCGCGCCGGUCGGCUCCAGAGGGCGGCGGCGCCACCGGAACUCCGCCGACGCUCAACCUCCACGAGCCCGGCACCCGCAUAUCCGGUGGCGCCUUUACUAUGCCACCCGCGAAAAAUCAGUGGAAGACUGACUCACGACAGCCUUUGAAUUGAUUCCCCGCAGAAAACGAGGCAAUGAGGACGACGACCGCGCCGAGUCGCUGACUCGGCGGGUCCACAAAGAUUUCACGCCGAAACGCUUCCCCCGACGCCCCAGCGCGCUGGGUUUGGCUUGAGUCGGACGAUGACAAAUUCGGCCCUAACUGGCGAAAAACAGGCUAUGUGUGAAACCUGGUUGGAUCAACUCCCACACUUUGUACUGAAUUAUGUAACGGGCGAUUCGCCUAGUACUGGUAUAUAAUGGAAUGCAUUCUUGCGUGCCUUUUAAAAAAUAACAUCCACGCCACCAUGAAGUAACUAUAUAUGCUCCGGAGAGCUUGGAAGGAACCAAAAUUUCAAGAACCAUGAUCGAGUAAUAAUAUGCUGUGAGUAGAAAAUAGUGUGUAUAUAUACAUUGAGUUUUUCCACCGGGGAAACCGUAGGCUCUAGCCAUCCAGCGCCAAUGUCACCGGACACGGACAGCUUUGCUCGGGGAGCACAACCAGACGAAUAGUAGCACAGGCAAGCCAGCAUCGUCCAAAAUUAAACAGAGUUGUUCUCUCAGGUGCCGUCCAUGCAUGCAUCUCCAUGCGAAAAGAGCCGCGGCCAAAGUCCCAAAGCCACCACACGAGACAUGCAUAGCUGCAGUCCUGCAGAAGCGGGGGCAGCCUCAAACGGCACACGAAACAAGACGCACGUCCACCAAUCCACUCGCCAUCUCCUCCAUCCAGCACUCCAGCGCCCUUCACAUGCCAUUGCACUACCCGUCAAUCCUACUCGUCGACGUGAGCGCGAACCAGAGGCAAAAGCACACACGCUCGUCGCUCGCUCAGCCGCCUGGCGCAAACUCCGGCCAGCCCACCACCGUGGCCUUCCCACGUCCGUGCAAGAACCGUGUGUCACUUCCGCUCGUCGCCAUUUGCACGUACACCUGCCAUUGCCACGAGCCGUGCCGUUGCCGUGAGCCAACUUCACCGAGCGACCCCAUACGGCCGUCCGUUUUGUUCGGAUUCUGUCCGUUUGGAUAGAGCAAUGGAAUCGUGCCCGCGCUUGUCGUGGGAUGUGCUUACAGUGCACCCAACGCGCGACCGCAUGCCGUUCGUCUUAUAUUAAUAAAAUACACCAACAGAGGCCCUUGGAUAGGGGUGGAAACUUAUAUUAAUAAAAUACAUCAACGAAGUCCCGUGAGGGCAUCUCCAAUGAUCGUAUGAUCAUCGUUGGUAAAAUUGCCACAUAGAUGAUUUUGAUGACAUGGCACAUAAUAAAAGAAGAGGGAGAAUGAAACCGUAUGAACUUGAAGCAACGGUUCAUGCACAAGCUCCGAGGCAAACAUGGUUAUUUCUUCAACAUUUAAUGGACCCACUUAGUUAUUUUACAUACGGUUAACAUACACUCUAUUGAAGAGCUUGUAUGAUGUGUUGUUGGUUGAUGAUGUGGACACUUAUACCAACGAUUGAACAUACGGACUAUUGGAGAUGCUCUGAGUGGAAUGGUGGGGAUAGAAAAAGGAGCCCCUGCCGCCGACGGAUGGGAAGACAAGCACGUGCGUCCGGUGUCCGCGUGCUGUCCGUUUUAUCUCAAAAACAGCCCAAACUUGCAUCAGGAUGGGUCAAAAGCGAACAUAAAACGGACAAAAGUCCGUUUGCUCCCGCACGCUGGAUCAUCUGUUUUAUCUUAAACGGACGCGCGCGGACAGGAUGCGGUCGGGCGGUGGAGUUGGUUUGACACCGUGCAGCUACACGGAACGGACGUCCCCCGCCCGUGCGAGGCAGCAGCAUCUUGGACACGGACAAGGCAGGGUCAACAGUGCGCCACCGUGUGGGCAUUUUUUCUUGCUCCUCCGCCGCUUGGCACCACGUGUGCAGCUGCCGCACCAGGCCAUGCCUUUGAUGUAAAAGUAGUACAACCAGUGUAUGCCGUAGGGCCGACGCACAGACACGGAAAUGCACUCCCGGUCUCCUCGGUCUCGCAUGCGUCUCGCACAUAUUAGGCCCGUGUGCGUGUGACGCAACCCCGUUGAAUCCUGGUACAUAAAUUGUUCCGAUCCACGUCACGACCUUGCUAGCGCAAGUACAAUAGUAGUUUUUUUUACGGGUAAAAGGCUUUAUUUCUUGGAGGCUGCUACGCGUCCACCAGCGGAUGUUUAGAAACAUCCACCACCUCGACGACCGUCCGAUCUACACGCACAGCCGUUCGAUCCGCGCGCGAGGCUCCGGCUGGAACACAGUGAUUUCUGAAACGACAGUCGAGUUGCAGAAACAAUCGCUUUGUUGCAAAAAUAAACUUUGGACCCAUUAAUUUCUGAAACAAAGGUCGAGUUUCAGAAACAAUCGCUUUGUUGCAGAUUUUUUUCCUUCGUCUUUCUGCAAUAACGGCCAUGUUGCAGAAACAAUUUCUAAAACAAUGAACGGGUUGCAUAAACAAUAUCUCCAACUCCUGAAACAACAUUCAUGUUGCAGAAACAACGAUCGCGUUACAGAAAACUGGAGAGGGGAUGAAUGGCUGCAAGGUUAGAGGAAAGGGAGAGCAGGUGGUGGCCGAUCCAUCUUGUUGCGGCAACCCACAACACAUAUGCCCGGCUUGCAGCUGCCGCCACCGUCGGCGCAAGGCCGAAAUGGAUCAUGGAUAAGCCCAAGCUCAAGUCGACCCUUCCUGCCACGUGUGUGCACCCCAGCCUCAGUUGCGCCCCCGCAGCACUUGCACGUCGCGAGUUUCACCUGAUCCUCAUCCCCCUUUGUAGACUUGAUUUUGGAAGAAUGAAGUGCAU